rnacentral:lncRNA from 1 species
UUAUUUUUUACAGGUCUCUAUAAAAUUAUCAAAUAGCAUAUAUAUUUUUACGAAACUUAUGAUUAGACUUAUCUCUUCAAAAAAAUUUUAGUUUACAAAUAUACCCUCCAAAAGUUCUGAUUUGCUAAUAUAUGGUUCCUGCCAUUUGAUUCACUGUUAGUUUUUUUAGUAGUGGGUGUUUAAAAUAACUAUUUUGUUCUUAUAAAUUUGUUGUGUAAAAACGCGUGCGGUGUACCUCAUGUUGAGGCUCUCGCCUUCGACGUCGUCGCUACCGUAGGUCUCGCUGUCGCUAACCAUGAAUAAAAAAGAAUAAGUUUCGGAACAUGACAUCAAUAUUGGAAUACAAAUUACACAUAUAAGUGAUAAAAAGAUCAUUUUACCUCUUAGCUAAUAGCAGUUAUCUCUUUUAAUUCAUGAUUAUCUAAAUUUUGAUAACAGCAUGAUAUAUUUACAGACAAAAGGUCUUCUGUUAAGGAUAAAUUUAAUAACUUAAGUUUAUACAAAUAUAAUUGUUAUUUGAUAUAUUUGCAGGGAAUCAUAUGCAAUUAUUCCAUUUCUAAAUGCCAAUCAAACGCUUGUCAAAUUAAGGAACAAAAUUCUUCAAUAUUCUUUGGAAAAAAUAUCUCAUCUAAUAUAAUAUGAUAUAUCCAUACAUAAUUAAUGACUUAAUUUAUAUAAGUAUCAACGUUAAUACCAACGCAUUGCGCGCCAUGUCGUACCACAAACUCCACACGAUUCCAUUCACCUAAUUAAUAUUUAAUAAUUAAUGCCUUAGAUUUCAAUCUAAUUUGGUUCAUAUAAUCUACAUUAUCUAAAAAUUUGAUGCAGUAAAAAUUUUGAUAUUUUGGAAACACAUAUAUCUUGCAUCAGGUAUAAUUAUUUAGAUAAAUCAAACAGUGGAAAAACUGAUGCAUAUGAUUAGUCAUAUGUGUGUCGGAUGAGCUCGAACUAAUAACGAGAUUUAAGUAUUUUACGCUGAUGAAUUUAGACCCAACAAAUUAUUAUUAGUAUUAGCGAUCAGUUUGUAUGAUUGAGUCUGGCGAGAAUGUUAGGGUUUAAAAUGAGUUAUUAAUGCUGAUGGGCCACAUCGCUACGGCUUAUGCUAUUAAAACCUAGGGUUUGGUUGAUUUAUUUGUUUAGUCGUAUUUCCAAAGCUAGAAAUAAAUAGCAUUGGUCGUAUUGCCAAUAAGCCUACGAGCCAUUUAUGUUUCAAUGGUUAAUUAGGUGGCAAAAUCUACAAAGAAUCUGGUACGUGAUCUUGUAGAGGUGGAGGAUUAAUUAAAGAAACACCACGUGAGGUGCGAGAGUACCAAAAUGUGGAGCUUAGAUUUAGGGGUUUAUGAGUGGAAUCGAAAUUGAAAAUGAUAUUCGAUUGCAUUAAAACGAAAAAUAAUGACGAAUUAUUUAAAAAUAUUUGGUUCAUUAGUGAAAUAAAAGUUUAGAAUUUUCUGAAAAAUAUUUGAUUAAGAGAAAGGGAGAGUCUCUGUAAGAGAGAGUUUUGAAUGAUUUACUAGGAAUGGAGCCAUAAAUCAGAUUGGGCCAUAAAUGUAUUCGGUCAUUACCAUUCCAGAGUGGAAUAGGAAUUAGAAUCCGAUUCCCGUAAAAUAAACGGUAACUAGUGAAAUCAAUAAAUUCUUAUUCCGAUUUAAUAGUCUAAAAUACUUGAAUCAAAUAAGUCUUUAGAGUUUGUGUCAGACAUUCGUGGCAAUCUGUACGUGCGCUUGCUCAGAUCAUGUCAUGAAAUUAGCAUCCGUUUGUAUUCAACUACUGCAAUUGGUUCGAACUACAUCUGCAGCCGUUACGAAAAGUAAUUUUGAACAAAAGGUAAAUUUAUUUUUUAAUUAUUUUAUAAAAAAAUAUAUUUUUAUGCCGGAGGUAAUCUCACGACUAUAUAUUUAAAGUGAUAAAAUACAGACAAGUAUAGUGGAAGGGUUUAGUAUGAACAUGAUAUGAUCUAUAUAGCAUAUAAAAAUUAUAAAAUUAAAUACAUAUCAAUAUUCAUGAUGAUAAAUAGAAUUAUAAUAUAACGUAUAUAGAGUCAUAGAAAAAAAUAAUUUUUACCAAUCAGCAGAAGCGAGAAGUGAAACGAUGAUAUAAAUAUUAUUAACCAAACCUUAGGUGAUUUAAUUUUUCCUCUCGUCCAAGGCAAAAUUCUAUAGAACUGAAGCUAAUAUUUUAUCAGAAUGAUGUGAGAAGUUGGUAAGACCAGUAAUCUUUUAUAUAGAGUUCAUAUCGACUUUCCAUCGAAGUUUGAUUACAAUUUUAUUUUAUUUAAAUAGAUAGAAAAUGAGUACAAUAUAUUAUAUCAAUCAAUUCUAUAUCUAUUAAAUCUUUAUUUAUAAAAAAAAUCAUAUUUGAAUAUGAUUAAUUAAGUUUUUAUGAAAAUUCUUACAGGAUAUCCAACCUUUAAAAGUUAUUAUUUAAUAUCUAACCUUUCAAUUUAUUGAAUAUCAGUCACUCAACGACACUUUGACUUCAAAUUUUGAAUGUAUCAUUUAUCUUCAUAGAUUUAACUAGUAUACUUCAUGCGAUAUUCACAACUACAAAUUUAAUUAGCUUAAAUUUUGAAGUCAAAGUAUCUUUGAGUGACUCAAAUUAGACAAAUUGGCCAAUAAGUAAAAUUAAAAUUUUAAAAAAUUUGAUAGCCAACUCAAGUUGGUCCAUAGUUCACAUAUACUUUUUACUUAAAAAAAAAAAAAACAAAUUUCUUGCUAUCCUGAUUGACUGAAUGUAUAGAAAAUUGACAAUAGAUCAAAAUGUAAAUUGAGUGUAGAGAUCAAAUCUAAAUGAACAAAGUGAAGUAGCAUGCUACAUUCCUCUCUCUCUCUCUCUCUCUCUCUCUCUCUCUCUCCCAAAAAAAAAAAAAAGAGUUAAACAUAGUGCCAGCAAUUAAAUUUAUCUAAGGAAAAAAAAUAUAUAUAUAUGAGCCUCAAACAAUGCAAAACCCAUUUACAAUGAUAAACUUUAUGAAUGUCUAUUCAUUCGUCAGUCCUAAUUAAGUUAGGUUUAAGUUUAACCACCAAAACCCAAGCUUUGUAAAUUGUUACUAAUCAUCUCUCAUUUUAAAUAAAAAAUGAUAAUUUUUAUUUUCUAGAGUAAUCUCAUUAUACCAUAUAAAAAAUAAUAAACAUAUACAAAAGUAACUUUCAAGUUUCAACUACGAACAACCAAAUAAAAUAUUUCUAAUUUUAUCGACCUAAAUUAUAUGCAACCAAACAAAUUAGAUGCAAAAAAAAAAAUUAUAUUUGCAGUUGUUAUGCUAAUUAUAUGUAUCUAUAAAACGCUAGAUUCAGAGGUUUUUUUUAAAAUACUAUAAUAGAGUGCGAUCAAAAUUCAUUCAUAACUUAAUGCCAAAUGCAAUGGCCCAAUCACUGAGCAUAAUUAAUUUCUUUAAGAAAAACUUAAUUGAUGUGAUACAUAUUUUUUUGAAAAUAAAAUAGACUAAUUGUUAUUAUCCGAAUAAUUGAUGUUUAAAAGAAUUUAUUUUAUACUUUUCAACUAAUGUAAAAUUUUUAAUGGUUUAAAAAUUUUUAAUGGUAUAAUUAAUGUUUUAAAAUUUUUUAAUUGCAUACAUGUCCCUGCAAAUAUAGAGAAUUACAAAUAUAUUUCUAUAAAAUUCAACUUUCAUAUGUUGUCCCUACAAAAGUCCUAAUAUUUUCGAAUAUGUGCCUGUCGUUAGAAUCUGUUAGAAAAAUUUAGUUAACUAUGGGUUAAAUACUUAAUCCUGGUUAAUUUAUGAGAUAACUUGACAUUUUUAUCCCUCUUAUAUUAUACUGUUGUGACUUCUAGAUGGACAUAUCUGUGAUGGCAAAAUUGACAUUUUGUUUUAUUUAUUUGUUGUUAAAAUAUAAACACGUCUCUAAUGGUAACAAAUUAGAGAGACAUAUUUAAAAAUAUUAAAACUGUUACAGAAACAACAUAAAGUUAGGGGCAAUUGCUUAUAUACCCCUGAAAAGUUUCCGACUUUCUAAUUUAUCUCGCUAAUAUUGAAAAUACCUUUUUUAUGUUCCAACCUAUUUCAAAUAUACUCAUAGAGUUAACAUCUGUUAAUGAACUCUGUUAUCUCUAUAAAAUUACUAUUUUAUCCUUUUCAAAUGUACCCUUCUACCAGCACUGACUUUUCAUAUUUGCCCUUAAGUUAGGGGCACAAAAAGUAUUUUGCUUUUUUGUCUUUUCAAAUAUACUCCUUCUACCAUCACCAACAUUUCUUAUUUGCUCUUAAGUUAAGGGCAAAAGUAGCAUUUUAAUUUUUUUAACUGUGGUAGAUAUUUAAUUCACGUUUAACCCAAUUUAACUUAAUGGGUGAUAACUAUAGAGAUAUUUUGGAAUAACGGAGGAACAUAUGAGGGGUAUAUUGAAAAGAAAAAAAAAAAGUAGGGAUAAAUGACAUAUUUUCAAAGUUUUAAGGAGUAUAUAGGCAAUUAUCUCUAAAGUUAAAUUUUAUAAGGAUAUAUUUGUAAUUUACUAUAUUUGUAGGAAUCUGUAUGUAUUUAACACUAUUAUUUAUAUGAGUGCUUGUGUUUUUGGUCUAAUGGAUCAAACAAUUUUGGUCCAUUGAAUCAAAAACCUCCUUCCAAAGUCUGCUGUGGCAAACCUUGGGAGGAGAUCUCCUGGCCCUAGGAGCUCCAACCUUAAGGCCCAAGGCAAUGUUCGGGCUGUGCUAGCCCGGCUGGCAUGGCCCAAGCGGGACGUGCCGUGCCUGGCCGUUGGGCCCCAGACGAGAGACCCAGUACGACUCUCAACCUCGGUCCAGGCCGGGCUGGCACGGCACCCAUGCCGUUCUCCAGUCCGGUCGGAGAUCAUGGGCCGCCCGGCCCGUUUUACAUUCCUAGUCAUACACAUUAUAAUUUAUGGGUCUGUAUUGUUGUAAAGCCUCAACACUCCCACGUCAGAUGGAAAAAUGAUUAGGCUUAGUUUCGUAUUGAGAUCUAUCUAACAUUAUUAGAUAAAAUGGAGUUAGAGUAAAAGUAUAUAGAGAUAUGCUUUUGCGUUCUCCGAUGACACCGUAGAAAGUAUAUCAUAAUCAACUCAUCGCUAUGUGCAGAACGCAAUAUUACGUACGAAAACAAACAUGGUAUUUUCCUAUCGUACUUUCUCACCGCACGUAACACAAUCUCCUCGCAAUUCCAAAUAAAGUCUAAUAUAUAUGAGGCCCACACGCUAGUAAUAAUAAUUAAAUUUAAUUAUUUUGGGUCUAACAAAUUAUUAUUGCUAGCGGAUAAGAGAGUUACAAAAAAAAAAAAAAAAAAAAAAAAAAAAAAAAAAAAAAAAAAAAAAAAAAAAAAAAAAACCCGACCAAAAACGAAGAAAAAAACCUUCAAAGAAUCACUUUCCCAUCGAACUCCGAUUCGACCAAAACCGGGCGAGUCGGAAUGGGAAGGAUUUGGGCGUCGCAGUCCGCUCUCCUUCUCCGCGACUUCCUCCUCAUCUUCCUCCUCUUCUUCGGGUACGCAAAGCUCGCUCACAAGUUUCUUUUUUUUUUUGUGUGUGUACGUCCUCUAAAAUACUCUUAUUAGGGUUUUACUCAGCUUCUACCCAAAUUCUCGCAUCAUCCGAACAAAUUCGCUUUUGUUUCAGUUCAAUUUCUCACACUUCGUAUUUGCAUUUGAUCCGCCCUUUAUUUAGCAGUGCUAAUCAUAGAAUCUUUCUACUUAAAACCCUUUUUUAUUAUUAUUAUUUUUUAAAAAAUAGAAUCUCUGUGUAGGAAUAAACAAACGGUAAAUUGCUUCCAAUCAUUAACAAGGAAUAAUAAAAAUUUAGAAGCAGCGUUUUUUUUCUUUUGUUUUUAAAUUCUUUUUUAAAUCAGUUGUCAUUCGUCAUUUUGCUGGAAUGCAUUGUAAGUUAACCAAUCAUGACAAUAAAUAAAAAAAAAAUCCUUCUGACUGUAUAUAAAAUUAUAUAGAAUUAGUUUUAAAAAAAAUAAAAAAUAGCAACAAUACCAAAUGAGGCCUAAACUAUUUGAUUCGUUUUUACAACACCUCUAGAGAGCCUACCUUUAAAAAAAAAAAAAAAAAAAAAAAAAAAAAAAAAAAAAAAAANGCUCUGUCAACUAAUAGUCAUUUAUUGUCACAAUUAUAUUUAGUAAAAAUUAAGAAAUUAAAUUAUUCACUGAAUUACUAUUAGAUUUAAUAAAUUUCAAAAUUAUUUUAGUGAAAUAAUAUAAAUAAAUAAUUAGAAGUUAAGUAAGUAUAAAUAAAAAAGGGGUAACGUCUUUUUUACACUAAUUAUUUAGUCAAUAUAUUUUUCAUCAAAAAUUUGACUAGGUAAAUUUUGUUUAUUUGCUAAAAUUUCGAUUUGUAUGUAUUUUUGGCCCCCCUCAUAAUCGAGUGCUAGCUUCGUCUCUAACCAUAUAAUAUGGCGAUCUUCAGUAUGGUAUUUCACUGCGUAAAUGUUUACAUCAUAAUAAAUCGACUCGUGUAAUGUGUGCGAUAUGAUGUAUCAAUGUGGUGAUUCAGUACAUAGAUCCGACCUUUACUUUGACAAUGUCGAUCACUUAAUGAAAUUUAUCCUUCGCAUAAUUUUGUGUGGAUCUUGUAUACUCGCAUGUUAAAGGACUUCUCUCUGUUGCUUGUUUACUAAAUGAUUUUGCUGAUGUUCAGUGGUCCAGUUUAUGUUAUGGUUCUGGAAAAGCCUGACGCCGUCUCGCGAUGGCGCGCUUUGAUUGGACCAACUGAUGCCAGAAAGGCUAAAGUUUCUCAUCCUAGCAGGUUAAGAAUUUCUCAUGUACUUUUGGUUUCAUAUACCUAUAUGUGUUUGUGCGUGUAAGCAUGCCCGUAUAAACUUAAAUGAUGAAAAUUUGUCUUAUUUCAAGUGUGCGCAUAUUUUUGCUUUUGAUUUGCAGCAUUAGAGCCAUGUGCGGGUCGGACUUGGAAAGGAAUUGCGUCCAUGGUUCUGAUUCGCCUCAAUCGGCUGCAAGGGAAAUCUCAUUUUUCUUCGGAGACAUCUCUCCAGGUUCUUUUCUUCUUUUGCCUCUCUCUCUCUCUCUCUCUCUCUCUGUCCCUCAAUUAGCCAUGUUGAUGUUGUCCCUGCUGCUUCUGUUCCUUCACCUUAGCGACAACAUACGAAUUACCAAGAUGAAGCAUCGAUUUGCUCCUUUUUUCAUUCACUUGUGUACUUAAUAAGGGAGAAAUUAUAGCUUGAACCUGGUUUACAAUGACAACCGUAGAUCGCCAGAGUAUCUGCCAUCCAUCCCUUCUCUCCUUUAAAACCACAUUGUCUGGUGAGUUUUAGACUUCUCGUAUAUAUAAAAUAAACGCGGUGAGGAUUUUGAGUAAGGAAUGGAGAACAGAUGAAUGCGCUAUCUGCGGUCGAUACGACAGAAGAGAUGUUGGCAAUAGUUUAUCCUUUCGGCUGUAGAAAAUAUUUAUUUAUUUUUAUUUAUUUUCCAGCUGUUACAAAGCAUGACGAACUUUAGAAGGUUACCGGGAGGCACAAAUUCAUCUAAAAAGACAAAUCGAAGCAAGCGGCUCGGCUAUUUCUCAGGUAGUGCGAACGACCGGUCCAUGGAAUUCUAGUUACAAGUCAUUUAUCCGGUGCCCAUGGUUUCCUCCACGCAGGCGCUUGUCGUCGAUGGAACUUUAUGCGACUUUUAGUUUUUUAUUGCCUCGAUCGUGUAAGAAAACUCAAUAUCAUCAAAUGUUAUCGGCCAAAUUGGGAAUUUGAAUGCCCUGUAAGUGUACAUUUCCUAAAUUUAAGGCUGCUUACUAUAAAAUGUUUCCAGUGUACUUUGAGGGACUCUUUUUAAGUUUGUUUCCAGUGUAUUUUGAAGUACAGUGUUUCAGAACAAUGAAUCUUAAUCAUUUCCUGCUGCAACUUACACUUAAAGCUGAAGCCAUUGCAGGCCCAACUAAGCAACAAGAGAUCAACUCUUUGACUAGCAGGUUAGCUAUGCUAAUUGUUGAUCUGAGACUCUACAAGCAAAGGUAAAUUUAUGACACGGUGACGCGUCGCCGCAUUACUUUCAUCCUAACCGUCCAUUCCAACCCAUCAAAUUACCCUGUUACAUCACUCUGAACAGGACUUACUAUGUUGUCAAUGAUCUUUCGGUAACAUUGCUCAAAAUCAGACGAGUCGACAAUUCUUCGCCGCUCCACUCAAAAUAAGAAAUGGCUCGACAAAAUUCGUCCCGAGUGUUAUUUCCAUGUAAAUGUAUUACGUAAUAACUCUGUUACAGUAUAAUUCAGUCGUCACGAUUGUGAACACCCACAAACCCAGUACAAGAUUAUUGCGCGUGAAAGGUAAAAAGAUCGAAAAGAAAGAAAAGAGAUCCGAACAGGCCACAAAUCAGCUCAGCUCGGAAGGACGAGGUAAUUGAGGAAGGGUUCUGCGUUGGGAGCGAGAGCCUUGAGCUCGUCGCGAGUGGCCAGUUGGAAAUCCUCGAAUUGGAAUGCAGGGGCACAGGUGCAGCCUACCAGCGAGUAGUGCAGCUCGGAGUCCCGCUUCCGAGACUUAACAAGGAGGCUGCCGUCUGACGCAAAGGAUUCUACGUCUAAGGUUGGAAACGAUCCGAACCACACGUUUGGCGGUACGGUGUAUUGCGGCCGGUGCCCGGCAUUGAGAUCUGGGCCUAGGACAGUUAGCUCGAUGUGACCAUCGUCAUGUAGCUCAAAGACCUGGAUGUACAACACAAGCAGGUAAAAAUAAGUGACUUUUAAGUAUACACUACACCUAUAAAAUCUGAAAUUUUCAUGUUAGAACCGCAAAAGUGCAGUUUCUUACAGUUCACGAUUGAAAGUUGUUUCUCUGAUAGGUAAACAUUAAGCACAAUAGUAAACAUGUAAGAAAACAAAGUUUCUGAAGGGCAUUAAGAAAUUCGGAUAACGGAAGGGGCAUAAAGAGAUAAUCAUUCACUGGAAUAUAUAAAAGUAAUGUGGCUGCCGUUUGAUAUUAAGUUAGGGUUUCUAACCGUGAGGGGCUCGCCCAUGUAAUAGUGCCAGGUUUCGGCACAGGGGAUGCGGUGGAGGUGCGAAACACUACCCGACGGCAGCAAGAAGUAAAUGGCUGUGCUCACAGGGCGCUCGACCUUAUCUGCACAAGUUUUCAGUUACAAGACUCAUCGAUUAUAAGCACUAGAAAAUAACGGGUUUAGAUGAUUUAUCAGUAUCGUUGCGUAGGAAAAGACAUAACUGAAAACAAUAUUUCAGAAAGAAAUACCACACAUCGUUGGAAAUUUACGACGCCAUACCACAGGAAUAUUGGAACACUUUUGCAUACAUGUAUAUAGACAUAUAUAAAUGCAUAGCAGUAUGUAAAUAUAGGAACUUUAGUUUUCAUUUUCACUUUCUAUUGAAUCGCUUUUCGCAAAUUAUGAUGACAAAUAAACAAGGAAGAAUCUGUAAUUGAUCCGUUAUAUACAUUGCAAAACCAUUUCGCUAUUAUCAUUCAAGAUGCAAGAAAUACUAAAACCAUUUCGCUAUUAUCAUUCAAGAUGCAAGAAAUAAUAAAACCAUUUCGCUAUUAUCAUUCAAGAUGCAAGAAAUAAUAAAACCAUUUCGCUAUUAUCAUUCAAGAUGCAAGAAAUAAUAAAACCAUUUCGCUAUUAUCAUUCAAGAUGCAAGAAAUAAUAAAACCAUUUCGCUAUUAUCAUUCAAGAUGCAAGAAAUAAUAAAACCAUUUCGCUAUUAUCAUUCAAGAUGCAAGAAAUAAUAAAACCAUUUCGCUAUUAUCAUUCAAGAUGCAAGAAAUAAUAAAACCAUUUCGCUAUUAUCAUUCAAGAUGCAAGAAAUAAUAAAACCAUUUCGCUAUUAUCAUUCAAGAUGCAAGAAAUAAUAAAACCAUUUCGCUAUUAUCAUUCAAGAUGCAAGAAAUAAUAAAACCAUUUCGCUAUUAUCAUUCAAGAUGCAAGAAAUAAUAAAACCAUUUCGCUAUUAUCAUUCAAGAUGCAAGAAAUAAUUAGUAUGGAAUGCAUCGACAAGUAAUGUUUUUUGUAUGACAUUACUAUCAGCCAUCCGCCUCUACUAAGCCGAAUUUGUAAAUUACAUAUUACAUUAAUUUGCAAAUAUCAAAUCAACAUUCAUCAAGAAAAAGAGAGACUUCAACUGAUUCAUCCGCAAAAAGCUUCCGCUAGUUUCUUUUCCAUGAUGACCAUAUCUCUAUCGAUAAAAUGUAAUGUACAAAGGUUCCAAGAUAGCGUCUUAAUGGUUUCUAUAUCAGAACCAUGUCGGUACUUUAUUUUGAGAAAAUUGGAUAUUUGAGACAAAAAUCUAAUGCGUGUCAAUGCUGUACCAAAACGCUUUUGACAAUUUCAUGCAUUUCAGACACAGCUUUUGACAAUUUCAUGCGUUUCAGACACAGGAAAAAACAACAAAAAUUUAUCAUACAAGUCUUUCGCGAUGUUCCUUUUCUCUACCUAGAUUUCACUCAACUCCACUUUAAAAUCGCACAGAGUGAAAUCCAACAAUACAUAAGGGUGCAUCUGAAAAGACUUGUCUGAUAUAAAGUUUCUCCAAACACAGCUACGAUGUUAAAAUGAGCUAGUUUUGCCAAAAUCUAACUAUUUGUAAGAACUAUAUGAAUUCUCUCUUUUAAGAUUGAUAAAAAUGUACCGAACUUACUUGAGGUACGAACUAUUUUGAGUCGACCACCCAAUCUUUCAAAAAUUUAAUUUUACUACCCAACAUUUCAAUUUGUUUGAUUUGAAUAAGUCAACGGUACUUUGACUUCAAAAUAUGAAAGCGUUAUUUAUCUUUACAAGUUAUACUCCACUCAAUUAUUGCAACUAUCAAUUCAUUAAAGUAUGCAAUUAGCUUAAAUUUUGAAAUUAAAGUAUCAUUAACCUACUCAAAUCAAACUAAUUGGAAAGUUGGAUUGUAAAAUCAAAAUUUUGAAAGAUUGGAUAAUCAAUUCAAAAUGGUCCAUAAUUUAGGUAAAGUUCUGUGCAUAUUUACCUUUAAGAAUUGAUAUUCUUACUACUUCCUUGGCGAUUUAACUAAUGUUAGUCACUCUAAAUUGAUGGAAUAUCGAUCUAUGUCAUUAAUUAAAAAAAAAAAAUUGAAAGCUCGGAUACCAAAUAUUAAAUUUUAUAGUUUAGGAAAUUUCAGAUGGUUCCGGAGCAUUCAACACAAAGAUAAGCUAAUGAUCAUUUCAAAAGGGAUAAACCCCGAAAAUCCUCACACAAAUAUCAUCUCAUUGCUUAAAUUAAUACCUAAAAGACACCAAUUAUACAUAUUUUUCGAUCUCACUACUCCAUCUCCAAUAACAAAAAACGUUAAAAAAAAAAAUCUAACUUUUGUUAGGUUUCUCAUCAAUUUCUCAACAACAUGGCAAAACCCACAACAUCAAAUCGCAAAACCACAUAAGAAAACACAAAUAUUAGCACUGCGGAUGGAUUUCUCAACCAAAAAAUUCGGAAAAAAGGGGAAAAAAAGGGGGAAAAGAAAGGAGAUUACAGUGAGGAGGGAGGAGGGAUUUGGGGAGUGUGAUGGAGAAAUCUCGGAAGGUCUCAGCGAAGAAUCCCCCCUCCGGGUGCGGCUUCAAAUCCAAGAGCGACGCGAUCUCCGAAGAGGUCUUCGUAUUCGCGGAGCUCCCCAUCAUCUUCGAUCUCCUAUAACACUUUUAGAGAGAGAAAGAGAGGGGAUGAGAGAGAGAGAGAGUGAUCGCUUGAGCACUAUUGCUACGAUGAUGAUAACAACUCCCCUUCUGGCUGUUGUUGACAAAGAGGUUUUAAAAAGGACCAAAAAAGUAUGGGGACACCCCUCAACUCUUUGGUUCUUAUGAAAUGACCCACUCAAACUUUAUUUUCCCGUGAAAUGAAUAUAAAAGACAGAAAAAAUGUACAGAACUUAUUUUAUUUAAACUAUAAAUUAUUUUAAAUUUUUAAUUAUUAUUUAAUUUUUUAAUUUAUUUGAUUUGAAUCAGUUAAUGAUAUUUUGACUUUAAAAUUCAAGGUAAACUUUAAAUAUCACUCAUAUGGUUUCGUACUUUCUCACUGUAGUAUCAUGUGGUUUAAAAUGUAUCAAUUUAGUACCAUAUGGUUUUUUUUUUUUUUUCAUUAGCUUUUUUGUUCACAUUUCGUUAAAAGCCCCAUCUAGAUUUAUUAAAUAUUUACUUUAGUACCUUUUAGAUUUAACCUUGUUGGUUAUUUAACAAAAAAAUUAGUUGAGGAGAUAAUAAAAAGAGAAAAAUAAAAUCACGAAGUAUUAAAUUGAUACAUUUUAAACCAUUAGAUAUUAAAAUAAAAAAAUACGAAACCACAAGAGAUGAUAUUUGAAAUUUUUUCUAAAAUUUCAAAAAUAUACUAACUAAAUAUAUAAAAAUAAUUACACGGUACAAUACUAUUUCAAUACUAUUACAUUAGCAACACCACUUUAUAUUGUAGAACAAAGUUAUGAUAAUUUAAAAGUUUUGAACUAUAAAUUAUAAUAAAUUAAAAUUUAAAAAUUAAAUUAAAAUUUAAGAACUAAAAUAUUACGCGGCUCACAAUUUGAGGACCACCAAUGUUAUUAAGCCAAAAUUAAUUGGAAUGAGUUCCUCUAUAUGCUCAUUUAUUUUUGAUACUAUGCAUAUAUAUUGUGAUAUCCCUGGUAUUUAGCAGGAGAGGCUUGUCGACAGCUCUGGAGAGUGUCGGGACAAGUCCGAGUCACGUUGGCGCAAAGUAGACGCAAAACGGACUCAGCGGAGACGCGAGAGCAGGAUUUGGCAUUUGAAAUCUGCAAAUAGCAGAUUUUCUGCUUAUUGUACCGGUACAGCAUCAGGGGUGUACCGGUACACAUUUUGUACCGGUACAGNAAAAUAUUAAGCCCAUGGUGAACUAAAACCUAAAAUAGGGGGAGAUGAAUGGACACAUACAUGGCUAAGAGAACAUAGAGAAUGUAAUAUAAAUGGAGUAUUAAUAUACAUCGGGUGAAUGUAAUAGUCAUUUAUUGCUCCAAUCAAUUUUAACAAGAUAAAAAUAUCUCACUUUUUUCGACGUCUAAAAUAAGUCCUCCAACUUUAAAAUUUUAGUUAAAAAAUUAAUUGAGCCCUCUAACUUUUAACAAUUUAGUUAAAAAAAUUUAUUUCCAAAAUAGCUACAAAAACUAUUAAAUUUGAUUGGAUUUUUAAAUAAAGUUAUUAAAAUAAUUUAACUCUUCAAAUACUAAAAGUUAAAAAAUAUUAAUAAAAAAUAAUUUUUAUAAUAUUCAUAAGAAUACUUUAUAAUUUUUUAUUAUAAUUUUUUAAUUUUAAAAUUAAUCAUUAUAUUUUUAAUUAAUUAAAAUAUAAUUUAUUUACUGUAUAGCGCGGACCAUACACUAGUAAAAUUUAGUUUCUAGUAACUUUGAAUACUCUCAACGUAAGCGAAUAACUAGAAGUCAAAUAUUCUAUAAAUGAAAAUAAAGUAAAUGUGGACAAGACCUUUCAAUUUUUCUUUUUUUUGAGAGAUAGGUAGCACGCUACCCGUUUUAUUUAUUUUAUUUAGAAAUAAACUUAAGUAGAAAUGUGAAUCAACAAGGAUUCAAACUUGGGUCUCGAAUAUCAACCAACAAAUCUUUUACCACUUGCUCUAGGGACGGUCGGUGACCUUUCAAUUUUUAUUCACAAAAUUGGAGAAAUAGGGUUUGGUUGAGGCAACAAUUUCUCCCACUUAUUAGGAGGAAAAGUUGACACAUUUGGCCAGGUAUUGAUAGGACUUAUUAUUAUUAUUAUUAUUAUUAUUAUUGAUUGUUGAUUCUCCUGACUUUGUAGGUCAUCUAGAAGAUAGACCUCUACAUUUACUUUUGACAAUAAAUAAAUUUAAAUAUUUAUUAUUUUAUAAUUAUUUUUAUAAAUUUUAAAAUUUUUUAAUUAAAAUAUCAAUUUAAAUAAAAAUAACUUAUUGUUUAUAUUUUUAGAUUAUAUAUAUAUUUUUUAAAAAAAUUAUAAAAAUACGCCCGGCCCGGAACAGCCCGUGCCUUUCGGGCGAGAGGCCGUGCUCGGCCAGAGGCUAGGGAGCUUGGGCCCAGCACGGCUCGGCCUUGAUUUGAUGUCGGGUCGGCCCGGGCUUGUCCCUAGUCUGUUUCGGCCCGGAUAAAUGUGGGUCGUGCCGGUCCAGGCGUCCAGCACGAUCCACAUUACGCCCCUAAUUUAGUGUUCGAGUUUAUGAAAAUACACAACUCAAUUAAUAAGCUGAACUGAAAAUACCGUUGAGUUUGGUAAUUUUUACAAUUGGCGUGAGAAAUUUUUAAAUGGCCGUAACUUUUCAUUCGAGUAUCCGAUUUUACUGUACAACUUCAAUUCAUGAAACACUUUUCAAGGUCGACGCAUCAAAUUGUGCGGCUAUUUUUGCCGAGUUCGGAACCCAAAUUCAUUUGCUUUGGCCUCUAUUUUUUACAUUUUUAGAUUAUUUUAAAAAAAUUCUAUAUUUUUUUAUUUGAUUAUUUCUAAUCUGAUUAGGUUUAAAGAUAUAUUGAAAUUUAUUAUCUUCGUCUCGUAGGAUUCGAAUAUCGCCUCCAUAUUAGACACGACGUUCAGUUAAUAUAAUUAAUAAUAGUUCAUCUUUGUCGAAAAAUUAGUUCUUCGCGUAUCAUCUUUUUCCGUCCGUAUGCUUCUUCUCUCUCAGUGCGGUUUUGAUCAGCAUCAGUUUAGAAGAUCUAAUUGCGAAAUUGAAAGCUCAAGUUUAUUUGUAAAAGAAAUAGAAAGAUAAAAAAGCGCAGCGCAGAACAAGCCCAAAUCCGAACACAGAAUCAGGGUCCACCCUAGAAGAUAUUAAGCCCAUGGUGAACUAAAACCUAAAAUAGGGGAGAUGAAUGGACAUAUGGCCCAGAGAACAUAGAGAAUGUAAACAAAAUAAAGGCCGAGAAAAGAAUAAUGUUGUGGGUAUUAGAUGUUUUCAAUGUCAACCAAAACGUGAACUAACAACAGCUAUAUACGAGCUUUAUAGUUAGUAUUUGAAAUUCUAAGUUUAAAAUCUAAUUAUUUCACAUUAUUAGUUGAGUUCUUUUUUGAAGAAACGAAAGAAGUGAAACUCAGUGUUUGCUAUCGCUUGUAUUUUUGACAAAAGAGAUUACAUUUCUUAUCAAAAUUUUCUUUCCAUUUUAGAAGGAUGUGUGCUAGCUAUUAAAAUGAGCUUUUGCUUGGAAUAAUUGAAAGAUAUCUCUUUUCAAAUGGUAACAUCUAAUUCCCUCCUUCAGCGUAUUCAGAUAUUCAAAAGAGAGAAAAAAAAAAAAAAAAACUUGGAUUGUGUUAAGAUUAUUUUUCAGUCAACAACAACCUUAGUGAUUGGCCACGAAAUGAACUAAUUUGAUACAUUUCUAAAAAUAAGAGUGGAUGAAGCCCAGAUACUACUACUACAAGUGCAAUUUACUCUUAAACAAUAUAUUAUUUAGAAGUCUUUCAAAAAAUUCGUUUUUGUGUUUUGUUUUGUUUUUUUCUAUUCUUAGUACUCUCACAUUCAUCGUUCCUUCUCUACCUUCAAUCCGUCGCCAAUUUACUAUGAACUGAGAAAAAGAAGGAGAACGGGCGAAACGGAAGAAACACGUAUCGGACGCAAACAGCGUCCUUCCACCACCACCUACGGCACCUAUGGCUGCUGCCACCGCCACCACUCUCAUCCUCCUCGUCGUCCUCCACCGCCACCUAGCUGUUUCUGCCGCCGCGGCUCCGUCCCCCGACGCCGCGGCCCUCCUCCUCCUCAAGGACUCCUUGGGCAACGCCACCGCCCUCUCCGCCUGGUCCCUCUCCGCCGAGUCCCCCCCCUGCGGUCCCCCCUCCCCCUGGCCCGGCGUCGUCUGCUUCCACGGCAUCCUCACCGGCCUCCGCCUCUCCGGCAUGGGCCUCUCCGGCUCCCCCGACCUCGACGCGCUCUCCCGCCUCCCCGGCCUCCGCACUCUCUCCCUCUCCUCCAACUCCCUCUCCGGCCCCCUCCCCGCCUUCAACCGCCGCCUCCCUGCCCUCAAAUCUCUCUACCUCUCCGGCAACCGCUUCUCUGGCCCCCUCCCCGACGACUUCUUCGUCGGCCUCGCCCACCUCAAGAAGCUCUGGCUCAACGCCAACGCAUUCACCGGACCCGUCCCUUCCUCCCUCACACGCGCCACCAGCCUCAUCGAGCUGCACCUCGAGGACAACGGCUUCACCGGGCAGCUCCCUCCCGACCCCCCCGCCGCGCUGUCGGAGUUCAACGCCUCCCACAACGACCUCGAGGGCCCCGUCCCCGCGAGCUUCGAAAAGUUCGGCGCGGGCGCGUUCGGAGGGAACGCGUACCUCUGCUACGGCGCCGACGACAAAAAACCAUGCAAGAAACCAGAGCCGGAGCCGGAGGCGACCCUCGGGGAGAAGGUGGCGAUGGCGAUGGUGGUGCUGCUUCUCGCGGCGGCCACGGCGGCCGUCUGCUUGAGGACGUGCCGGAAGCAGCGCGUGCGGGCGUUCGACACGCUCGGCGUCGACAACGGCGCGGUCGAGAGCGGCGACGAGAAGAGAGGCGUGCGCGACGGCGGCGGCGGCACUGACGCCGUCGUCGACGCGGCGAAAGGGUCGAGCCAUCAUAAUAAUAGUAAAAAGAGCGCCGUAGCGGACAGCGUCGUAUCAGCGCCAGCGGAUGGCGGAGGAGGAGGAGGAGGAGGGGCUGCAGGUAAUGUCGGGGGUGGUGGUGGUGGUUUGGGGAGUGGUGAUUUGGUGAUGGUGAACGAGGGGAAGGGGAGGUUCGGGCUGGCGGACCUGAUGAAGGCGGCGGCGGAGGUGCUGGGGAGCGGGGGGCUGGGGUCGGCGUACAAGGCGGUGAUGAAGCGCGGGGCGGGGGCGGCGGGGUCGGUGAAACGGAAUGCGCGACAUGAACCGGGUGGGGAAGGAGACGUUCGACGUCGAGAUGCGCCGCUCGGCCGCUGCGCCACCCAAACUGCUGCGCCGCUGGCGUUCACUACCGCGAAGAGAGAAGCUGCUCGUCUACGAAUACAUUCCAAAGGAGCUUGCUCUACGUUCUUCAUGGGACAUUUUUUUCCUUUUCUUUUCUUUCCUUUUUUUUUUUUUUUUUUUGGUCUUUUUAAGUAUAAGUGUAUAAAACAUGAUCUAUGGAUCCGUUUGAGCCGACUCUCGGGUGUUUUAAAAUUUUGAUUUUACAAAUCAAUCUUUUAAUUUGACAUUUUGACUUUAAAAUUUGAUUACAUUGUUUGUCUUUACAUGUCCAAUUAAUAUAUUUCAUACAAUUCUCAUAUCUAUAAUAACUAAUCAUUCCUAACGCAAGUGGUAAAGGAAUUGAUGGAUAUGGUAUCUGAUAUCUCAAAUUUGAAUCGUAGUUGAUUCAUAUUUUCAGCUAAAUUUAUUUAUUUUUAAAAAAAAUAAACAAAGCGGAUAGUAUGCUACCUUUCUCUAAAAAAAAAAUAAAUUUAAAAUCAAAAUGCUGUUUACUCACUCGAAUUAGAGAAAUUAAAAGAUUGAAUAGUAAAUUUAAAAUUUUGGAAGAUAAGAUAGUCGAUGUAAAUGGUCUAUAGUUCAGAUAAAUUAUUUAUAGAAUUUAUCUCAGCUAUUAUCUAUUUUGAUUUUACUAUCUAAUCUUUGAAAAUUUUAAUUUUGCUUUCUAAAUUUUUAAUUUAUCUGAUUUCAGCCAUUUAAUAUUCUUUAACUUUAAAUUUUGAAUAUAUUGCUUAUUUUUACGACUUUAAUUAUUAAUAUAUUUUAUAAAAUUUAUAUAAUUAUAAAUUUAUUUGAGGUAAGUAAUUAGUUUAAAUUUUAUGAUAAAAGAGUCGUCAAAUAAUUUAAAUUAAACAACCUAAAAGAUUGGAUGCUAAAAUAAAAAUUUUGAUAAGUGAGAUAGUCAGAAUCAAAAUAAGCUAUGCACAUUUUAAUCUUUUUUUUUUUUUUUUUAAGAGAGAAAGAUCAUAAAGCUAUCCACUUUGUUCAUUUUUUUUUAAAAAAAUAAAUUUAACUAAAAAUAUAUAACAUAUUUUUCUCAUAUUUUUAAUUGAAUUAAUGAAACAGUUAUAACUUGAUUUCAGAAUGUGUAACUUGAAUGAAAAUAAUUAAAUUUUUAGGUACAAUUAAAUAAAAAGUAGCCGCAGUGUCUAUAUUUCAAAAUGGCCUAAUAUUUGUGCUUAAUUGGUUCCAUAAAUCUUUGUUGCAUGUUGACAUUGUAGCAUUAGCUGGAUUAAGAGCCUCCAACACAAGUUAUAACAUCUCCAUUUCAUUUGACUUUGACUAAAUGUUAGUGAAAGCAAGUUUAAGUGAAACAUUGUAAUUUAAAUUUAAUUUGUAUCGGAAAAAUUUUCAUACCGAAUAAAUUAUUAUUGAAGUUUUAAUGGUCCAACCUCGCAGGCGAUCGAGGGAUGGACCACGCGGCCCUGGACUGGCCGACGCGGCUGCGGAUCGCGCGGGGGAUCGCGCGGGGGAUGGCGUACCUCCACUCCGAGCUCUCGUCGGCCGACAUCCCCCACGGCAACCUCAAGUCCGGCAACGUCCUCCUCUCGCCGGACUUCGAGCCCCUCCUCGUCGACUACGGCUUCCUCCCCCUCGUCAACCCCUCCCUCGCCUCCGCCGCCAUGUUCGCCUACCGCUCCCCGGAGUCCCUCGGCCACCACCACGUCUCCGCCAAGUCCGACGUCUACUGCCUCGGCAUCCUCCUCCUCGAGCUGCUCACCGGCAAAUUCCCCUCGCAGUACCUGCACAACGCGAAAGGCGGGACCGACCUCGUCCUCUGGGCCACCACCGUCGCUGCGGAGGAUCGGGAGGAGGAGCUGCUGGACCCGGCCAUCGUGACGGCGGCGAUGAAGGCGGCGGUGCCCGACAUGAAGCGGCUGCUGCGCGUCGGCAUCGACUGCAUCGAGCCGGAGCCCGAUAGGCGGCCCGACAUGAAGGAGGCGGCGGCGAGGAUCGAGGAGGUGGCGGCUGCCGUCGAGGCGCUCAAGGCGGCCAGGGUGGCGCCGGCGAAGGACGGGCUGCAGCCGGCAUCGGCGCCGGCCUCCCAUGCGGCGUACGUGAGGGACGGGCUCGGGGAGCGGUCGGCCCGCCGGGGAGGGAGCAUCGGCGAGCGGUCGGCCCGCCGGGGAGGGAGCAUCGGCGAGCGGUCGGCUCGCCGGAGCGAUGAUAACUUCUCGUUCGCCAUCUCAUGAUGGCGAUCACUGCGCCAACGACACCGGGCUAUAGUGGGCAAAUCGAUCAUACAGUACGGUACGUAUCUCUCGACAAAUCGUGUGAACUUUAGCUAGUUUGUAAAUAGACGUGUGAACUUAUAAUUUUGCGGUUUCCAAGUUCCAACAGCAUGCUUUGCCCCCUUAAGAUUUGUUCGGAUAUAAAUAAGAACCGUCUAUUUUCGAAAUAGAUAUAAAUUCAUAUAAAAGUAAGAAUUAAAUCGAUUUUAAGUUUGAAUAAAAAUUAGAUUAUUUUUGAAAAUAGAAAAAAUAAUAUUUGUAUAGAUAGAUAAGAUAGAAAAAGAAUGAUAGUUGGUGGUAAUAAAUAAAAAAUGAUAAUAUUACCCACUCAUUAUAUUUGAAUUUGAAUUUUUAAUUUCAUAUUUAUAUUUUUAAAUUUAAAAUUUUAAUUUUAAAAUUUUAAAUUUAAAAUUUAUAAUUUAAAUUUUAAAAUUUGAAAUCUCAAAAAUUUAAAUUCAAAAUUAUAAAUUUUAAAUUUCAAACUUUAAAUUUAAGAUCAAAUUUAAAUUUAAAAAAUAUAAACUAUCAAAUUUUAAAUUUUAAAUUUUAAAAUUUUAAAAUAAGAAUAGGAAUGGGGACAAUUAAUAAAAAUAAUUUAUUAUAAUAAAUUUAUAAAUUUGAUAAAAAUAAAUUUUUUAAUAAAUUUAUAAAUUUUUUAAAAAUUCUACUUAAACUUAAACUUAAUAAAAGUAAUUUAUUAUAAUAUUUAAAUAUAAAUAAUAUGUAUUAAUAUAGUACAAUUAAGAAUUUUAUAAUAAAAAUAAUAUAUUAUAUUUAUAUAAUUUAAUUUUAAUUCAAUUUAUAAUUUUAAUAAAGUUUGAAACUAUAAAUUGGAAUAGCACUAUUACACCAAAAUGGUGGAAUAGUAAAUCCCAAACUAUUUCGAGAUAGUCGGGAAUAGCGAGAUUUGACCAGAAUAAAAUAUUUCAAUUAUAAAUCAUCUUGUUUGGCAGAAUAGCGGGAGCUGAACCAAAUGGGGCCUUAAAAAAGUUUUUACCUUUGUUACACCGAAUCGGGCCAAUGAUUGUAGCCCAAAAUUGGAGCCCAAAAAUGUGAGAUCCUACUUCAAGUACAAUUAAAUUUUGAUGAUCGGUAUCUGAGAUUCUAAAUUCGAACUUUUAAGCGAUUUGUAAUUUUUAAUCAAUUAUGAGCUAAUACUCAUAACUAGGAUAAGCUUACGUCAAAAUUUAAUACUUUCAAGCAAACUCUUUGGAGAAAUUUAUUAAAAAUAAAAGGAAUGUAAAGUUAAGUAGUCAUUAAUCAAAAUUUUUGAAGUUUGGAUAUUCAUUUCAAAAUACGCUAUAUGAUUUGGACGAAAAAUAACUAGACUUUUUUUUUUUUUUUAACUUUAGAUUUUUUUAUUUCUCUUUGUAGGCCUGUGAUAAUACAAAGUAGAGAGAAACACUGGACAUGGAGAGGAGGAACAAUAGAUAAUUAAGCAGCAGUAAAUAUGCAUGGAGGUCCACAACUAUAUUCAAUUGUGAAAUUACCCCCUCAACUUUAAUUUUUUUUUCUUAUCGAAUCCUUCUUGAGUUUUGAUUUUUCUUUUCAGAAUUAAAGGAUUUUAGAGAAAGAAACUUGGGUAUUUUUCAAAUGCAAUGAUGAUUUUGUCAAAUUUAAUAGCUUUAAAUUUCUAUUUAACAAAGUCAUUAUAUUUGAUAAAACUCGAAUGGAAAAAAUUAGAAGUUGAGAAAGUUUCAAUUAAAAGAAAAAAAAAGGGGUGUAUUUCAAAAUCGCGUAAAGUUGAGGGGCUCUUCAUAACUUGCAUACCGAGGAGACGUGGUAGGGGCUCUUUUAUUGCUUUGUUACAAUUUAUUUACUACGCGAAAAGCCAAAAAAUGGGCUUCUAUUGAAGUUAUGAGAUGAGAUGUUAUAAACUUUAAACAUUUAGUGAUUUUCUUUUUUCCCUUUUGUUUAAAAAUUAUGUAUAUGAUAAGCAAGAAACUGUGAUUUUAGAUCUUCUCAUGUUUGGUUAUUGAAUUGAUGAUGAGGAUUGUGAGUUUCCUCUGCAUGCUUGGUCGAUUAAUUAAUGUGUUUCAUUUCACUUUUUUGGUGUGUUUUUCUUAAUUUUAUGGUGAAAUUUUGAUUAGUUAAGUAAUGCGUGCCCCGACUAAACAAUAAUAUUUAGAAAGUCUUUCUUUGUCAUUUCAAUAUGAUUGAGAGCUAGUUUUGUACACAUGACAAUUAAAUUUCGAUAAGUUGAUAUUCAAAUGUAUCAAAUCAUAACCGUAAUUUUGAAUUCUUAUAAAUACUCUCUCCAACUAUUGCCAAUUAGAACUGAUCAUAUUUAAUGUUUUAGAAAUCAAGUCGAAAUCGGGUUGACACCGACGGAAUGUUAUUGAGUCCAGGGCAUUAGUCAAACCAAUAAUUAAACACUCACAUCACAUAAAUCAUAAAUAUUUAAUUUAUUAUUUUAAUUUUAUUAAUAUAUAUAUAUAUAUUAUAUAAUAUAUUAUUAUAAUAUAUAUAUUUAUAUAUAUAUAUAUAUAUAUAUUAUGAAUCUACCUAUUAUCCUUUUAAAAGGACAGAGACCUUCGUUUUAUCAAGUCGUUUUUGAUAAUAGAAAUUCUGAAUUGAUGAUUGAAAUAGUUAAAGUCGAUCUAGAGUAUAGAAGUGUCUAAAAACUAAAUUACAUAAUUUUUAGCAAUUAUUUACAUAACGAUCAAAGAUUUGUAAAAUCGAUAGUUCCCAUAUAAGCCGUUUGCUGGUUUGACGGUAUUGAGCAAUCCAAACCGCUUGAAUUUUAGAUAAAAAAUAUUUUAUACUAUUUGAAUAACGUUUGAUAACUCCGAUCAUAAACUGAGAAAGUCUAAUCUCUAUUUUCAGAAGAUUAUUCGUUUUUGAUUGAUCAUUCAUUUUUUGAUUCUUUCAAUAAACUUGAUAAUGAUUUUUAAAACUUAUAAAAUUUUGUUUCUGAAUAUUUUUAAUAGUGUAGAUCAAUUUCAACGGUGCCGAUUAUCAAUUUGGAGCUUCGAUCAUCCAAAAUGACUUGAUCAGAUAAAGACUUAUAUUUUCUUAUAUUCUCUUAAGAUGAUAGUAGCUGUACUCCAUAUAUUAUUAUUCAAGUACAAUACUUAAUUCUAAAAUACUGAUUUUAAGAUCAAACCGAGUAUAUUGAAGUUAUUUAGGUUUUACUUUUUAUAAGAUUUAUUUGUGCUAAUAGAAAAUAAAAUCAGCUAAGUUAAUUUUAAGUCGUCGAAUUUAAACAUGACUGUUUUUUUGGUUCAGAGCAGUUUUAUAACUUACCCAGUUCAAAGGAUUGAAGUGAACCGCUAUGCAGACUAAAUCACGGCUAAGCCGGUCAAGCAGACCAGUUCGACCUGAUUUUUAAACCAUUAUCAGUUUAAAAACAGAUUCAGCUACAACAGUUGAGCCUCCUUAUAUUGUUAAAGCUACAAUAACUAAGUUCAAGCGCAUCAGAUGAAACACGUGUUUUGAUUUAUGGUACAGUUAUAAUUAUAUACAACCAAACACUGACUACCAAAGUCAACCAAUUUUUCCUUGCAGCGAUCCACGUCAGCGAAAGCUGACAUUUGCCUUUGACUAAAGCACAAAGGAAUCCAAAAUUUGUGGGUGAAUAAUAAUAUCGCAACGGCUAUUUUAAAGUGACCAAUUAAUCCACACUAUUCAUGAUAAGCUUGCAUGCUUGACAAGUACCUAUUAAAAAUUAUUAUUACGGUAGUGUUACUAUUUAAAAAAAGGGAUAAUUCCCUAUAUAUCCUUGAUAUGUUUAAAAAUAUCUGAUUUAUUCAUUUUUUUUUCUUUUUAAAAUAACUCUUGUAUGUUCCACCGUUACUGAAAAAUACCCCCACAGCUAUUUUCUGUUAAGUUAAUUUCGAUUAAACGUGAGUUAAAUAUCUACCACAGUUAAAAAAAAUUAAAAUACUAAUUUUGCCUUUAACUUCAGGGCAAAUAAGUAAUGUUGGUGACGGUAGAGAAGUAUAUUGGAAAAGACCAAAAAUCAAAAUUCUUUUUGUGCCCCUGACAUUAAGGGCAAAUAAGAAAGUCAGUGAUAGUGGAAGAAUAUAUUUGAAAGGGUAAAAUAAUAAUUUUAUAGAGAUAACAGAAUUCAUUAAUAGAUUUUAAUUCUAGGGGUAUAUUAGAAAUAGGUUGGAACGUAGAAAGGGUAUUUUCAAUAUUAGUCUUCUAAGAGGGGUAAAUCGGAAAGUCAGAAACUUUUCAGGAGUAUAUAAGUAAUUGCCCCUUUAAAGAAUGGGACUUUCUGAUUUAUCCUUCUUAGAAGACUAUUAAAAAUAUCUUUUGUACAUUCCACCAUAUUUCAAAUAUAUCUCUGAAGUUAAAUUCUAUUAAUAAACGGUUAGCAAUAACUGUUAUUUUUAUGAAAUUACUAUUUUGCCCUUUUAAAUAUAUCCUUCUUCACUAACAUAUUUUAUUUACCUUUAAAAUAAAGAUAAAAAAGGUAUUUUGAUUUUUUUCAAAUUUAGUAGAUGUUUAACUCACAUUUAAUCUAAGUUAACUUAACGGAUGAUAACUGUAUGAAUAUUUUGAAAUAACAUAGGUACAUAUAAAAAAUAUAUUGGAAAGAAAAAAAUAAAAAAGAAGAAGAGCCUCCUAAUAAAGAGACGAUCUAAUAAUCGUUUAUUUAUGCAAUAUAUAAAAGAGCGAAUAAAAUUUUUGAGCCUGUAAAUUUUCUUUUGAAAAUAUCUCUUUCUUUAGAUAUUUAUUUAUAUUUAAAUAUUUUUCUAAAUUUUUUGAAUUUAAAUUAAUCAACUAUAACUUUUACUAAUUUUUUGCUAAAUUAGAUAAAUUAAUCAGCUAUAAUCAACUAUAAGUAAUAUUAUUUUAUAUUUUAAUUUUUUCUACAAUGUCUAAUCAUCAAGUAGUGAUGAACCAUUCAUGCAGAGUCUCUUCUUUUAAAAUACCUACCAACUUGGGCCACUUCAAAGGAAAGGAGUGACCUUUUUUUUUUUUUUUUUUUUUUUUUUUUUUUUUUUUUUUUUUUUUUUUUUAAAGCAGGGUGUUGGAACCAUAGUUAAUUCAGAUUCUGCAAAAAUUCGAUACGGGUAUAAUAUGUAGAAAAUUUAUUUUUCAAUUUUUAAAUUUAUUGAAAAUUUUGGUUUCAAAAAUAGAUUCGGUAUAAAAUAUAAAAUAUAAAAUAUAAGAUAAUCUAUAUUUAAAUAUAAAAAUUAUAAAUUUGUUAUUUAGAUUUUCAAUAAUUCUAAAAUAAUUCGCAAGUAAUUCGAUAAUUAUUUAGCUGUUCCAAAAAUUUGCGAAUAAUUUUAUUUCUUUGAAAAAAAUUCAUAAAUGGACCGUUUAAUUCAGAUUUUCAAUAAUUAGUGAAUAAUUCUCGAAUUAACUAACAAAGGUUGGAACUCCCAACACCUUAAAGCGCCCCCUACAUAAAAUAAUGGUUUUUUUUUUAUAAAAGGUUAAAUAAUGAGACAACAAUUUAUUAGUUUAAUUCAGGUUAAAAUUUACAAAGAUCCACUCAUUUAUACGCCACUUUAUUUUUUUUUAAUUGAGACAUUCUCACUUUCCAUGUAGUUGGAUUUGAGUUACUUUUCUAAAUUGAGUUGAUAAUUUAUCAAAAUUAAUAACUCUGUUAGCUAUCACUGAGAAAAAAAACUAUAGUUUUCUAAGCUAAAAAAUAGUUCAAAUUUUAGAAAAAUAUGUAAAAUCGACAUUAAAUUUAAUAAAAACUUUAAAUUUAUGUAACAAGGAAUCUUAGGUUAAAAAGGAUCAUUGAGGAAGAGAUAUACAAAAAAGAAAAUUUCAAGGGGUCGUUUUCAUGCACAUUUUCACCUAUAAUUUGUAUACAAUUUAAGCAUUGUUUGACCAAUUAAUUAAUUAAUAUUAAAACCCUCCAAUCUAAUAAAUUUUCUAGCACAUGUUUUGACUCUGUAGAUUUCACGGCUGCUACCUAAAACUGUCCUUUCCAUGAAAAUUUGCAUAGAAGUCCCUCAACUAAGGACAAAUUGAUAUAUCCAUUGUGCAAAUUACAAAGAAAUUAAUUAUAAGAGAAAUUAAUUAUAAGAGUCUUGUAUCAACUUCCAAAGCUUUUAUUUUGAGUUAAGAGUGAAACUAGCCAAAAUUUUACUUCAAUUUGUGUAUAAAUAAUUGUAGCUUGUGAGUGGUAUUUGAUUUUUAAAUGUUUAUAUCUAUUUAAUAAGCAUUGUGUGUCCGUGUCAGAGACCCAAGUGUCUACGUUGGACUCGUGUCCUACGCGGACAUGUCAUGAACGCGCGUUCGAUGCAGGUCCAUAGCGUAUCUCAUUAAAAAUAUAUAUAUUUUUAUUUUACUAUCUUUGAUGCGUAUAUAAUAUAAAAUAAUAAAUAUUUUAAUUUUUUGAUGAAUACAUAUAAUUUUUUUAGAUAAUAUAAAUAAAUUAUGUAUGGUGAAUUUUUUUAAAAUAUUUGAAUUAUCAAUGAGAAUUUUACUUACGUUCAUUCGUAUGAAAAAUAUACCAAUAUUUUAGCAAACAUAAUACUUUAUAUAUAAUAAAUAUAUACUAUUAUAUUAAUAUUAGCGAUGCACAUACUGGGCGUGUUUGGUUCGAAGUCGGAAUCAGAAUCGGAAUCGGAAUCGAAAUCGAAAUAAGCUGGAAUCGGAAUUGGAAUGACUUAUUACCUAAUUCUGUUUGGUUCAUCACCUGAAUCGGAAUCGGAAUAAAUCAUUUUCAUUGUCGGUGUUUGUUUCAGAUAAAUAUAAAAAACGUAAUCAGAUUAAUAUAUUAACUUUAUCUUUAUAAUAUAUUAAUUUAAAUUUAAAUUAAAAAUUAAAUAUUAAAAUUUUACAUCAAAAUUUUGAAAUGAUGUCAAAAUUUUAAAUCUAUUUUUUAAAAAAAAUUAAACUUUGAAGAGAGUGGAUAAUUCGAAAUAUAAAACUAAAUUUCGAUUUAUUCAUAUUCAAACUUAAAAUUACAAUUUAAAUUUUAAUUUGAAUCCAUAAAUUUAAUUUAAGUUUUAAAUAAAAUUUGAAUAAAACUUUAUAUAAAUUUAAAUUUAAAAUUCAUAAGUUAGAUUCGAAAUACUUGAUUAAAUUUUAAUUUUUAAUUCAAGUUCAAAUUAAAAUUUAAAAUUUAAAAUUAAAUUUCUAAAUUUAAACUCAUAUUUUAAUUAAAAAAAUUAAAAAAAUAAAUUUAAUCCGAAUAAAUAUCCAUUCCGUCCGGAUUCAACUUUCAAUCCGGCUUUCUAGGCCGGAUUGAAAAAAGGGGUGAUUGGGGAAAUUCUCAUUGCACUCGGGAAUCGGAAUUGGAAUGGAACUUCCGCAUACCAAACACACACAAAUGGAUUAAUCCAUUCCGAUUCCAAUUUUAGAGUGAAAAAGAAGCGGACCAAACACGCCCACUGUGUCUGUAUUCUAAUUUUUCUAAAACAGUUAAGUCUGAAUCGUGUCGUGUCCCGUGCUCUGUAUCUGUAUCGUGACGCCUAGAUUUAUAUUUGUUUUUUGUUUUGUUUUAAAUACCUAGACAAAUUUAGUAGUGUAUUCAAGUCAUCUGACAUUCAUACAUAUACAAAAUAAGUAACUAAAAUUUAAAGCUUGGUGGCUGAUUGAAGUGAAUUGAAGAUAAAAUUGAAGCCAGUAGAAUUUUAGUUAAAUUAGAAUAAAUAUUUAAAUUUAUCAAAAAUAAAUUUAUUAGAUAAAUUUAAAUUAUUAAUUAGAAUAGAAAUUCAAUUGAGCUGCGGUUGGGUCACGUUUAGUUAAGCUUUAUAUAUGUGGCAUCUUGGUAGACUAAUUAGUGUUGAAGCCUGGCUGGCAUAGUACGGCAAAGUAGAAUGCUCGAGUGCUGAAAGCUUCAGAGAAGGUGCGGCCUCAUUGUGAAGCUUCAGAGAAGGUGCAGAAAGCCUGGUUGCAUGUUGGCUUAAAUAGAUCAGUAUCUUACUUCUAGCACAAGAUAAGAUUUGAUUGCGUCAUAUUCGAUAUGGCGUGAGGUCGAGUUGGGCCGAGUCAUAUUCGAAGUGGUGUGAGGCUGGUAGGAUUUAGUCGCAAUCCAGAUCCACAUGCGUUAUGUCUGUACACUUUAAGUGAAUUAGUUGUAUCUUUCUAAUAGCUCGAACUUUUAGGAUUAAUGGUUAGCGCCAACAAUCCGACAGUGCACCACAAGAGCGAAAAGAGAAGAGAAAGAUGGAAGAGAUUCAGAAAGAAAGUUCGAGUUGAGACUGUGUCGUUCUUUGUUGAGGCGACAAAUUUAUGAUAAAAUUUAAUUUGAUGUUUCCGUUAUCAGUACCGAAUUACAGUAACCGAUAUCAGAGUAGGUUACGAAUUCUCCUCUCAAGAUCCUAUAUCAUAUAGCAAGUACCAGACGGACCAGACAUGAACAGCUUAGGGGUUUGAUGACCGCACGUAAAAUCAAAAACCGGAUGCGCGGAGUCUCUGGAGCCGUACAAAUUGUGAUCACUAGUCCACGAAAACAAACCAAGCCCAGCCAAUGUUUAAAGAAUCUUUUUUAUUUGCUUUUUUUUUUUUGGAAAAACUUCAAAUAUCUCUAUGUGGUUUCGCAUUUUCUCACUUUAGUAUCCUGUGGUUUAAAAUAUACCAAGUUAAUACUCUGUGGUUUCGCACAUUCUCACUUUAGUACUCUGUGGUUUCAAGUUUAUCAAGGUAGUACAUGUGGUUUUAUUUUUGUAUCAAGUUAGUACUAUGUGGUUUUAAUUUUCUCUUUUUAUUAUUCAUUUUGAGGUAUAUAAUUUAACAAAAUAUUAAACCACAGGGUACUAAAGUGAGAAAGUGCGAAACCACAGGGUAUUAACUUAAUACACUUGAAAUCACAGGGUAUUAAAGUGAGAAAGUGCGAAACCACAUAGUACUAACUGGAUACAUUUUAAACCACAGGGUACUAAAGUGAAAAAAUACGAAACCACAGGACGGGUAUUUGAAGUUUCCCCUUUAAUUUAAGUCAGUUAAUAACACUUUCAAUUUAAAAUUUAAAUUAAUUUUUUAGUUUAAUAAAUUUAUAAUUAUGAGAGUUGCAUGAAAUAUAUUAAUUAAACUUAUAAAGAAAAACAGCGCAUUUGGAUUUUAAAGUUAAAGUAUUAUUGAUUAACUUGAAUCAAACAAAGUAGAAAAGAUGGCUAGUAAGAUCAAAUUUUGAAAAUUUGGUUGGUUAAUCGAUUCAAAAUAGUUUAUAAUUCAGAUAAAUUUCAUGUGUUUUUACCUAAAUAUUUUUUUUUUUAUAAAGAUAAGAAAUUUAGUGUAAUAGAAAGUCACAAUAUUUCUUUUGUAGCGACCUAGCGCAGAAUAUUUUCUCUCUCCGAGUGAAAAAAAAAGAGAGAAAAAAANAAACCACAGGGUAUUAACUUAAUACACUUGAAAUCACAGGGUAUUAAAGUGAGAAAGUGCGAAACCACAUAGUACUAACUGGAUACAUUUUAAACCAUAGGGUCCCCCCCCCCUUUUUUUUUUUUGAGAAAGAUAGUUAACACGUUAUCCGCUUCGUUUAUUUCAUUUAGAAAUAAACUUAGCUGAAAAUAUGAAUCAACUAGAAUUCAAACUUGGGAUCUCGAGUACCAAUCAUCAAGCCUUUUAUCACUUACUCUAGCGACGGUCGGUAAUGUUUAAAAAAUCUUAGGAUAACAAAUAUUGGGAUAAAUUUUUUUAUUCUGGAAUAGCUUUUCAUUUUGGAAUAGUUAGGAAUAAAAGUGAAAUUAUGUUCGGUUUGUGAUGUUAGUAUUUAUAGACAUAAUUAAAAUUAUGUUUAGUUAAUUUUAUGGAAUAGUAGAGAAUAGUAGAAAAAAAUUAUAAUUUGAAUUUGGUAUAAAAUAUAAUUUAAUAAAAAUAAUUUCUUAUAAAAUAAUUAUUGUAAAAAUAAUUUAUAAAAAUAAUUCAUUACAAUAUUUGAUAAAAAUAAUUUAUUAAUAAAUUAUGAUUUAAUAAAAAUAAUUUAUUUUAUAUAUAAUUUUUUUAAAAAUUCACUUAAACUUAAGUUUGAUAAAAAUAAUUUAUUAUAACAUUUAAAUAUAAUUCAUUAUAAAAUUUAUUACAAUAUUUAAAUAUAAAUAAUAUGUAUUAAAAUAGUACAAUUAAUAAUUUUAUAAUAAAAAUAAUAUAUUAUAAUAUAUAAUAUAUAACAUAUUAUAUCCAUAUAAUUUAAUUUUAAUUCAAUUUUAUAAUUUUAAUAAAGUAUGAAAUUAAAUAUUGAAAUAGCAUUAUUCCGUCAAAACGAUAGAAUAGUAAAUUUCAAGCUAUUCCGGAAUAACUAAAAAUAGCAAAAUUUGACCGGAAUAAAAUAUUUCCAUAAAAAAGUAUUCUAUUUAGCAGAAUAGCGAGAAUAUAUAUAUAUAUAUAUAUAUAUAUAUUUGAGAGAUAGGUAACACACUACCUGCUUUGUUUAUUUUAUUUAAAAAUAAAUUUAGCUGGAAAUAUAAAUUAACUAGGAUUCGAAUUUGGAUCUCGGGUAUCAACUAUUAAAUCUUUUGCCACUUGCUCUAAGGACGAUCGGCAAAUAUAAUAUUGGCCCAUGCGGGAAUAAUUUUUAUUAUUCCGGCUUUAUUCGUGAAUCAAACGGAAUCUUAGAAUAUUUCUUUUUCUAUGUAAUAAUAAUAAAAAAUGAAAUAAAUUUUUUUUUUAAAAAAAUUUGGGUCUAGUUGCUGGUAAAGGUUGAAAUGUGAGUCACAUUGUGUAUGGAAAAAGGGAUGAUCAAGGACCAUUCACUAAUCAACACAUCACAAGUGGCAAACCCACUUGAUGUGAUGUGCCAUGUAAACAUCACAGUGGGCUGUAUCAAAUUGACUACAAAAAUAGGAGGCCAUGUGCUUCAUAUGGUUAAAGGAGCCUAUUCUUAUUCUCAUAUCUCUCUCUCUCUCUCUCUCUCUCUCUCUCUCUCUCUCUCCACCUAUUCCCUUCAUUAUUUCCUUAUUUUACUUCUAACACACAACAAACAUGUGCUCCAAUUCUCCAUCCUUAUCAUCUUCUCCCCCCCACUUUGCCCAACUUAAUAAAGAACCAACUAGCUUUCACUAUAUAAGAAAACAAGAGGCUAAGGUAGGGAAAGAACACAAAGUCUCAAAAAACAACUUAGAAAAAGAGAGAGAGGGAGAAGGAGAUGGAGAGGGAAAAAACCAACUUCUCUAUAACUUGUAGCCUCUUAAGCAAGUUUAUGAAGGAAAAAGGAAGCAUUAUUGGUGGGUUGGGGCUUGAGAUUAUGGGCCCUAAACCUCUUCAACAACAAGCUAAUAAUGGUGAGAUAUGUUCCAUAUAUGUUUUGGGUUCUCUACUUAGUUUUUUUUUUUUUUUUUUUUUUUUUUUUUUGGGGGGGGUUGAUCAAACAAAGAUGAUAAAUGGGUUUUUGUUAAUUCUAAUCUAUUUUUCAGUGAUAAAUAUACCUGCUAAUAUAUUUUCAGCAUUUUUCUUUUUCCUUUUUAGAAGAUGCUAAUACAAAAUUAACAGAAAAUGAACAAUUAUGCUUUGUUUGAAAAUAAUGAAUAUUUAUUUUUUAUUCUACACGUAUAAUUUUACAUAUUUCUCCACUCAAAAAAUAAUUCAAAACAUAUGAAGUAAUUUUUUUUCUUUUUCUUUUCUUUUUUUUUUUUUAGGAAUAGAUUCUCAGCUUGCUACCAUGAACUUAUUAGAUGGAGUUAAUGCAUCAGUAGAAGAACAUAUCAAAAAUGCUGGUGAACAACAUGAAAGUGCCGAGAAUCCGCAUUUUAAGUGAGCUUUUUAUUCUUGUAAUUGUAUACAUCAUAAAAUUUGUGCAAGCAAUUAGAAAACCAAAUGUACUGAUUCUAAUUUUGGUGGUGAAUUAUAUAUAGUGGUUCAGAGAAAGCGCAGCUGACGAUAUUUUACGGCGGAGAAGUGCUGGUUUUCGACGAUUUUUCCGCCGGUAAGGUCGAGGAAUUGAUGCGAAUGGCGAAGGAGACGUCGUCGUCGGUGCAAAAUUUCCGCAUCGCGGUUCCUCAAUUCGCCGCUUCUCCAACUGAUCAUAAACUCAAAUCCAGCUCCCAAAAUACUGCUGUGCCUAGGCCUGCUCAAGCCAUUGCUUCUGGUGAUCAUUCUUUUCUCUCUCUUUCUUUCUUAAUUUUUCUCUUCUCUUCUCUGCAUCCAAACCGAGCAUAAGUAAACAAUUAUUAUUAAAUAUAAAAAUAUAUAAACAUCGUUUUCUACUUGCUUAAGUUUUUAGAGUACAACGAUUGUUUUACAUGGUAUCAGAUCUAGCAGAAGGUCUUAAAGUUCGAACCACGCCAAGCUCCUAACAUUAUUAAUUCCUUUCAUUUAAUUCAAGUUUAUGUCAUGGGCUUGUAAAAAAUUUCGAGUUCAGAUAUGAAGGGAGUGUUAAAUAUAAAAAUAUAUAAAUACUGUUUUUUAACUAGUUAAGUUUACUUUAUAGUAGUUAGAUCUGAUCUUUGCUGAUCACAAUGGUACAUAAAGUUCUUUUAAGAACCAUAUUAAAAUUUUCACAAUGCUCCUGAAAAUUUUUUUUGUUAAUUGUUACUUACAAUAGUAUUUACUCUUGUCGAAAACAGAUAUACCUCUGGUAAGAAGAAAUUCGCUGCAUCGAUUCCUCGCGAAAAGGAGGGAAAGGUGAGAGCAUUUGAUCCCUCCACACUUGCUUCAAUCACCAUGGAAAAUCACAUAAAAUUAGAAGUAACAAUUAUUAUUAAUUUUUUUUCUCUUAACAUUUUUGUAGGAUUAACACCAAGGCGCCUUACCAACUAAAUUACUCUUUGGAGGCCAAGAACGCGGCUAAGACGGAGGAUAAUAAUAAGUCGUGGCUCGGCUUAGGUUCAGGAGUCAUUGGAUCCGAACAUGAGCUUCGUUUGUAGAAGAUCGGAGUGAUGGAUCAAACAUUUUACGAAGUAUGUUAAGCAUAUAUAGUGGCCUCUUUGUUUAAACACAAUGUUGUUUCUUUUUUGCCUCCCCAAAUGAGGUUUGAGAUGUAAAUUUGUAUUUUAGCAAAGAGGUGGAUUAAUUCAAAGAAUAUAUAUGAUAUGUUUGAUUUGAAAAUGAUUCAUCUUAUCUUAUAGAUAGUUGUUUAGCGAUAUUUUUAUUUUUAUUUUAUUGUAUUAGCUAAUUAAAUUUGGUUGCUAUGAUGAACAAUUGGAUGAAAAAAGGCAAGAAAUGUGCUUUUGCUACAAUGUGAAUUAGUAAUAAGUUUGACAUUUGAAUCCUUCUGAUACCCACAAGCAAGGAUUUAAGUACCUAUCGGUACGAACUGUAUCUAUUAUAUCGUAUCAGACCAAUAAGAUACUGGCAUAAUACAGUCUCUGUACCAAUAACACAGUUCAAAAUUUUUUUUAUUUUAAAUUAAUAAGUAAUUUUUUUAAUAAAGUUCAAAAUAUUUGAUAAAAAUAUAUAAUAAUUAACUAGAAAAUUUUAUUACUAAAGAAAAUAAUUUUUUCAUACUAUUAUGUGUCAGCACAUAUGUACUUUUUGUAACCGGCACGCGUCGAUACCGUUUAGCACGCACUGUGCCAGCAAAUUUACGGCACGAUCCUGUAUUACGACACUUAAAUUCUUAUUUAACACAAAAAAAAUAUAAUACUUAAAUAUCCCAAAAUUUUGAAAAAAAAAUUUCAGCAGCUGAAAAAUAAAUUAUAUGUCAAUUUCCUUUCAUGUAGAAUAACUUUUCCCAUUAUAGAGUUCAUUAUGCAUCUAGAAUCUCAGCUAAUUAUAAAUUUUUGAGUAUCGGAGUAUGUAGUGUACAAAGAAAGGUUAUUUCGUUGUCCAUUGGUUGGUCAGGUUGGUGUAGGAAUAAAAAUUAAAUUUUACUUUGGGUAGACUGGUUGUUAACUGUUUGCUUUAUUGGGAAUAACAUUUGAUGUAUGAGGGCUAUGAGGUAAAAAAGUAUAUAUAAUAAUAUAUAUAUAAAAUAGGGGGGGGGGGGGGGUGGGGGGGGAUAACACCAGCUAAAAAAUUUCUAUAGUCAGUGUGGGCUCUCUUUUGAGAAAAGGGUGGCUAUAAACAAAGAAUUAAUAAAUAUCCAAAAAUAGAAAGAAAAUAAUUACUAAAAGAAAAAAAGAAUAAGACUAUUAUAUUGACAAGAAACAUUUAUAACAAUUUUUCUCACAUAUCAGCCCUUUAAAAAUUAUAUUUGACAAAUAAUUCUUUUUAAAUUAUUUUUCACUAAAAUUUCUAUUUUUCUAAUUUCAGUAUUAGUUGAAAGAGUCGAAGGUGAUGGUUGAAUAACUAUUACGAUUAUCAUUUUUUACUUUAGAAAGAAAACAAUGAAUGAUUUACUCUUUCUUUCUUGUAUUCUCUACUUUUUUUAGUUAAUUCGCGAAUUAUUUGCGAAUUAUUGAAAAUCCGAAUUAAAUAGUCCGUUUAUGAAUUUUUUCUAAAGAAAAUAAAUUAUUCGCGAAUUUUUAGGCCAGCUGAAUAAUUCGCAAAUUAUUUCCGAAUUAUUGAAAAUCUGGAUAAAAAACUUAUAAAUUUUAUAUUUAAAUAUAGAUUAUCUUAUAUUUUAUAUUUUAUACCGAAUCCGUUUUUUAAGCCGAAUUUUUUAAUGAAUUUAAAAAUUAGAAAACGAAUUUCAUGCGUAUUAUAUCCGUACCGAAUUUUUGCCGAAUUCGAAUUAACUAUGUUCUCUACAAUCAUAAAAAAAUUUCAACAACCAAUAUAUAAUCCAAACAUACUCACAAACAUUCUAACAAGCCGCAAUACAAUCGACCGUCCGUAGAGCAAGUGGCAAAGGGCUUGGUGGUUGGUACCCGAGGCCCAAGUUCGAAUCCUAGUUGAUUCACAUUUCCAGUUAAGUUUAUUUCUAAAUAAAAUAAACGAAGCGGGUAACGUGCUACCUAUCUCUCUCUCAAAAAAAAAAAAACAAGCCACAAUACAAUCAUAACAAUCUAAUAAAAAUCCGAUCAACCCACAUAUAAUUCUAACAAUUCCAUAAUUUUUACAAACGAUAUUAACAAUCUAAUGUUUUCUAAAGAUGGUGAAUAAUUCACCGUUUUUAAAAUUUUAUUAAACACUGUGAAUGAUUCAAUGUAUUUUCGUUCUCCUUCCAUCAUGGAGCUAAGUUGGAGAAAAUAAGAUUGGAUAGCUGUUAGAUGUGACGCGAAAUUGAUAAUCGACUUUAGUUCGGGAUUUCGACUCGCCGACAGUUUUGCAGUGCGACUAAAUUGGAAAAUAAAAUUGUGAAACAAAAAUGAAUGUCUGUUGUGGGUAGCAGAGGGCUCGGGCUCCACAGUAUGGAUCGGAUCCAAAACCCAUUAAGAAUUUUCUUGUCAUUUUUGCCCUAGAGGCGAUAGUUUGAAGUUGGUUGUACUCACUGAACAUUAUAUUUUCUUUUUCGUUCGAUAGUGAAGUUCUCUCCUCUCUCGCCCGUAAUUUUUUCCUACAAAAGAUUUUUAGCAUAAAUCUGUGUUUUCUUUUUUAUUUCUACUUGUGGUUUGUUUAUUUUGUGUUUGCUAUUUUGUUUCCAUUUGUGCGCUUAUCGUAACAAUAGCCAAUUAAAAUUUUGAUAGGAUUAUUUGACAAAUUGUAAAUUUUUAGGAGUCAGUUUAAAAAAAGUCUCAUUUAUACACACAUGUUAAUUAUACUAUGGAGCGUACAUCCAAUUUUUAGACCUUGGGAUCCAUACCAAAAUAAAUAUCAAAUAGUAAACUCUAGUGAUUCAUGGCCAAAAAGUUUGAAAUUUCAUACUUUAAAAAGUAUCUAUAUAGAGAGUAUUAAUCUUAUACAUUAGUCGUCCAAGACUAAUACUUACUAUUUUUAUCAAUUUUUUUAAUACUAAAAAUUUGAUAUAAAAUUUUAGAAUUUUAAAUUGGUGGGCAUAAUAUUUACAUCUUAUAUGUACGGUGUGCAUAUAGAAUUUUGGGGCAAUUACUUAUAUAUGACUUUCUGAUUUAUCUCUCUUACAAGGCUAAUAUUGAAAAUACUCUUUUUACGUUCCAACCUAUUUCUAAUAUACCCCUAGAGUUAAAAUCUGUUAAUGAAUUCUGUUAUCUCUAUAAAAUUACUAUUUUGCCCUUUCAAAUAUACUCUUAUACUAUCAUCGACUUUUCUUAUUUGCCUUUUAGGCUUCGUUUGGGGGACUUUUCUUAUUUGCCCUUUAGGCUUCGUUUGGGAUUGCAGGGAGAUUACGUUACGUGCGGUGAGAAAGUACGUUGGAAAAAUACCCUGUUUGUUUCCGUACGCAAUAUUGCGUUCCGCAUAUUGCGAUGAGUCGGUUACGAUAUAUUUUCUGCGGUCCCACCGAAGAACUCAUAAGCAUAUCCUUAUAUGCUUUUUCUUCAACUCCACUUUAUCUAAUAGCGUUAGAUAUACCUCGAUACCAAACUAAGGCUUAGUUUGGGAUUGCGGGGAGAUUGUGUUACGUGCGGUGAGAAAGUACGUUCGAAAAAUACCUGUUUGUUUCCGUACGCAAUAUUGCGUUCCGCAUAUCGCGAUGAGUUGGUUACGAUAUAUUUUCUGCGGUUCCACCAGAGAACGCAUAAGUAUGCUUUUUUCUCAACUUCAUUUUAUCUAAUAGCGUUAGAUAUACCUCGAUACCAAAAGAAGCCUUAGUUAGGGGCACAAAAAGUGUUUGCUUUUCGGUCUUUUCAAAUAUACUCUUUUACUACCACAAACAUUUUUUAUUUGCCCUUAAGUUAAGGGCAAAAGUGGUAUUUUAUUUUUUUUUAAACAGUGAUAGAUAUUUAACUCACGUUUAACCUAAGUUAACUUAACGGAUUGUAACUGUAGGGGUAUUUUGAAAUAGCGGAGGAACAUUUGAGGGGUAUAGUAGAAAGAAAAAAAGAGUAGGAAUAAAUGAGAUAUUUUUAAUAUUUUGAGGGGUAUAUAGAUAAUUAUUCAUAGUAUUUUCCAUUACCAUAAUGAUGAAGUUUGAUUUACUAUCAUAAAGAACUCAGAAACAUAUCAAACAUUUAUUUAUAACAUGUAAAUAUAAUCUACUCUCUUUUUUUUCUUUAUGUUUUUUUCUUGCAAAAAUUGUCCAUACAAGGUCUUGUAUUUGAAACAAUUUUUAUGAAGUUGUAGUAGUGCUGCUCCUUGGGCCAAGUACUGUUCAAUAAUGUAAAAAAUUCGUUAUUUUUUAAAAACUUAAACUGAUAAAAAAAAAUAAUAUUUUAAAUUUUUUUUUUUUAUAUUUAACACUUUUUUUUAUAUCUGCACUUGAGAAUUUUUGGAAAGCGUAAGCUGGUAAAGAAUGUUGUUUUUAUACUUUUUAUAUUUAACACUCUAUGUUCGGACUUGAGAGCUUUUGAGAGGCUUACGGCGUGUACUUGAAUUAAAUAGAAAAAAUUAAUUAUGCUCGAAAUUUAGCGUUACUCGAAUUAAGCACCUCAUAUUCUGAUAUCAUGUUAAAUAAUAAUGUGAAUAACUGUUAUUCUCCAAAUUCUUAACUUAGUAGAGAAUGGUAAUUUUUAUUUUGAUUGAGAAAUGUCUUUUUCACUAAAAAAGAUAGUGGGAUUACCGGGCUAAGUUCUGAUUAAAAAGGACAUAUUUGUUUCACCAAACAUAAAAUUCACACUGAAGCUUGACGUAGACUUUCGAAUAAAUUAAAAUUCAGAUAAAAAUUCUCUCUCUUUUACUAUUUAUUUGUAUAGUUGUGGAACUAAAAGUUUUUCUAAUUAAUUUUUUUAUUUGACAAGAAGUGAGCAGAAGAAAAGCUAGCGUGUGAAAAUGGAUUAAUGAUCAUUUAUCUUUUUUCUCACCUUUUUUUUCUAUAGUUGACUUUAGAGUGGACUGAAGUCAAUUAUGGAAUUUUUAAAAAAUUGAGUUUCGACCGAAAAAAAAAAAGUUACACUAAAUCAAACAAAAUAUAAAUUUUCAAUUCUCUUUACUUUUAAUAAAAUAAACAAACAUAAAAUAUUUUUUGAUUGAGAGACAGUGCAAUAAACCUCUAGGCAAGGUCUUUUUUUUGGAUAUUGAAACACAUUGCCAAAAUUCUAUGUAAUUUUGCUCUUUUUAAUUUGCUGCUCUAUGUAAUAAUUAAAAGAAAAAUCUCCCCAAAAUUAUGCCCAUGUUUUGAAGAAACGAAAAAAGGUAAAAAGAGAAUGUGCUCAUUAAUAAAAGGAAAAACUUCAAAUACCACCCCUGUGGUUCUACACUUUCUUACUUUAGUGUUCUGUGGUUUAAAAUGUAUCAAUUUAAUGCUCUGUGGUUUCUUUUUUAUCUUUUUAUUAUCGAUUUCAUUAAGUUUUUUCGUUAAAUUAGUGAUAAAGUUAAAACUAAAUGAUACUAAGAUGAAUAGUCGAUAAACCUAGGUGGGGUAUCUGGAGUUUUUUUUGUGUAUAAUUUAACAAAAUAUUAACGAAAAAACUGAUGAUGAGAUAAAAAUAAAGCAACAGAAUACUAACUUGAUACACUUUAAACCACAUAAUAUUAAAGUGAGAAAGUGUGAAACAACAGGGAUGGUAUUUGAAGUUUCCCCUUAAUAAAAGAAUGUGCUCAUUAACAAAAAAUUCCCACUGUGUGGGAUGUUUGGGGCCAUUUGAUUAUUUGGGCCAAAACAAUCUUUUGCUAAAGAAUGUGCUCAUUAACAAAAAUUUAUUAUUAUUCUUAUUAGUAGUAGUAAUAGUAGCAGUACGAAUUAAGAAAGAAGUUUGAUUAAGAAAAAUAAAUAUAGACGGAAAUAAAGAAAACUCCUCUCUGACUUUUAAAAAGCUGCACUUAGCCUGCUCAAAAUUUCAGAACUAUUUUUGGAGAUUACGACAUUAACGGAGAGUGCGAAAUGGUAAAACUGUUUCCUACUCGUUUUGAAAAAAAAAAAACUUUUGAAUAUAUUUUUACUAUUUUCAAAGGUAUUCUCAAUAUAUUCUGUCAUAAAUUUUAAGAAAUUGAUAUAAUAGUAAUGAAACCUCGACGGCUAGGGAAUAAAAUUUUGAGAGACCAAAACAUAAAAUUUUGAAACUCUGGAGGAGAAAGUAAAAAAACUAGUAUUUACAAGAGAUUUUUUUUUUAUAUAUUUUAGCCAAAUUAAUACUAUCCUCUAAAUGAGAAUUAUAAGAGAGCAACUGUAAAAUUGAAAUAGAAAAUAGGUGAUGCUAUUUGUAUACUCAAAGGAAAAAAUAAUACAAAUCUUAUGUCUUAGCAUCUAAGGGUUAUUAUUAAUCUGUGUCUUGUCAAUUUUUUUUUACAAUACUAAAAAGGCCAAUUUGCAUAAAAAGUUCACUAGUUUUGCGAUUUCGCAAAACUGUGCCACUAUUUUGAAUUUUAUAGAUUCACAUCGAAAUUUUAGAAAACUGACGAAAAUAUUCUUAUUCCUUUUUCUCUCGUUCUUUUUUUCAUGUCCGACCCUUGUCGCCUCCUACACUAUCUCCGCAGCCCUCGGCGACUGUAAUGAGGGUGGCGCUGCCUCAUGUUCCUUCGCCUCCGCCUCCGCCUCUAUCGGCGCCGGCACUGACGUCGGCACCGGAGGAGGAGAACAUGGAGCCACCUCCGCCUCCGUCGGUGCCGAAGGAGGAGAACUUGGAGUGGGCCCGAGUGACGGCGGACCUGACGGAAGCGACAAGGUCAUGACUGAGGAGGUGCUCGCCGCCCGUGAGGAUAUGGAUAUAGAAGCACCAAUCUCCAAGGAGCAGAAAGAGAUGUAGAAAGUAGGAAAAAAAGAAUAAAAAAAUAAAGAAAAAAUUUUCUUCUUGAAAGACCAUUGUAUAUCAUUGCUAUUACAGAAAAUGCCAAGAAUCAGAGAAGAAGAAAGUAGAAGAUGGAUGUUGCACUGUUAAAAUAAAAUUGUACUAUUUCAUAAAAAAAAAUUACACUGUUUGAGAUGAACGUUGCACUCUUUAAGAUAAAAAUUGUACUCUUUAAAACAAAAGUUGUACUUUUUCGAUAAAAGUUACAUUAUUUUAGAAAAAAUUGCACUCUACCUUUCAUGGCGACCACCUUCGCCAACGCAAGCCUCUUCACUCUACGCGCCGCGUCGGAGCGCCGAAGUCCAGAGACGUCCCACCUCCCCUGUGCAAGGCUCGCCCUAUUCCCACACAGUGGCGGUGUUCCGCCACCGCCACCGCCACCGCCACCGUUGGCGCCAUGUUUAACAAGAUCAUUAAGCGUGGUGGCCGCAAAGUGCCUGAAUCAGAGUCCUCCUCCCUCGACCUUUCCUCCCUCUCUCCCUCAUUCUCUCCCCCGCUCGUCUCCAUCAACCAUGCCUCUUGCUGAGCCGCCGCCGCCGUUGUUACACCCUUGCUCUCCUCGGGCUCCUCCUCCUUCGCAAUCGCCGCCACCGCAUCAUCUCCACCGCCGCCUCCACCACUUCCGUCACUGCACCAGGGGAAUCAGGGCGGCCAUAGCGCUCACCAGGUGUUCGAGAUCGAGCCCCUCCCUUGCUCCGCAACAUGCAAACGCCGGACCGCCCCAUACUCUUCCUUUGCAAGCUUUGGGUCUGCUCCUUCCUCUUUGUCUCCUCUGCUAUGCCGUCUCCUUCGACAUCGACACCCCCACCGCGUGGGAAUAAGGCGAGCCUCGCGCGAGAGAGGUGGGUCACCUCCACGUUUCGGGGCUCCAACAUGCGGGGUGGACAGGCUCGCGCUGGCGAGGAUGGUCGCCAUGGAAGGUAAAGUACAAUUUUCUCUGAAACAAUGUAACUUUUAUCGAAAGAGUGUAACUUUUAUUUCAAAGAGUAGAAUUUUUAUCUCAAAGAGUGUAAUAUUUAUCUCAAACAGUGCAAUUUUUUUGUGAAACAGUGUAACUUUAUUUUAACAGUGCAAUAUUCAUCUUCUUCUUAUCUGAUUUCUGGCCUUUAUUGUAACAAUGACGAUAUAUAAUGAUCUUUCAAAUAAAUUUUUUUUUAUUCUUUUUUUUUUUUCUACCCGCUACAUUUGUUUUCGCUCCUUCGAGAUGGAUGCGUCUUCGUCCUCACCCUCAUGGGUGACGUGCACUUCCUCGGCCGACCUCAUUAUUUUCGUCCGUUCCGCUCUCACCUGCACCCACUCUGAGUUUCCUCCUCCGGCGCCGGCGUUGGUGCUAGCGGAGGCAGAGGUGGAGGCGCCUCCGAGUUCUCCUUCGGCGCCGAUGUUGGUGCCGACAACAGUAGAGGCGGUGGAAGAGGCACCGCCUUUAUUACUGUCACCGAGGGCCGCGGAGGCAAUUGAGGAGGCAACGAGGGUCAGAAAGGGAAAAAAAAUGAGUAAAAAAAAAAAGAAAAUAGAAAAAUAGUAUUUUUUGUCUGUUUUCUAAAAAUUUGAUCCAAAUCUACAAAAUUCAAAAUAGGUUUCCAUUUUUACAAAAUUAUUACAAAAUUAAUGAAUUUUUUAUACAAAUCGGCCUACUAAGAUCUAAAAGAAAAAUAAUCCAAAAACAACAAAAAUUUCUAAACGCUCCAAAAGAUGCCAUCAUAUAUUUUUAAAGUGAAAAAAAAAAAGAAAAAAAAAGAAAAAGAAAAAGAGAAAAAAUAAAAAACAGUGACCCCUUUCUCUUCUCUCCUCCCGUUUGCGAAGGAUCGAGAGAUCGAGAGAGAGAGAGAGUGGGAGAGAUUCGGCGAUCGGUGACGAUGAAGGCGCCGCCACCAGCGGCGGCGAGGGAACGGCGAGCGUUGGCGGCGGUGAGCACGGGGGCGGCGGCGCUCUCUCUCGGGGGCUCCACCUUCAUCGUGCUCUGCUACGUCCUCUUCAAGGAGCUCCACAAGUUCUCCUUCAAGCUCGUCUUCUUCCUCGCCCUCUCCGUAAGCCCUCUCCCCUUCUCCCUCUUUCCUCGAAUCUGUUCUUUCCUAGCUCAGAUUCGUAUGAUAGGCUGCGGAAUUAGGGUUUCCACGAGGUAAAAAUGUGUGGAGAACCCCUCGAUGGCCAUUUUGAGAUUUCCCCUUCAGCUUUAGAAUUAUCGAUUAACACUCCCCGUAACUUUUGAUUUUGAGUGAUUUUAGUCGAAUAAAUUGGUUAUUUUAUCAAAUUCAUCGACUAUUCCAUCCAAUUCAAUGGUUUUUAUCGAUUUUUAGCAAAUAAUACUGGACCAAUUAGUGGUUAAUAACCGACUUAACUUACUAGAAUAACAUAAAUUGAAAAAUUAGAAGUGAAUGGUUCUCAAUCGGAAAAAAAGCAAAGCCGAGGGGCCUAUUUCAGAAUGGCCUGUAUAGUUGAGGGAUCUCUAUACAUUUAGCUUUUUUUUGGAGUGGAGUGGAUAUAGUUAAUUAAAUUAGAGGUUUAUUAUAUUCUACUGCAUUUCUGUUAAAUUUUAAUGCUUGUAGAUAACUUUUAGCGUUGGAAUCGCAACAAUUAACAGUUAAUGUCUGACGAAGCUGUUAAAUUUUCAACAUUUUUAACUUAAACCAAGUGUAAUAACUUAGAUCAGAAGCAUACGGUGUUGAGAGGGAGCCAAAUAAAAGUUGAAGGGUCUAUUUCACAACGGGCUAUAUUUCGAGACGGUCUCAGUGCAUUUUUUGCCUUUUAUACUAAUACCUCUCUGAUUCAAAGCUGUUUUUGGCCUCCUUUGUAAUAUGGAAACACUAAUAAAUGUAGUGAUACACUACAUGUGGGCUUCCUUAGAAGAUUUCAAGUCCUCUACUUAUGAUUUGUGAUGCUUUUUUUGGACCUUGUCAAAACUCUUGUCGAUGUUUUAUUUGCGGUUAUUUUCUCUUAUCUUUUAAAAUCGUCUGUAAUCCAGAACGUUUAGUUGAUAAGUUGCAUCUGUCUUGCAGGAUAUGUUUUGCAGCCUCUUCACCAUAAUAGGGUAUGUUCCUUUUUUUUUCUCAGUAGCUCUUCUGAUGCUAUCAUUCUUUGUGAGAUUCUUUAUCAUCUUUUAGAGUAAAUUCACUCAAGAACACUAGUUUAUCCUUGAUUAUAGAAAAAGCUGAACUCUUUUCCUAUAGGAAUUGAUAACAUAGGGAUAUUUGUACCGCCAGAGUUGCACCAAAUGGGGGAUAUAAUUCUUCCAACAUGAUUCCCGAAAUGUACCACUACAUAUAGCCCUAGUUUAGAAUUUCAUAUUAAGGUUAUUAGCAAUUUGAGGAUCUUUUUGAUAAUUCCUUAUCCAGCUUAUUUUCAAUGGUACAAAUAUCUCAUCCCUAGUUCAGUUUCUUUACUUUUUCUUCUUCUGUUUUGGACUAGUCUGGAUCGCUGCCAGCUUUUGUUAAUUUUCAUUUGACCGACCCCUUGCUUCAAGGAAUUGGGUUACCUUCACUUCGACCGAUAAAUUUAUGGGCAGACUGUGAGAUGCUGUAGUAUAUGAAUACAUACAACAUUCUAAUGAGUUAUUCUGACGACCAUAUGCUUAGUUGCAUGUCAAAUUUAGCUUUUGUCCUGUGGGAACAUGUUGCUUUGCUUUGAUCACUUCAUGCAUAAAUGUAUCUGAAUCCGAGGAACGAAUUAGAUCAGAAUUAGCACCUGCCUGAUAUGCAUGAGUAAUGUGAAGUGAGGACAACUCUAACAGAAUAUACUUGGUGCUCAAAAGGGUGAAGUAGUAUAUGUCUAUAUGGUAUACCUUGUCGAAGUCUAUUAUAAUGACUUUAACUGUGAUGAAUAAGAUUCGAAGGUUGUUUUGGUCCUCUUUUAUCAUAAUAUCAUAAUCCCCUUGUUUUUCAUCAUUCUUUAAAUAAUGAAUAAUGACUCCUGCAGAAUGACACUUCUUUAUCUUUCAGCGACCCAUCAAAUGGAUUUUUCUGCUAUGCUCAUGACUACAGUGCACACUUCUUUUGUGUGGCAUCGUUUUUGUGGACUACAACGAUUGCAUUCACUCUUCAUCGUACAGUUGUUAAACAUAAAACGGAUGUUGAAGACUUUGAAUCUGUUUUCCACCUGUAUGUAUGGGGUAUGCUUUCUGCUUGCAUGGCUUAUUUUUCUCACUGAUCCUUUGUUAGAGUAUGACAAUAAAUGGUUGUUCUUUUCUUGGUAUUUUUGCCAAAAAAGGAUUCACUUUUUUCUUUUUUUGAAUUUGCAAGAAUGCGUCACUUUUUAUGUUUUUCAAACAUUAGCCGACUUCUAAAUAGGUAUAAAGUUCUUCAUGAAAUGACCAUGAUGCACAGUUUUAAACUGCGGCUCCUCCUUUUGAAGCUGUAUUUGACAAUUUAUUGUUGUAUCCCAAAAUUCCUUUCUUACUAAUUUAGUGUUUCCAUUAUUAGUUUGUUAACUUUUGCUGUUCUGCAUUGCCACCCAAGUUAGUUGUUGCCUGGAUCUGAUUUAGUGUUUCCAUUAUUAGUUUGUUAACAUUUGCUGUUCUGCAUUGCUAGCCAAGUUAGAUGCUGCUUGGAUCAGUAGAAUUAAUUUCCAACAAGCAGCCCUUAUUUUGAUAACAGUGGUUUCAGGUGCUGACCGAAGCUUGAUUUUGUUCCUACUAUUCCCUAGAGUGUUUUUGUUGAUUGUGAUUUUAGUAGCAGCUUAUCCAUCAUGUUUUUUUUUUUUUUGUCUUCCGCCAAGAACUUACGCAUUAAAUUUGACAAUGAUUUGGUUUCUUUUGGUAAACAUAGUUUAAAUGUCAUGUAGCUUUUUCAAAGGUUUAUAAAAUUGUAAGCAUAAAUCUGCGCUAUUGCAGGAACCUCACUUGCUAUGACUAUUAUACGUGCAAUUGGCAGUGAUUAUGGACGGCCUGGUGCGUGGUGCUGGACUGAACCUGCAAAUACUGGAAAGGUGUGAUACUGGUGUCUACUACUUUGUUUAUAUCAUAAUUAAUUACUUGUAGGUUGCACUACAGGUUUUCUGGAAAUAUAUGCUUUCUGAACACUGUUAACCUAUAUUGCCAUCGUCAACAAAAAAAAAAAGUUGAUAUGUGAUAAGUUUUGUCUGAGUAAAAGAUUGCUGCCUAUGACUUUCCGAGUAAGUUGCCUGUAGGAGGAGGCAAGAUCCCUCCUUUUUAUGUUCUUUUUGUUGGAGGAUAUGUUUGUUUCUUCUUUAUUCAAAGUUUGAGUGAGUAGGCUAGUAGUAAACUUGUUUAUUUUACAUUUCAGGAUUUCCUAAACAGUUUGGUUAGGUUGUUCAUUAAUAAACAUCAUUGUGCUCAGAUCCCAGAGGAAAGAAAAAACUCACUUGGCUCUAGGAGAAACUUCGUUUUUGUAAGAAACAUUUCUUUCUUUCUAAAAUUUUUCUGAAAACUAUAUAUAUAUAUAUAUAUAUUUCUAGAUUUCAGGUAUGAAUGGAUCUCAGGAUAGAAUUUAAAUUUUUUGUCCAUUACGCCUUUAGGUUUUCCAGUCUUGAUUAAGUUAGGAAUACAUUGAUUUAUGAAGUGAGUAGUUAUAUUGAAGAGAAUCCAGAGAGACAAAACAUUUCUAGGAAAAAUGCAGACUAUAAGUAUCUUCCACUUUCUAAAUGAUCUAUUCUAUAUAGUACUAGGAACCCAAUUUUCAUGCAUCACGAUAGAUGGGAAUUAUAUGUAAUGACAAGUACAAAAUCUUUAGUUUGUUUCUACAUAUCCUUUAUUUGCAUCUACUUUUCAAGUUCAAGUGGUAACAACCAAGAGUUCUGAUAAUGGGAUCUUGUAGCAUCUUCUUUUGUGUAGUUUUGACUUGGAUUGUUCUGUUUGUUUGCUCUUGCCAAGUAUUUGUGCUGUUGCCAUACUCAAUUUUCUUUUUCGAGUAAUUCAAUUUUGUCUAUUUUCUCCGGUUUUACUCUUCCAUUCCAUGAUUUCUAAUUAAUUACAGGUAGCGCACUUGAUAACAUUUUAUGGUCCAUUGUGGGGUGCAAUUCUUUACAAUGGUUUUACAUAUUUUCAAGUAAAUCGCAUGUUGAACAAUGCGACAAAGGUAUGUUGCACAUUACGCUGACUAAUUUAGUGAGCUGUUUUGGCAGUAACUAUUGGUCCGGAAAUUGUUUCAUAAAUACCUUAUUCUGCUCUGCUCCUUUUUUGGCAUUCUUAGGUUAUGUCUCAUGUUUUGUGAAACAAAUUGCAGAUGGCUGUUGGCAUGGGUGGAUCAAACCAAUUUGAUACAAGGGCAGAUAGGAAGGUAUCCCUUUGUUCUCCCGACUACUUUUUGUUCAGAGUUUCUAUGUCGUGGUUGUUUUCAGUAUUAUAUGCGCUUCAGAUGUUUGAAUUCUAUUUCUUCAUGGAAGUUGCUCCAUUUCAAACUUACCAUAACUCAAUGCUUAAAUUACACCAUUUAGGUGCACAAUAUGCACGCAGAUAAACUCACACAGACGCACGAACAUGCAUAGACAUGUUUGUUCAACGUGAACAUAGUAUCUGAAUUCAUACAUAAAAACAUUGUCCUUCCUGUUAGAGCAAUGAUGCCACAAUGGCCAAUUAUGAACAAAGUUAACCGUUCGCUCUUGCACUUUGAUUUGUUUGCAGGCAUUCAAUCGGUGGGGUUACUACCCUUUGAUUUUAAUAGGCUCUUGGGCUUUUGGAACCAUCAACCGUCUAUAUGACUUUGUUAAUCCAGGCCACAAGAUCUUCUGGCUUUCAUUGCUUGAUGUUGGAUUUGGUGGACUUAUGGUAAGUACUAGUGUAACUUUCUGUUCACGGUGUUUCUUCUCAAAUUCUGAAGAUAGAAUUUUGUUCUCUUAUUUUUCUUUGGUAUUAUGAUAUGAUCAAUCAGACCGCAAUCUAUCUCAAGUUUUCCUUUACAAUUCUGGCAGUCGCAAAAUAAUUUCCUAGUUAGCAGUAAUCUCUUUCAUCAAGGACUUCUUUUCCCCUGUUUUAAGUUGCGUCUGGGUUUGACUUUGCUUUGCACAUUAUCUAUAAAUAAAGUCACCCUUCAUUCACAACUAUUUGUGGUUGGCUUUAUGGAUUUGAUUCCUAUGUUCCAGUAUCACAUGGGCAAGAUUAUUCCCGGCCAAGUGCAAUUAUGUUUAUUCUUACUACUCUUUAGGCACCUUCAAGCUGAACAAAUCCUCUACUCAAUCAUUGUGAUCUGUAGAAUAGUGUCUCCAAGCAUCUGUUAAGUAUUAUUUGAUUUCUUAUUGGCUUGGAGGCUUGUCGGAACUUAAUUACAUCAUAUUUUUUUUUGGAGGAACUAUUUAGAAAGUAUGCAUACAGUAUAUAUGAUCUAGAUACGUACCUCUUAACCGCUUUUUUUGUGAGAACCCCUAAAGCCCUAACCCUUAAGAUGACCAGUGAAAUUGUAGUGUUAAGGACUGAUAAAGCAGAUGGGAGUAGAAGGUUAUGCCAGACUGCAGACAAUUAUCUGCUGCCUGUGGUUUCUUCAGUUUACCGGCUUAUAUGUAGGCGAACUAGAGGGCUUAAUUACAUUUUUACUGGCCAACUAUUUAUACAGUUAAUAGGUAUAAAAGUCGAUGAAUAUAUGGAUGGCGAUUUUAUUUUCUUAAUGAAUUUAUGCAUUAGGCCUAUUUGUAUGGCGCAAAUGGCAUCAUCUGUGAUUACCAAUGUUGGUAUCCUUGGCUUUGGUUUUCCCCUCAUAACUGUUUUCCAUUUUUCGUGGCGUAGGGACUCUUCAAUUCGAUUGCUUAUGGGCUCAACUCCUCUGUCCGUAGAGCAAUUUCGGAAAGAGUCGACAUGUAAGUUAUAAGCAGUUCUGAAACUUCACAGGCAUAGAGAUCUAAUUUAAAAUCGCCAUACACUUAAAAAUUAGGAACAAGUUUUUAUUCUAAGUAUUGUACGUCCUAAUCAGGUGGAUACCGGAGAGAUUCGGAAGAUGGCUUCCUACUUGGCUGAAACCCAGAAGUCAACAGCAAGAAAACGAGCUCGUUUCACUUAUCGUUGAGGGACAAAGAUAGUAAAUUUCCAAUUCAGCUCUUUUUAUUCAUUUCAUGACACAAUUCAUUUAGACUCAUCAAGUUCAUUGGCGAGAAGAACAAGAGAAAUUGACGAAGAAUACCGAUUCAAAGCAGCUGCUCUACUCUACCUUCAUUUUUUCAUCUUGGUUUUUGCAGAUAUCGACACCAUUAAUAUUCUCUCUCUUAUAUUCCUGCUAUUAUUGUUUGUAGAGUUUUUCUUGGGGAAAAUCUUGAGGAUGGUAAGGAUAGGGUGGAGAGAAUUACUUGCAAAUAGAAUGCUCAAUAGAUUAGGAAUGUAAAUUGUUGUGCUCAGAUUAUUUUGUUUCCUGUUUUCCCCCUCUCCAGUGUAUCAUUGUCAGUAUAUUUUUUGAGUUCAUACCACUAUUUUUUUUUUUUUCUCUUUUUUCUUUGGAAUAAAUCUUAUCACAGUUUGUGGGUGAGCUAGCAAUUGUUUUUCGUAGAAUUACCAUACUUACGAUUUGGCCCUCUUUGUUUGCCCUUAUUUGAUUUUCAAGUUGGAAAUGACUUUCUGAUGAACUGAAGCUCGGGUAAAUAUUAUUUUUCCACCCUUGUUUGGUUGAUCGCAUGUUAAUGGCUUUGGAACUGUUGUUUAAGUUCUCAUUUUAAAUCAAUUGUAAUUUUUUCAUCUUCUUUUUCUAAUUCUAAUAGAAAGAAAAUUCUAAAGAAAAGGUUUUUCAAACCAUAAAAAAGUCUUUUCAUUUUUCUCUUCUUUAAGUCUUCCCAAUUCCCAAUUACCUUGAUAGGUAUCAAGAUAAGAAUCUUCGUGAACUGGGCUAUCUUUAUAGCAUGUCUCUUUAAAGUGAAAGUGGAAUUCAUCCUUUGUUUUUUCCGAGUGAAUCGUAAGAGAAAAAAUAUCUUUUUUUUUCAAUUUGUUGUCAGUCGGGGCGAGGGCCUUGCUCUGCUCUAGUUCACCUCCGGUAUCUGUAUGAAGCCUAAUCACUUAGUGUAAAGUCCCGGAGGUGAACUAGAGCAGUCCUUAAGGGGAUUUCUAAGGGGACAGAGUCCCCUUAGACCACGUAGCCCAGUUUGGCGUUAGCCAAUUCCCACCGGUAGGUGGAUGUGAGGCUUCGCGAAUCUCUGGACCCAUAAAAAGUGGAAUUUGUGCUUGUGGAAAUUAUCGAGUGAUCAGAGCUGAAAAAGAAGACCCGAAAUUUUGCGAACAAUGCGGGGUAGAAUUUGUUGACUCUCGGAUACGAAGAUAUCAAAUGGGAUACAUCAAACUCGCAUGUCCAGUGACUCAUGUGUGGUAUUUGAAACGUCUUCCUAGUUAUAUCGCGAAUCUUUUAGAUAAACCCCUUAAGCAAUUAGAAGGCCUAGUAUACUGCGAUGUGUGAUUUGAUCAAGAUUUUCAUUUUACAGAUUCGGAUUGAUUUUCAUUUAUUGUUUGUUUCCCUAAAAAUUUUCACAUUAGCAUAUAAAUGGAUGAAAAGAAGUAACAUUAGUUAAUUUUUCAGUAUCCAUUUAUAAGGCCUUUUGAGAAGGGCCAAGUCAAUUACGGUGGAUUUAAUUUAUAGCAAAUAAAAUAACAAAAGCGGACGAAUUUAAUUUAUAGCAAAUCAAAUAACAAAAGUGAAUAUUUACGGUCGAGAAUAGUUACACCCCCUUCCUCUUUCUGUAAAAGAAACAUGCCUCAGCCAAAAGAACACAAAUUCACCCCUCCAACUACAUAAAUACACGCAAAUCGACUAUAUUUGCACUGAAUCAUCCUAUUACAAAAGCUUCUGCUUCUUCAACAGUGAAUUUGUUCUGAAAAAAGACAUCUGAAAAUAAGCAUAAAUCCUGCAGCUUAGCAAGCAUUGAGCCUAUUGUUUUAAGUGCCGUAGCAGUUUUUCUUAUGAUUUCACAGAAAAAAAGUGGAACAUUACAAUGAGAUUGCUCUCAAUUGCACACAACAUGAUGAGAAUAAAUGAAUAUGCGAACAUGUCACUUGUACAGCUGUAUGAUAACCACUCUUAUGUACAAUUCAACAGAGCAUCCGCGAUAUAUCCGCCGUGAUCUUAUGCCCCUCUUUCGCGGUGGUGGCACAACGCGUUCGCGCAUGAGCUUCUAUGAAGAAUAGUCUCAGCAUGAAUCGCCGAAUUUGGGUACUUCUUCUUGUGCCUGUAGUGGUAACACUGGUGUUCUCCUUUCACUGGUGUUUCAAUCUCCAUCUCCAUUUUCUCCUUGUUAUUACUACUAUUAUCUUCUUUCUUUUCCUCAACCAUCACUUUAUAAACAAAAGGGUCCCCAAAAGAUGAAUCACUGAACUCCAAAAGAGACUCCAAAGCCUCAACAAUGUCCCUCAUAUUUGGCCUUGAUUUUGGGCUCUGGCUUAAGCAAUUGUAGGCUACAAGAGCAACUUUUUGUGCACCCUUUGUGGAGUAUUGGAGGUCCAGGUUUGGGUCCAUAAUCCGGUACAGCUUAUCGGGCUUUUUCAAACACGGUCGGGCCCAUUCGAUGAGGUUCUUCUCCCUCCUCCGGCGGGUGCGGUCGACGCACGGCCUCCCGGUUAGUAGCUCUACUAAUACCACUCCGAAGCUGUACACGUCGCUCUUCGUUGUAAGAUGACCUGGAGAUUACACAAUCAUGCCGAUAACAUUAUUCGUAAUGCGUUGCGAACAAUAGAUCAUUCAUCGAAUUACAGAGAGUUUUAAGUCGAUAAAAGAAAAUUCUGUAACCGGUACUAAACAAGGCUUAAACUUAAAAGAAUAGUGCGCGUGUUUUAUAUGCAUUUUGCAUUCAACAUUGGAUUCAUACCAGUCAAGAUGUACUCGGGCGCGGCGUAGCCUUGCGUGCCCAUAACGCGGGUGGUGACGUGAGUGUCAUCGCCCUGCGGACCAUCCUUCGCUAGCCCGAAAUCCGAGAGCUUCGCCGUGUAGUCCUGAGGAUGAGAAGUAGAACAAGAACCUUUUGAUCAAUGUAGGCAUUGGUUAAUCAUUUGUAGAGAGAGAUGGGGGGAAAAAAUUUAGAACAUGUAGCCUGCAUAUUUGGCAACAGAUGUAUGAGUUGUGGUCUAUGAAGAUGCAAACAUUUGCUUGUAAGUUUGAGGAAUGCGAUAUAGUCACAGUUAGGGGACAUUUGGGUUGACGUAAAUCGUACUUCCGCUGAAAAUCAAGUUUUGGUGGGAAUAAAGAUAUUGGCCUUGCCACCAGCUUGCAUAACGCUAAAGAGACUCACCGACCGUCCCUAGCGCAAGUAGCGAAGGACUUGGUGGAUGGUAUCUGAUGUCCUAAGUGUUAAAUAUAAAAAUGUUUAAAACACUGUUCUCUAACAGUUUAAGCUUUUAGAGUACAACGGUUGUUUCAUAUGGUAUCAGAGCAGAAGGUCCUGAGUUCGAGUCACGCCAGGCUCCUAGUAUAUUAAUUUCCUCCUAUUUAAUUCAAGCCCACGUUAUGGGCCGAUUAAAAAGUCUCGAGCCCAGACGUGAGGGGGAGUGUUAAAUAUAAAAAUGUUUAAAACACUGUUCUCUAACAGCUUAAGCUUUUAGAGUACAACGGUUGUUUCACACUAAGUUCGAAUUAGGGAUGUCAACGGGUCGGGUUUGGGUCGGGUUUUUAAAAACCCGAACCCGAACCUGAAAACCAAAUUAAAACCCGGACCCGGACCCGAACCCCGACCAAAAACCCGAAACUCGAACCUGGACCCGGACCCGGCCGGUUUUAAAAAUCCAUACCGUUAAAUGAAGAUCUAAGGGAUAAAAAUUAUUAAAUAUUUUAUAUAUUAUAUAAAUAAAUAAAAAUAAAGUACGUAUAUAUAUAAUUUAUUCGGGUUUGGGUUCGGGUCGGGUUCGGGUUUGGGUUCGAGUUCGGUCGGGUUUGGGUUCGGGUCGGGUAAAUACAAAAUUCAUACCCGUAUCCAUAUCCAUCGGGUUUUUAUUUUCUAUACCCAUAACCAAAUCCCUACCCGUUUAGCUCGGAUAAACCCGUCCCGUUCGGGUUCGGGUUCGGGUAAUAUUUCGGGUAUCCAUACCCAUUGACAUCUCUAGUUCAAAUACUUCAUAUUUUCAAUUAAGUUUAUUUCUAAAAAAAAUAAACAAAGCGAGUAGCAUGUUACCUUUCUCUCAAAAAAAUACUAAAGAGAUUCAUAUCGUUUUGUCGUAGAUGCAAAGAAAAUUCGUUUUUGUAGAAUUAAGCCCAUAACUAUAUAUAUUUGCUCAGUAUCUUCACAAUGGGUAACAAGCCUAAUAUUUUCACUUAUAAUAAACUUAAUUUACGGUUGAAUCGCAGCUUCAUUGAUCCAAACGCCCUCAUAGGACAUGAAGUAUAGAAUAUUACAAGAUUGGUGAAAGUUCAAACUUUGCAAAAAAAAUUUAUAUUCUAUACAACUUUUCUUUUUUUAAAUCAAUUUCUUAUUUUUCUAUUUUGAACAUUAAUAUUUAGCAUGUUUUUUGGUUGGAUAAGUAAAUAUAUUUGAGGAAUGCUUCGAUACACCAUAAAUAUUAAAAUUUAAUUCUUAAUUAGUAAAUGGUAUAAUUGGCCGGAUUUUACAUGAAGUAACCUGUUGAAUAGGUUACCGAUUUGAAUAGUCAAUAUGACAAUAUUGGGAAAAAAAUUAAUAAUAUAUAUCAAAUUUGUCAGCAUCCUAUAAAUAUUAAAUAUAUGAUUUACUUUGGUAACUUACCAAAUUAGAUAAUACAAUUUGUUAAGUAUCUAGCUCAAAAAACUAUUAAAUUUAAAUUCAAAGUUGGUAUUGUAAUGUAAAAUUUUAAUUUUGAAAUUUAUAUUAAACUUUUAAAUUUGAAUCUAAAUUGAACUUUUAAUCUUAAAGCCAAAUUUUAAUUUUUGAUUUAAAUUGAAAUUUUGAAUUGGAACUAAAAGUUUUAUUUUAAAUUUGUGUUUUAUAUUUAAAAAAAUUUAAUUUUAUUUAUAAUUAAGUUUUUAAAUGUUGUUUUGAAUUUAAAUUUAUAAUUUGACUGUAAUUUGAAAUCCAACUAUUAUUGUAGGCAUUUGAAAAGGUCACAGUAUUUUUAGUUGGAUAAAACUGGUUUUGUAAACCAAAAUAUUUUAUAAAGACCAAAAUACUCUUUAAAUAAGUACCUGGUGAAUGGUACCUAUGCUUUAAUAGUAGGUGACCUCUAGAGUCGUAUUAAAUCUAAACCAUCUAUUAAGAAAAAUAAAUGGUCAAGAUUUAUAUGGUGUAUUGAAACAUUACUCUAUAUAUUUUUAGUCAAAUAACUAACACAAGGAGUGCUCAAGUUGGCACCCAUCACUCUAAUAAGGAUAGAGAGAACUAAUUAUAAUUAUUUUUAAUAAUUUAGAGAAGACUUAUCAUAAGAGAAUCAUCAAAUAAUAAUAACAAUAACUCAGAUAUUACUUAUGGCCUAGUCAAUGAGUUUGAAUAUUGCAUGCUUUUGACUAGCUAUGUGGCAAGCAAGUACACAAGUACUUUCUUAUUUAAAUGUUAAACUAUGGAUUUGCUUCAUCUCAUGGCUUACUUUAAAAGUACUUGAUGUAUAUUUUGACCAAAAAGAAAAAAAAAAUUGUUAAGUUGUUGAGGUUCAUGAGUUAAUUAGACAAUUGAUUCUUUAUUAGAGAAAACUAAUUAUAUGAUUGAUUCUAUAGAGAGAGAGAGAGAGAGAAGGAGACUUACAGAGUCUAAUAAUAUGUUUGAAGCUUUGAAAUCGCGGUAGAUCACGGGCUUAUCGGUUUCGUGAAGGAAGGCGAGUCCCUUCGCAGCUCCUACCGCGAUCUUUAAUCUCGUCGACCAUGGUAAAGAAGCAUGAAGCACUGCAAACCACAUGGAGAUGAGCUUAAUACUAAUCUUCACAUUAUGUUUCACAUAAGUACUUAUUUUAUUGCUUUUACUACCACUUUUAAUUCUAAGUGUUGCCUAAUCCAAAUCAAUGAAGCUCACUUACAAUUUGAUUUAGAUCAAACAACUAAGAAAAUUUUCAACAAGCAAAUGAUACUGAAAGUGGAUUAACGAUUCAGAUGUCUUAUCAUAAGAAAUAAGGUAGAGAUACGAAGGCUUUCGUCCUCGGAGGGUAUGUAGAAUGAUCAAAAGAGGAGAAAAAAAUGAACUUACUUUUAAAGAGAUGGUUCUCCAAGCUUCCCCUGGCCAUAUAUUCAUACACCAACAUCCUAUGCUCAUCUUCAUAGCAAUAGCCAAUUAGUUUCACCAAAUUGGGAUGCCUCAAUUGCCCAAGGAAUAUUACCUCAGCCUACAAAUAUAACAAAUACAACAAAUUACAUUUUUACAUGUACCAUGUUCUACAAAGAUAUAAGACACUAACUAAGAAAGUUUCAAACUAAAAAGGGAAAGCCAAAACAUAAAGGCUCUCGACUAUAGGCAUAUUUAAGUCUUUUAUUUCUGCUGUAGUGGAAAGGUGUUGUACAGUUUCUAAUGAAAUAACUUUUUCUUGAAGCGUAAGUUGAUCGGGCGAAGUAAGCCUUGAGCUUCAAAAGCAGAAGUUUCAACGUAAACAUUUUAUGUUUACUACAACAUCUCCAAACAUCUCUAUUUAAACAGCAUUUUCACAUAAGCAGUUAUCGUAAAACUUACCAACCACUCCCUAUGUCCUUGUGACCCUUCCGAAUCCAAGUACUUCACAGCAACCUGCUGUGCUUUAAGCCCAAGCCUCACCCCCUCCUCAAUGGAGCCCUUGUAGACUGGCCCGAACCCGCCCGACCCGAUGAAGUUGCUCGUCGAGAAGUUCCGGGUCGAGUAUUUGAGCUCCUCGAAGGUGAACAUAUGGAGGUUCGAUCCGGAAAGCGUCAAGGAGAGAUCCUCUGGGGAGAAAGAGAAGGUUGAGGGAGUCAUUGAGCUUGUAAUUUGCUUCUUUUCUCGCGGCUUCGCCCUUUCGCCAAGUUUCCUACCAAAGCAUGCUAUGAAGAAUGAAUUCCAAGUGUUCUUGGACAUGUUUGCUAGAGAGAGAGAGAGAGAGAGAGAGAGAGAGAGAGAGAGGUUCACAAGGUAGUUAGCACAACCAUAUUGUAUUGAUUUAUAUAGGAGUUUCUUUGCUAUAAGGGAUGUAACUUUGGAAAUGCCCAUAAAGAGUACAUUGGCUUAGUCAAUUGCAAAAAGAAGGGGAUAAGUGUAGAAGGAGUGAAAGCAUGAAACAUAUUUUAUAGUGCCUCAUUUCUCUAUCAGAAGUUGGUAGACCACUUUUGCAAUCUUCUCUUUGAUUUGUUUAGGAUUUUAAUGCAAUAUUUUAGUGGAUGACCUAAUUCCUUUUUUUAUGGUUUCAUGCUAUUUGAUCUUAUAUAUAUAAGAAAAGCCUAAGUAUAACAGGUAAUCAAUAAAUUAUUAGCAGAUGAUUACAUCUAUUCUUUUCUUUGUAUAGCGGGUGUUUGGUUUUCCAAAAAAUAUUUCAGAAAACAGUUUUCUAGUUGGUUUCUGUCCGUUUGUUUUCUAGAAAAUAAUAGUUUUACUAAAAAAAAUUUCCUAGAUUUUAUGAGAAAAAUAAUAUUUUCAUUUUUUUGAACUUUUUAUCCCGCAGAAAAUAAAACUAUAUUGGAAAAGUGUGUUUUCCAUGGAAAAGUUUUUCUCUGAAAAAUAAUUUUUCAUGUGUUUUUGUGGAACCAAACACCAUCUUAUGGUCUAUUUAAUUAGAUGAGACACUGGGAGAUAAAGGUUAAAAUAUAUGUUGCUUCAAAUUAUUUGCUAGGGUACUCUUUAACACUUUCAAAAGUGAUUGAUUAAUUUUUUGCACAAUUUACCUCAUUCAACAACACCAAACAACCAACACAAUAAAGGUGCUUUCAUAUCCCACGAGAGUAAAAAUUGUUAAAUUAUCUCUUUGAGCAUGAUUUCAGAAACACUUCAAAUAUUAGCACUUUGAGAGGUCAUGAGUUCAAUUUUCUACAAUUUUAAUGCAAACCGAUUUCAAACCUGAUAUCAAAAACUUAUGAUCGAUCGAGUACCUUACCUACUUUUUCUAUUAUAGCACAAACUGGAUUUGAUUAGAACCCUCUCGGACCGCAGAAAACACUAAAUUACCAUUAUGCUUAAACCCUAAUUCGAACUCAGGGUCUAGAUCAGCUUCAGACCGAGUACCUUAUCUGCCUCUCUCAUUAUACUACAGCCCGAAUUCUGACUUGAAAUCUAAAGCCUCAGAUCGAGUACCUUAUCCACCUAUUUACAAUAAGGCUUCAAUGACAAUAAUUCUACCUGAAUCACUUCAUAUAUAUAUAACUUCCCAAAACUAAAUUUACAAUAAUGCUAUAUAAAUAUUCUUCAUUGACAUAACAAUUGAGAAGGAAUGCAUUAGACUGAGAAUAUCAAUUCUACAAAGCAGAUAUUAGAAUCAUAAUGAAACUUUUUUUUUUUUUUUUUGAGAUUAUUCAGUGACACUGUAGAUUUUUUUUUUUCUUUUCACAGCAAAACUUAAGGGGGCAUAUAUUUGGUUGCGCAUAAAAAUAGGCCUAAAAAUACUAUGUAUGCAAAUGGAAAAGAAGUUUUCAAGUGUUUGAUCCCACAAAAAAUACCUUUUAUUUUGAGCAUAUUUCAAAAAGUAUUCGUUUUUAUUAAUCUUUCGGAUUAUUUUGGCAGAGGACACAAACUGUUAGAUAAUGUUACUACAAAAUAUUAAAACAAUUGUUUUUUGCUCUAAUAUCAUGUUAAACAAUAUGACACAGUCGUUUUUCUCUAGCAGUUUAUGCUAUAACAACUUAUACUAUGAGAGAAUGGUGUUUUAAUAUUUAGAUUCAAUACAAACCAAAAUCUAAAAAGUAAAAGCACUCUUACUUUUUUUUAUUUUCUUUUUCUUCAAACCAAAUACGUGUUGUAAAAAUUAUUUCAAAUUUACUUCCUAGUAAACGCUAACAAAUGCAAAAAAAAAAAAUUCUAUGAAUGAUUUUUUUAGAAAAAAAACAAGAGUUCGGCUGGUAUACUAUCAGUAACACGGAGGUUUCCGUAUUAUCAAGUUGUUUUCAAUGAUGUAGCUUUCAAAUCGACGAUCGACUCCAUUAGACUUGAUUUACACUAUUGAAAGUAUUUGAAAACUAAAUUUCAUUAUUUUUCGACAUCAUUUACUUAUCAAACGAAUAAUCUAAAAAUGAACGGCUGAAAAUAAAAAUCUUAUAAAAAAUGAUGAUAAAAGACUUGAAUUUAAAAUUAGAGUUACUGAUCUUACUCUAAAUAGUAAAAAAAAUUUCUAUAAAAAUUUCAUCAGAUUUGAAUUGUUUUAUACCAUUGAAUUCACAAACGUAUCACAUCGACCAUUAAAAUUAUCAAUUUUGAGAAUUUUUUGACUAUUAGCCAAAUAAUAUUGAAAAAUUAUGAAAUUUGAUUUUCAAAUACUUUCAACAGUGUAGAACAAGUCUAAUGGAGCCGAUCAUCGAUUUGGAAGUCACAUCAUUAAAAAUAAUUUGGUAGUAUAAAGACCUCCGUACUACUGAUAGUAUACCAGUCUAGCGCAAAAAAUUACGACUUAGGGCUUUUUCGGUGGCCUAGUAAUAUUGUUUGCAAAAAAGCAAAGACAAGGGAUCCCAAAUAGAUAGAGUCAAGUGUUUGUUGAGUUCGACCUCUCCUUAAUUCUAAGCCGUUAUGUGGUGUGGGGAUUCCACACGCACCUUGUUAAUUUUCAAAGGGCGUGUGGACUCCACCAACUUUUGCUUUUUCUUUUUUUUUCUCUUUUUUUUUUUUUGAAAUUCUCUUCUAAAAAAAAACUUUUUCUUCUUUAUUAUUAUUAGUUUUUAAAAGAGUUAAUUUCAUGCAGUUUUCUGUAAACAUAUCGAAUAGCAAAUAUAUUCCUAAAGAGUUCAACUUUUUAAUUUUAUUCCUACAAAAAUUCUAAUAUUUUCAAAUAUAUCACUAUUAUUAGAAUCCUUUAGAAAAAUAUAGUUAAAAAUAAUAAAAUAUUUAACCCUAGUUAGUGAAUGAGUUAAAUGAACUUUUUUACAUCUCUUAUAUUAUUAGGUAAAAUACUUUUUUGGGAGAAUAUUUCUGCAUAAUUCUAAAAGUUAGAGUUUUUGGAGGGAUAUAAUUGUAAGGGCAAAAAUAUCAUUUCACUUAUUUGCUGUUAAAAAAAUAAAUAGUGCUCUAACGAUAACAAACUAGAAGGAAAAAUACGAAUAUUACUGGAUUUUUGUAGGAAUAAAAAUAAAAAGUUGAACUUUAUAGAAAUAUAUUUUCUAUUCAAUAUAUUCACAGGGGACUAUAUGCAAAUAACCUUUUUUUAAAAUAGUCAAUUCAAUUGUAAGAGAUGAGCCAAAGUGAACUCAAUUUUCCCUUGCAAUGGCUUUGGCCCUUCUAUAUCCAACUGCUAAAUUAAAUGAAAAAAAUUAUUAUGCUUUCAAAGCCUAAAUUAGUAGAGAAUGAUAUUUUUAUAUUUUUAUAUUUAACACUUUUCUUCGUGUCUGGACUCAGAGACUUACAAUAGACCUAUAAUAUGGACUUAAUAAUUUGAAACCUUCCACUUUGAUACCGUGUUAAUGUUAAAUAAUACAAAACAACCGUUAUUUUCUAAAAGCUUAAGAUAAUAAAGAACGUGUAUUUUAUAUAUUUUUAUAUUUAACAAUUUUCUUUACGUUUGGGUUUGAGACUUUUUGUUAGGUCCAUUAUGUGGAUUUGAAUUAAGUGGGAGGAAAUUAAUAAUGUUAAGAGCCUGACAUGGUUUGAGCUCAGGAUCUACUGCUCUGAUAUUAUGUUAAAUAAUAGGCUAAAUUACAGAAAACCCCCUUAUAAUAACCUGCUUUUUCACUUUCCCUCCCUGACAUUUAAAAACCUACACUUUGCCCCCCUGUAAAAUAAAAAAUGUGCACUUCACCCCCUACUGUUAGGGUUCUGUUAGGGUUCCGUUAAAAAAUAUAUUUUUAUGCCGAAAAUACCCCUCCGCCAUCUCCCUGUUGCUUCGACUCCCUCCGGCUCGCCAUCUCGCCGCGGCCUCGCCGCCUCGCCGCCUAGCCGCCUCGCCGUCCUCUACUGCCUCGCCCUCACCCACAUCCCCUUUCGUCGUCCUCCGCCGCCUCGCCUUCGCCUUCUUUGCCCUUCUCCUACUGUCACCCACCUCGGUUUUCUCCUACUGUCACCGAAAUCGAAGGCGGCGAGGGUGCAGGAGGAGAAGGGGAGCAGGUGGAGAAGGAAAUGGAAAGAAAUCGCGGCCGAUUGAGGUGGAAAUCGCGGCCGAACGAAAGGGCGGCUGAGGAAGAUGGGAAAGAAGACGACAAUGGCGAGGGGCAAAAUGGUCAUUUUACACACCGUAACCCCCCUGUGAACAUUUUUCAUUUUACAGGGGGGCAAAGUGUAGGUUUUUAAAUGUCAGGGGAAGAAAGUGAAAAAGCGGGUUAUUACAGGAGGGUUUUCUGUAAUUUAGCCUAAAUAAUAUGAAACAAUCGUUAUUGUCUAAAAACUUAAGCUAAUAAAGAACGGUAUUUUAAAUAUUUUUAUAUUUAAUAGUUAAAUUAAAUGAAACAAUUGUUAUUCUUUAAAAACUUAAGUUAAUAUAGAAAGAUAUUUUUAUUUUUUUUAAUUUAAUACCAACCUUACAAAUAAUUUUAAGGAGGACUUAUCUCAAUCUCCUCAUUUUUUUUCUUUUUGAAGCUUUUCGUAAAAGUGCUGCUUAAAUAGAGUUUGUUAAAAUUAUGAUAAAAAUUGUUUAUUAGUAUGCAUCCCAUGUUUCACUUUUUUUCCUAAAUCUUUAUUUAAUUUUUUUUUUUAAGAAACCAUGGAAUAAGCAUUUUGGAGAAAUGGUAUAAAAAUUUUAAUGUAAGCCACCUGUGAAUCUAUAAAAGGGUAUAUCAACUUUUUCUUUUUUGUAGCUCUAGUCAAUUCCAUUGCAAAAGCAAAGCCAAAGUCAACUUGAUUUUCCCUUACAAUGGUUUUGGCUCUUCUAAAUUCAAACUCAUAAGGACUUUGACCACUAAAGAUCUCAAUAUCUUUAUUGUUCUUUUUAGAGCUAAUGUGAAAAUACUAUUUGAUUAGAGUUUGUUAAAAGUAUAAUAAAAAUUUUUAUUAGUAUGCUAUACAUAUUUCAUUAUUUUGUCCUUAAAAUGGUGGUUCUUGGUAUUUGAAGUAGCGAUGUUAUUUUAAAAAUAAGGCCAGACAAGCUCUUCAGUAACUCUUUCACGUGCUCGAAAAGAAUCACUUGAAUAACUUCAAAAACCAUCGUAUCAGCGUUUGCAGAGCGGUAUAAAAGUUUUAAUCAAAGGCAUGUAUGACUCUAUAAAGAGAUACAUCAACUAUUUCCUUUUUGUAACUUUAGUUGAUUCACUUGGAAAAGAUGAGCCAAAGUCAACUCAAUUUUUCCUCGCAAUGGCUUUCGCUCUUUUCCAUAUUCAACCCCAAAAAGACUUUGACAACCAAAGAUUUCGAUUUUCUCAUCGUUUUUUUUCGGAGUUUUUGUAAAAGUGUUAUUUAAUUUGAGCUCAUUGAAAUUAUAAUAACAAACUUUAUCAGCAAGCUCCUCAUAUUUUACUUUUUUUUCUCCUUAAAAUCUUAAUUGCUGCUUCUUAAAGUAGAAAUACUCUUUUCUAAGUAAGGCCAAAUUAAUAAGCUCUACAGUAAUUCUUUUUUGCGCUAAAAAAGAACCAUUUGAAGAACUUAAGAAAUCACCAUAUCUUCGUUUCAAGAACGGUGUAAAAAUUUUUAAUAAAAGGACAUAUCAAUUUUUUCCUUAUUUUUAACUAAAAUCAAUUCAAUUGCAACAGACGAGCCAACGUCCACUCAAUUUUCCCUUACAAUGGCUUUCGCCCGUCUAAAUUCAACCUUAUAAAUAUUUGAUUAUGAAAGAAGAAAAAAUCAUUUCAAAAGUACAGCUCAAGUCUCCUGUUUGACCUCCACCAAUCUUCAUAAGAAGUCAAAUUGUUUAUAUGUAUAUGAGGUAAGAAUGAGUUGGUUAGAUAACAAAUCUUUAUAAGAUCUUUGUUGCCCAAACCACUCACUUAUUCAAAGUUGCAACCAAAAAGAAAAAAACAAAAGCAUUUUCUUUUCUGUAGGCUUUCCUCGAGGGCACGUAUAGUAUUGUUUACGUUCUGAAUAGUAUGUGUGAGCAACGGUUAGUUUGGUUCACUUUUUAGGGUCUUCAUCUUAAAAAACAGAACCGAGUCAAAUUAGAAACAAAACCAAGCGAAUUGGAUCGAAAAAAUUCGAUCAGAUUAGUUUGGUUUAUUCGAUUUGAAUAGAUCUUUCUUUCCAUAGGAUUAGCAUUAGGGUACAGUACUGCUUUGAGAAACACUAAAUUAAAGCAUAAUUUGAGAAACACUAAAACAUUUAAAGUAGAUUCCUAAAUUAAUGCCUAAUAAUUUCAUAAAUUUGGUUAAUCAAUUAAUUUUCUAAAUUAGUACUAAUUAAUGCAUAAAUUUAGGACCUCAAUUAAAAGUUUCUUUAAAUAUUGUAUUAUUUAAUUACCAAACUAACCUUGAAUAAAAUAAUCCUUUUACCUGCUAAGUAUUAAAGUUACAUUUUUACUCUCUAUUAAUCAACGGUUAAGAUCUUUUUUAUUUUUUUUUAAAAAAGUACCGAAUCAUUUCUCUAAUGUAUAAUUGGAUCGGCUACGUGAAUUUUUUUUCUCGAUUCGACUUUAUGAUGAUAUAUUCUGUUGCUGAAUCAAUUUUCUCAGUUGUGUAAUAUGUAUUCUUUGUUAAAUAUGUGCACAUUAUCUUGAAUAAUUUCAACAUUUUGUCUUGAAUAGUUAGAAAUAAUCAUCCUUGGUUACUAAAACUAAGUAGGAUAAAAAUAUAAACUUCGACGGUAGAGUGUCUCAAUGAACAUAUCGAUUACCGAGCUUGAUUCUGUCACAAGUAUAUGAUUUUCCACUACAUUAAUUCAUAACCAUGCUAAUCGGAUUUUGAAAUUAGAUAAAUUUGCAUUAAGUACUACACAUCUGUCACAGAUAAUUCUCACAUGAAUCGCCGCGAGUAAAUUUUUGCAGAGCCAAUUACCCGAAAAUCUCUCUCUUUUUUUUCUUUUUUUCUUUUUUUUUUUCUGGUGUAGUAGUACUAGGUGGAUUUUCUGCACUCUGCUUCUUUCGGUGAAUUACUGCUAGCUAGUUUCUUUCUGUGAAUCACCCCCUCAAUGAAGUAAUGAACAAAAAAAGUUAAAUUCACAAGAGAAUGAUUUGCCGAAAUUUGAGAAUAUUUGCCCAAAGCAUAAGUCAUGUACUAUGUUAAUGACCAAGGGCGUGUUUGUUUCGCCUGAUCUCAGGCUUGGAAGUUGCCUGACUCGUCAAUCUGCAAGCGCGGGCAUUUGGAGGCGACCGGCGAAGUCAGAGAUUAGAUGCAGGGAGCAGUUGAAGGUUUUCGGGUUGUCAGAAUCGGCUCUGACUUUGUGUACGGCGCGAGGUUGCAAUUCCGCCCCAUACAUAGACAAAGUUGAGAUCGGAUGUACGGUCAGAGCUCGCGACAUCCAGCUUCUUGCGACCUUGCGAAACAAACACACCCUAAAGUCUCAAAAAGUUUCAGUAGGAACUAUCAUAACUCAAGACUAAAUAUUUGUUGCCUUUGUGCCAUUUGAUACAAUGAAAUUAAUCAUGUUCUUUUUAAAAAUGAAACAUUUCCUUAUAUAUAACUAGAACCUCUAUAUAAAACACAACAACUUCAUCUAAAUGACAUAUUUUGAUUCUGUGUUGGACAAAUUACACAGUAGCUCAACCAACUUAAAGGAAAGUUUCAUUUAAGUUUCCAAACUUUAAUUUGUUUCAAUCAAGUAACUUCGUUAAGCUCCUUAUAAUUUAAUAAAAAAAAUCAAGAAAUAGUUCGUGUCACAUCAUCUUCUGGAGAUUACAUGAAUAUUAAUUUUUUUUCUUGGGGAUGAUUUGACUGCUAAUUUAGUUAUCAAAUUGUCAUUUUGUGGUGACGUAAUGGUCGAAUAAUAAUAGUUUUGAGAUAAUAUAACAGUUUAAAUGGCUAGCAACUAUUGUCAUAUUAUUAUUUAGCAGCUGAAUUAGCUGGUCUCAUCAUUAGUUCCUCAUAAAAAUAAUAGAAAUUUGAGUUGUGACUCCAACGUGGAUAAUCUCGUAAAGCUCAUGUAGAAUUAAUACUAAAUAUUUUAUCUGAGAAGUGGAAGGCUCGAACUCUAAUUUUAGAAACGCAAAUACAGAAAUUCAAAGCCUUUAGCCUCUAAACUGGGUUUGUUUCUGCUUCAUCAGAUGAAAAAUGAGAUUUGGAUUGCAAGAAACGUUUAAAUAAAUCAAAUAAAUCGUAUGUCACCAGAUAAUCCUUGAAGUCGGCAUGAAUUGGGGUUUCGCCACCGAGUUCGACCCCGAACACAAUCGCCAUUAAAGACGGCUAUUCUUACAGAAAAACGAGAAGGUCGGCGACGAGUUCUCGUGUAUUCGGCAACACUAUGCUGUUCUCGCGGAGCACGCGAGCAAAAUUCAAAAACCCCCUCUUUCUCUCUCGUCGCUCGUUUCUCCCCCUUAUCCCUCCUCCUCCUAAAUCCUAAUCCCCUCCCCCUAUAAGAAGAAGCUCCCAUUGUCCAUGGCGAUGGCGCCCCCUCGAGCCUCCUCGCUCCCGGUGAAUCCAAGCUCGCCUCCUCUUGCCUCGUACUCUCUCUCUAUCUCUCUCUCGAUUUCUAACCCCAGUGAGGAGAAGGAUCUUCCGAUCUUAGGGACCGAUUGUUGUAGGUGUUCUCACGGAGGGGUCCUUUCCACAUAAGAAGAGCUACCCCUCUCGGAUCGGUACUUCUCCGCCGACACUUGUCUACUGGUGUUGACGAAGGUGGUGGUCUCGGCUCGAGUUCGAAGCGCCGGGCGCGGGGGCCCGUUAUGGCCGCGAAGAAGGCCGCGGAAGGUAAUUUCACUUGUAGUAUCGUCUGAUUCCGUGGCCAAUUUGGUGUCCACCCAUUGCGCAAAAUGUGAUUUUGAGUAGAAUUUUGGGCUCUUUGGUUGAUAUUUGGGUGAUUUUGAGGAGAACCAAUUCGACCCAGGUUGAAAAUUUUGAUUUUGAGUAGAAAAGUAGUGUUUUUUUUUUUUUUUUUUAAAUUCUAUUCAUUGUUAUAUACUUGGUUAUGGGAAAUUGCAAGGUGGGAAGCAAGAAGAGGGAAAGUAUAAGCAUACUGUGGAUCUUCCUAAGACGACGUUCGGAUUGAGGGCGAAUUCGGUGGUGAGAGAGCCGGAGAUUCAGAAGCUGUGGGAGGAAAACCAGGUGUUGAAGAGGGUGGUGGAGAAGAACACCGGGGUGGGUUGCGCUAAUUCAUUUCAAAGAAUAAGUUGUUAGCAUUGAUUAUUUUUGGUAGGAGACAUUGGUACUAGUUUGCUGAUUGUAAGUUCUGUGUUAUUUCUUGGACAGGGGAGUUUUGUUCUUCAUGAUGGCCCACCUUAUGCCAAUGGUAAUCUACACAUGGGGCAUGCCCUGAAUAAAAUCCUAAAGGAUAUUAUAAACCGCUACAAGGUACUAUUUACUUUCAGAGCGUCCCUUUAUACUUUAAAUGCCAAAGAAUGCCUAGCUCACUCAGCAGCAUGGUAUUCCUAUCCAAUGUUGUCAUAGGACUGUUUCUGUUAUGAUGCUUUGAAUGUUGAAUUUGAUUAAAAUUGGACUAAAUUUUGCGAGAUCGAAGUACGUAGAAUAAGAUUUGUCAAAAUUAGUGACAAUUAAUAGGCAAAUCGUUCAAACCUACUAAUUAUGAGCUACUUUAUCAAAGGAGGUCAUAGGUUACAUAGAAACGCAUUAAGAAACUUAAUUGAUUUUUUCUGAAAGAAAUCAGAAAACAAAACCCAGGCAAAGGCAUGGCUUCACAAAGUUUUGGCAUGGUAUGUUCUGGUUAGCACAUGACAAGCACAAGGGCUUAGGGUUUCUUGUUUUUAAUUAACCUUUAUAUUUGAUUGAUUGACAUAUUUUUGGAGUUGGGAUUGAUAUUUAUAUAAUAGAUUGUCUUUUGGAUGCUUCUAUUUUUCUUUACUGGCAUCUUUUUAUUUUAUUUUAUUUUGCUGCACAUUGAAUUGUUUGUAUUUUGAAUUAUACCUGAUGGAUAUAAUUGUACUUGAUGAAACUUUAAACUCAUGAUUAGUACUCUGCUAGAACAAAUGAACUGUGAUUCACCAUUUGCUAAUGUCUUAAGCACUUCGUUGGUUUCAAAUUAUAGUUAAGAGUACACUAAUGGUUGACUUUAAGUUCUUCUACAAAGUAAAAUUCGAUUAGUAGUUAAUAAAGAAUCCUUUCUCCAGUGCAUAAUUUACAUAGUAGUUGUGAUUUUAUCAUAUGCCUGCUGAAAUGUUUUUUUGAACACAAAUGUUCUACUAGUUGUAAUAAUUUAUUUCUUUUUUUCUGUUGAAACUAACUCUAAGGCAUUUGGGUGUAUAAUUUGUGAGUUGAUGCAUUUGAAUUCUAGUUUUUAUUUUGACUAAUAAUGUCAAAUUUGAAAUUUUUGAUGGUUUCUUUGAUCAGCUGAACUCUAAUGGUUUCUUUAAUCAGUUGUCUGGUAAUUCUCUUUUUGCUACAGCUUCUUCAGAAUUAUAAAGUCUCCUUCAUUCCUGGUUGGGACUGCCAUGGCCUACCGAUAGAAUUAAAAGGUAAGUCUAACAUUGAUUUAUACAGUAUAUAUAGCCUGCUAUUAUUACAUUUCCUCCUUGCAGACUUCUUCAAAUGAAUUUGAUAGUAUAUGGUGCUACUUUUCUAUAUAUAUUUUUUUUUCAGGUGAAGAUAGUUAUAUUUGGUGCUUGAACACAUAUAAAUGAACCAUUGGUUUCCGAAACUUUUAGCGUCAACUAGCAUGGCAUAUUCUUUACUGCUUAAUCUCUAUCAUAUGCGUUAAGAAGUAGUUCAUUUGGUUUAAUGACAGAAGUAAUCGUUUGUAAAAGUUGCAAACUUGAUAGCCUAAAGUUUUCUCGUAGCAAGUAUUCAUAAGGAUUUCCUGUAUAUGUCUAUUCUUUUGCUGUUUUUAUUGAGUAUAACACAUCUGACAGUGCAGCUAGAGAUGUUAAUGAUCUCCAAGAUCAAUAUAGUUUUCCCAGACCCACCACCAAAGCCCGAUGGUUUUUGGCUAGAUAAGUCCUUGUUGACAUUCGAUAGAAAUCUAUGGCUAUUUAUUUCUAUGGAAGUCCCUUAUUGAUACCAGUUUACUACAAAUUCGCAGAUUAGGUGUUAAAUGUUUCUCAGCUAUGUGCAUAGUAUGCUUAUAUCUGCUAUGAUUUAGUAUACAUAUUAUAAGUCUCUUAUGCUGGAUCUUAUUAUUAAAUUUUCAUUUUUCGCAAAACCUGCCUUACUAGCUACAGUUUGUUUCUGAUAGAGCUCUCAUAUAAUUUCUUCCUUGCACUAACUUCAUUUUCCAGCAAGGUGAAAACUUACUUUGUGUUGCUUCAGUUUUGCAGUCGAUUGAUAAAGAUGCCAGAAAGGAACUGACACCAUUAAAGUUGAGAGAAAAAGCUGCCAAAUUUGCCAAAGAGACUGUUAACAUUCAGAUGAAAUCCUUUAAGGUCAUUUAUCCCUUUCUUUUAUUUUUAUUAAUAAGUGAAAACUGCUCUAUGGAAAAUUCAGUGAGUUUGCCAUUCACUUACUGGAUAAUGUGUAGAAUAUUGCUCUCAUUCUUUAAUGGCAAAUUCUUUUUUGAACUAUAUUAUUUGUUUCUAUAGCCCAACAAGAUUUAAUUCAUUUUACUGGUUACUUGUCUGGACAUGUCUGUUUGCAAGUCCUAUAUUCUGGAUUGGUAAUGACUCGUAACACUUCAUGUCACAGCGUUAUGGAGUAUGGGCAGAUUGGGAUAAUCCUUAUUUAACUCUUGCUCCGGAAUACGAAGCUGCUCAGGUUGAUGUUUUAUUCACAACUUCCCCAUUCAACUCUUCUGAUGAUGCAUAAAAGUAAAUAGCAUCUCAAUUAUUUUUGUGUUUGUACAGUCACAUAUAUCAUAUAUUCAUACUACUACUCUUGAGUUCUUGCUUCUACACAUGCCGGUGCCACCACCAUCUUCAUUGAAGGUGGAGCUUUCGUAGAGAAGCUUUUUCCCUCUUUUUUGGGUUAUUGAAUUAGUGAAAGUUUAUCUUUAUAAUGUUUUUUUUUGGUAAAUUGCAUUUUACAUAGUUUCAUCUAACAAUUAACCUAUAAUCUUUGUUAUUUGGACCGCUAUGUUAGAUAGAAGUUUUUGGUCAGAUGGCCAUGAGAGGAUAUAUCUAUAGAGGUAGAAAACCUGUCCAUUGGAGUCCAUCUUCACGUACAGCACUCGCAGAGGCUGAGCUAGAGGUAAGCUAAAGAGUUCUUAUUAGAUAUUUUCAAUGUGUAAAUAUUUGCUUAAUUGAUUAUAGAAAUUCAAUGAACACAACCUUUCUCUCGCUGGAUCUGUGGUGACUUAAUUGCAAAUUCUGGUUUCUUGAUUAUGCUUAUUGCUUAACUAUCGGCUCCAUCGAGUAGUAAGGUGGUUUUAUGAUAAUUCACAUAGCUAUUGUUUGCUCAUUAACCUUUUAAGUUCUUCCCACCUAUGGCAUUUUGGCAGAAUAAAUUUUCUUAGUUACCAAAAAUUAAUCAAUUUUUCGACAAUGUCGCAUUGUAAGAUGCAUGCACUUAGAUUCCUAAGGAGUAUCCUAUUAUCGGCGGAUCUGGUUGUGUAUUGGUCCAAGUAGUCAAUUUCAUUUUGAGUAGGAGAGUGUAAUGUGGAUGUUACAUUAAGAGCUUCUUUGGAUGCUUGAAUCAAGGAUUUAAGUGCCGUCACACGGGGUCGUGCCGGAAACUUGCCUGCACGGAGCGUGCAGAGCCGUGCCGAUGCAUGCCGGUCAAAAAAAUUCUUGUGUGCCGACACAUAAUAGCAUGAAAUAUUUUUUUUUUUUUUAGCAACAAAAUAUUCUAACUAUUUAUUAUGUCUUUUUGUCACAUCUUUUGAACUUUAUUGAGAAAAUUACUUACUAAUUUUAAAAAUAGAGGGUUUUGAGCUGUGCCAUCGGCACGGGGUCUGUAUCGUGCCGGUAUCUUGUUGGCACGGUAAGGUAUGGUGGAUACGGCCCGUGCCGACGGGCACUUAAAACCUUGGCUUGAAUAAAUUAACCCGCGUAUCUCCUUUAUUCACUCAAGCGCCAUUUGUUAGUUGGUUAUUGAUAGAAACAAGUUAUCAACAGAUAACUUGUUCUUCGCACUCAUAUGUAGAUUCAAAACAUGGAAUAAUAUGUGAUCAUAUGCAGUUUUAUUUUGCUUUCUUAAUGUUUUCUCUUCUUUCAAAGGUGCACAUGUUUUCUUCUUAUUGUCUUACAUAUAUAUAUGUUUCUUUCAGUAUCCUGAGGGGCACGUAUCUAAAAGCAUAUAUGCUAUUUUCAAGAUUGUUAGUCCGCCACCAGCUUCAAAUGGCUUAUUAGAAGAAUUUUUUCCAGAUAUAUGUUUGGCCAUAUGGACAACGACUCCUUGGACUAUCCCAGCAAAUGCUGGUAAUACAAUCUUAACUCGUACUUUGAAACGCUUUGUUACUUGCAAAUGGAUUGGUUGUAACAGUUUCUGUUGACAAUCCGCUAAAUUAAUGGCUAGGGAUUUUGACGAAGUUAUGGUUUCUAUGUGAUUAUACUCGAGUAACAAGUGAAAGAUUCCUGACACACUCUCUAAUCAAAUUUAAUUUUUUAUGAGUAGAGGCGUAUGAUUCAAUUUGUUAAAUAGUUUAACUGUGCAUAUACAAAAUGAUUUAUGAUAAGCCGGAAAAUAUAUUUCAGUGUUGAAAACUAAUUGUAGGAAACAACCAUUGUGCUCCCUUGUAGAUUAAAGGGUCUUUUCUUGGUGCCCUAAUCAGAAGCAUAAAUCAACUGAGCUUCUUUUACCUCUUGGUAUAUGCUUUUGGAUUAACCUGUCAAUCAGUAUUUCCCAUCAUUAUCCAUUUGUGCGUUGGUUUUUUGACAACAAUAAGAGUAACCAAACUAAUAUGUAUGGUAUUUUGACUAUUUUCACUGAAAUCUAUCUAAGUUCAGAAUUUGUCAUAUAGCUCAAAAACAGAUAAGUUCCCUCAGCAUUAGUUUGAGGCACCAUUCUUACAAAUUAGUAUUUUUAAGAUUUAGAAAUUAGAAAUAGUACAAUUUUCUAUCUUCUAGACUGCCAUCAUAAUAUAACUAACAGUUAUGGAGAUGCCAGCAAGAAUCUUGAAUUGAAGUAUGAUUUUUUGCUUUUAUAUUUCCAGCUGUUGCAGUAAAUUCUGGACUUGAAUAUGUUGUCGCUGAAUUGCAUGCAAGUGUGGAGGACACAUUAGCAACAUCUGGAGGGAAACAGAUAAAGCGUGGCAAUGCUUUGAAAGUUGGUGAGAAUAAGCUAUUUGUCAUAGUGGCAUCAGAGCUUGUAUCGAGACUUGAAUCUAAAUGGGGUGUGAAACUUUCCAUCAGAAAAACUUUCCCUGGAUCAGCUUUGGAGAAUUGCAGGUUGUGCAUUUAUAAGAAAGGUUCCUUAGUUAGACAUAUUGCUACAUUUUUGUUAUGGGUUUCUGCAUCCAUAUAUCUCUGCAAAUGCUAUAUAUUAACAUAUACACCACUGUAAAAUCUGAUUUUUCCAUAUACCCCUUUAAAAUACAGUUUCUUAUGAAAAAAAGCCCUUAUUUUCAGUUAUGGUGCUAUCAAUUUUUUGGGAGUAGUUGUUGUUAAUUAGAAAAUCUUUUUGCUAACAUCUUAUAGACCUUUUGAAAUGGACACCUCAACUUUUUUGUUUUCUAUUCACGCCUUUGACUUUGGUAGUUUGCUUGGAGUUAUUCUUAUUAGUUGAAUUGUGGGAUUCUGUUAAAUUUAACGGCUCAGUUUGCUAUCAGCUCGCUAUUAAUGAAACUGGUCGUUUGCCAGCUAAAAUCCGAGCAGAACUGUCAGAUUGAGCAAAAUCAUUGCUUAAUUGAUUCUGUAAUUUAACUGAUGAAUGUUACUGAAAUCAAAACGAGCAACGUUGAAGUGUAUAUAUAUAUCAGAUUUUGCUGGGAAUACAAUGCAAGUGAAUAAUUCUGCAAGGUUUUAUACAUAAAUAUCUCUAUCAUCAACUCUAGCUGCUUGUCCAAGCUAUAGAGCUUACUUAUUCUAACAAAGAAAGAUAUCAGGUAUACUCAUCCGGUGAACGGCAACGAAUGCCCUGUUGUCCUGGGGGGAGAUUACAUAACAACUGAAUCCGGAACAGGGCUUGUUCAUACUGCACCUGGCCAUGGUCAAGAAGACUAUGUAACUGGGUUGAAAUAUGGUUUACCUAUAAUUUCUCCUGUUGAUGAUGAAGGGAAGUUUACUGAAGAAGCUAGAAAAUUUAGUGGUUUGGAUGUUCUAGGAGCUGGUAAUUCUGCUGUUGUUGAUCAUCUGGACAAGCACCUUUCGCUGCUUGUUGAAGAGCCAUAUAGUAAGUUGUUACCUAAUUAGGAUACAAUUACUCUCUUGCUAAUUUUUUAUAGGCUAACACCAUUUGGUUUUGUUUGUUUUGAGGAUUUUUCUUACCAAACCAGAAUUUUCAGUUUAAACAUUUUGAGAAUCAAACAAAACCAGAGGAAAAUGAACCAAACAUAUCUAAACCUAAUCUACUUUGGUUUGGCUCUGGUUAACCAUUUGGUUAUGGUUUCCUUUCUAAGUUUGGUCACUUCAGUCAAUGUAUAUUAACAUUUAUCCAUUUGGAACAUAUUUCUGUGAUUUACCACUGUAACUGCAUUGUUAUAUCAUUUUUUAUAAUAUAUGCAUUUUAUAAAUGUGUGAAACACGAUGCUGACGCUGAUAAAUGGAACUGAUGUUUUUGAAUCCGAAACAUACAGAAAACCAAAUAAAUCCUACUAAAUUAUCUUAUCAGGUUUGGCUUAGUUUUGCAUUUAGUCAUAUAAUCAGUUGUGUGGCUUAGUUUUAAACUUUAUGCCUUUAUUGCAGAGCAUAAGUACCCUUAUGAUUGGAGAACUAAGAAGCCUACAAUCUUUAGAGCCACUGAACAAUGGUUUGCAUCGGUGGAUGGUUUCCGACAAGCUGCUAUGGAUGCAAUUGGAAAAGUGAAUUGGAUUCCUCCGCAGGUGCUGCUUUACUUCUUCGCCCGCCCCACCCCCCCCUUCUGUCUCUCUAGUCAGAUGCCAAUUGAAUGAAUAUUUUCCUAGGGCAAUCCAUCCUUUUUGUAAUAUCCUUGAGCUAGUCUGUACCAUUCUUAUCAUAAAAGCUUGGCUGCUUUAAAUUUUUUCUUCGCCCUUCGAUGAUUAGAUGAGCUUAAUUUCAAGUUCUAGAUUGUGGUUAUCAUUAGAAUAAUGCCUGAACAGCAAACAAUAUUAUGGUUAGUCCAUGAUCCUAUUUUACGCUCAUUGUUGCAAAUUCCACAAAAUAUGAGACUCUUCAUGGAAAGAAGAAAAACAAAAUUGUUGAUUGGAAAUAUUGUGAACGUUAACAGAUUAGGAAAUCAAGUCCUUUUAUCUUUUGAUUGCUGUAUUAAUCAUGAAUAUUAUUUUAGCUUGAUGAUACAAUAACUUGUGUCCAGGCAGAGAACAGAAUCAUUGCUAUGACUUGUAGCCGUUCAGAUUGGUGUAUUUCACGGCAGAGAACUUGGGGGGUUCCUAUUCCAGUUUUUUAUCAUGUGCAUACAAAGGAACCAUUGAUGACUGAAGAAACUAUUGAACACAUCAGGAGUAAGUGCUCAUUAGUGAAUAGUAUGAAAAUUAAGUUUUUUCAAAUCCAUUCGCUAAUUAAUUACUCCAGCUUUGUACACGUGCUGAAACAAUAUUCUUAUAUUGAGCAAAUUAAUUUUAUAAAGCUAUGUUAGUUUAUUUUAGUGACUCUGCUUGUUAUCAUGGCCAUGUUCUAAUGAAUAUUAAUCAAGAAAGUUAAUUUUCCUAGUUUUAUUAUGUCAACAAACAAAUUUGAUUCAAGCAGCUGUAGUGGUAUCCUACUGGUAGCAGUUGCUUAUAGUACCUUGCCAACUUGAAUAUUAUUCUAAAGAAUCUCAAGAUGCUUUUUUACUUCACGAACCUUAGUUUCUUAUCAUUUGCUGAGAAACUUCUUGGCUUUGAAAAUAGAUUAAUUAUCAUUCUUAUCUAAUCGUCUAAUGGACCUUUUAGACGUCACUACAUAUCAAUCCCUCGCUAAAUUUUUCUGUUGGUUUGAGUCAUAUUGGAAACAUUACUUACAAACUUAGGUUGGCUUUGAAAAUCUUGUAAAUUUCUUAUCCUAGGACUGUUUUCUCCCAUGUGCAGAUAUAGUAGCAGAUAAGGGUACUGAUGCAUGGUGGUACUUGCCAACUGAGGAACUUCUUCCUCAAAAAUAUCAUGACGUAGCCUCUGACUAUCAGAAGGGAACUGAUACAAUGGAUGUUUGGUUUGACUCGGGUAAGUUAUUAUCUCUAUAAAUCAUUACAUUCUUCACAAGUGGGACUGAAGAUCUUCUCUUUUUCUAUUUUAUAAUAGAAGUCAUUCUUGAUGGAUUUUGAAAAUUCAAUUGAUUUGUUGUUUCUUAAUCUUGAUCCGUCAAGUUGCAUUUUUAUUUAAUUUGAUUGGUGAUGUGCUGUAUCUUCUGAUUGUUGCUGCUGUGGUAGCAGCUAACUAAGAGCUGACACUUUACGGUUAGCUAGUUAAAUUUUCACAUGGUCUUUAUAUAUUGUUUUUCGGCCAGUCAUUUCAUAGAUGUACAUACUUUUUUGAACAAUUAAUUUUGCUUUCUAACUUAGGUACUUUUCCUGCCUAUGACGGCAUUCUGCAAACUCUUUGAUACAUUAUUAACUAGAAUAAUUCUGGUAGCCAAGAUGACUCGUUACCUUGAAGCUUCUGUUUGGAUUAAAUUGGAAUUGAGGUACUAUACUUUUAUAUAUGUUUGACAUUUCUGUUGAUAAAUGCAAGAAAUUUGGUUAUUCUCAUCUUGUAAAAGAUGGUCUUUGAAGGUGCUCUCGGGGAUGAUGAAACAAGAGGGUCUAAAGUGCUGUAUUUAUCUUUAAAUCUUUUUGUUUCAAUCCAAGUUGAAACUCCCAUAUUUCUUAAAUACAAAAUUUGUCAGACAGAUGCCCAAAUUGGAGGACAAUAUGAUUUGAUGAAUGAAAAGGAACAAUUGGUUGAACCAUCAAUUUAUUCCUAUUUUUGCACAAUGUCGGUAUAGCUAUACAAUUAGUUUUCUUUUGAAACUCCCUUUCUUUCUCAUUUUUUGUAAAAAUUGCCAUGUUGUAACUUACAAACUAAGUUUUGAUUUUUGCGUCUUUUCAUUUACAUCUUUUGAAUGUUUGUGUUACAGCUCUUUGGCAAUUUAAGUGUGUGUUAAGGCUUGUCUAUGGGCAUUAAUUCUGUUUUCUAUUCUAAUCAAGAAGUUGCAAUUAUUAACGUAGUCAUUUUUCACAUUAAUAGCGUCAGGCUGCCAUCUUUAUAUUUUAAUUUCCUUUUUGCAGGGUCAUCAUGGGCAGCAGUCUUGACUAAAAAUGAAGGCCUUAGUUUUCCAGCAGAUAUAUACCUUGAAGGUACAGAUCAACAUCGUGGAUGGUUCCAAAGCUCUUUACUGACCAGUAUUGCUACAACAGGUAAGUUAUCUGUGAGAUUUUGUCACAAAUAUUAACUUAUGAACCUCAAUGAGAGCGCCUUUCAUAUACUGCCACUUUGUGGCUGUUUGUCGACCAAUCUCUGUUGCAUACAUUUAUAGUCACUUCUCUGUUUUAUGAACAAAAUUUUUUCACCAUAGUUUCGCACAACUUAUUCUGUAUAGUAAUUUAAUGUUCUUUCUCCUUUGGGAAGUACUCUACAUGCAAUCUUGUCUUGGUUAGAUAUUUUCUAAUGAAAAUAUGGUCGUUGACCGUCAUUAUUCUCCUUAGUUUUAUGGUAAUCCUUGCAUGUAGACAUAGUUGCAUGUAACACUGAUUGAACUUUUAGAUAUUGGUUGGUUAUCAGUUAUUAGAUAGCAUAAUGAUUGCAUGUGUACUCCGCACGACCAGUUUUAGCAGCAGGAUAUCUAGCUCUUAACAUUCUAGAUUGGCACCUUUAUCUUCUGGAGUUCCUUUUUCAACUUUGCUAUUAUUUGUAUUAGAGUGUUUUUACCAUCCUUGAGUUUUUCAUUAUGAAUUUUUUAUGUUGCUUAGUAUCAUGCUGUCGCAGCAGUAGUUUACGAAGUAAAAAAUGACUCCAAUAUUCUCUGCCGAGGAAACUACAUGUAAUGCAAUGCAGAACUUUUGCAAAACUAUGUAGAUGAUAAAACAUUUUCUUAAAUAGAUAUCUGAAAGAUCUUUGAUUUACAUUUAUCUAACUAUAAUAUACAUUUUUAUUUCAUGCUUUUCAAAGCCCAUGCUUUUGCCUGACUGCCUUUUUACUGGAUUUUUAAGUGCAUGUGGUGUGUAAUUGCUCUAAUGAAUAGUCAAUAUCUUGAUUGUUAAACACGAUAUGAGUUCUUUGAUGCAAUCUAAGGGUACCCUAAAUGCAUCAUGUAGCCCGUAAGGAUAACUUAGACAUAUUGGCUGGUGACGCUUUCAAAUAUAUAUAUAUCCUGCGCUGCCAUUGAUGUUGUUAAUUGCUAUGUUAUUCAUGUAAUUAAGAGUCAUAGCCUUUCUGUUUCUGAUUUGGUCCCUCGCAAAUCCAAUGGGUUACUCAUGAUUAAUCCUUGUUCUUUUCAGGGAAGGCUCCAUAUUCAAGUGUUAUAACACAUGGGUUUGUACUUGACGAGAAGGGUUUGAAAAUGAGCAAGUCUCUUGGUAAUGUUGUUGAUCCAGACAUUGUAAUAAAUGGGGGGAAAAAUACCAAGGUAUGUCUUAAAGAAAAAUAAUUUCAAGAGUUACUUUCACCUCUAACUUGUGACUUAAAAUGGUAUUGUUGCUACUGCAGGAUGAGCCUGGUUAUGGUGCUGAUGUCCUCCGUCUUUGGGUUUCUAGUGUUGAUUAUUCUGGUGAUGUUUUGAUUGGCCCACAAGUCCUUCGCCAGAUGUCUGACAUGUAUAGAAAACUGCGAGGAACUUUGCGCUUUCUUCUGUCAAAUCUACAUGACUGGAAAGUAUGUUUAGCUUGUCUAUGAUGUUUUCUUUUGUCUUUACCAGCUUCAUUUUAUAUAUAUGCCCCCAAAACACAUGUAGUUGUUCCUGCACCCAUAUAAAGGUGAAAUUUCCUCCACUCCCUUUUAGUAGCUCUUAUUCGCAUAUGUAUGCCCCUUCCCUACUUUUCCAGUUGAUAGAAUGCUAGGAAGAUUUGCGGAAACUUGUGAAAUUGACCGUUGUAUCCCUAUAUCUAUUUGCUUCAAUUCCCUUCUAUUGAUGGAAGAAACUUCAGCUGCCAACAUCAAAUUAUAGUUUUUGACGGAUACUGAUGUAUGGAGUAACGUAUCAAUUUUUAAAUAGCACUUUGUUAGUUUUUUAUGUUCUUAUUAGAAGGGAUAUUUUUUUUAUUAUUAUGCUUUCUAUGGCAAGUCUGGAAGUUAUAGCCAAGUUUUCAAUGUCGGUCUAACCUAUUAUGUUAGAUUUGAGGUUCUUAGUUGCCUGUGUAGCUCUUUGAUCUUGUCUACAUAUUUUAAGAGAACCUUUGUUUGCAUCUUCUUACAUUGUAAUCUGUUUCUAAUUAUUCCUCUUAUCUUCUUACUGUAGCCAGAAUAUGCACUUCUAUACAAGGAUCUUCCCAAGAUUGACAAAUAUGCACUGUUCCAACUUGAAAAUGUUGUGAACUCCAUAAAGGACAGUUAUGAAAAUUAUCAAUUCUACAAAAUAUUCCAGGUAUCUUGAAUUAUCUGAAUCAGGGAAAGUUCCCACUUAUUCCCAAGUUAUUAUUUUCUAAGAUACAGUAAAGUUUGUUGAUGCAUAUUAUGUUUAUUCUAGUAGCAGUGAACAGGUAUUUCAAUUUUGUAUUCCAAUCAAAAGUCCAUAAAUUCGUCUGCUUUAUCAGUGGACCUCGCAGUUUGAAUCAAUGUUUAGUAGAGAAAUAUAUUAUCGUUUUGAUAGUGUGUCUUAGAAGUAAAGUUACUUUUAAGAUUUUAAUAAUUGGUUGUAGGAAGGUUUACUAGAUGACUAGACGGUGAUGUCUCGUAUCAUUUGUAUUUAUUACUUUUUUUUUUGGCCAGAUGAUACAACGAUUCGCCGUUGUUGAUCUAUCAAAUUUUUACUUCGAUGUUGCCAAAGAUCGCCUUUAUGUUGGGUAUGCUUUCACCCAUUUCCCUGUAUACAUUUGCCACGUACUUUCCUUUUUGUUAAUUCUUUCUUCCCGUCAGAAAUAUCUUGAUAUUUCAUUAAUCAUCCCUGAAAUAUCUAGUUGGUGGGUCCUUUUUAUUUUCCACUCAUUACAAUUCAUAGACUGAUACAUGUUGAAAUUCUAGUAACCUUGUGAUUAAGAAAGCUAAUAGAAGGAAAAUAAUUUCACGUUCUGCAUGUCUUCACCAAAGAGAUCUUUCAUUGAACUAGGCACCCGCACACACACACACCCCCCAAAAGAAUUAAAAUCCCCCCACCCAUUUCUAGAUGAUGGAACUGCAGGUUCCUAGCUAAUCAGGUAGUUAAUGUUAAUAGAGUCCGACAUCCAACUGAGAGAAAGAACUUAAAAUCAUAACUGUAUAUGCUAAGCUGGUGUGUGUGUGUAUAUAUAUAUAUAUAACUAGGCUACUAUUAUAUACUAUUAAUAGCACUAAGUUAUUGGUGCUAUUAAGUUUUUGACCCUUGGAUGAAGGGAUGUGUGGUUGGGACGAUAGUGGUCUCCUAAGGUUGAGUAGGUGAUUGGUUGAAUAAUCUGAUAUAAGUAUAUAACGGGCAGAAAUAGUCAAAGGGGUAGAUCUAACAGCGAAAAACUUGGUAGCACCAAAUGUAUGGUGCUAUUGAUAGCAUAGUAGCCAGACUCUCUGUCCGUCUAGGAUACUAUUAGUAAUACCAAGCAUGUGAUGCUAUCCAGUUUUUAGCCAUUAAAUCUACACUUUGAUCAAUUCCAUCCCUUAGAUCAUGCUAUUCUACCAAUCACCUAGUAAACCCUAUGGGGAUUAUCACUAAAUCCUAGGAGACCACUAUCAUCCCAACCCUACAACUUUUAACCUAAGGGUUAAAAACUGGAUAGUAUCCAUAGCUGGAUAAUAUUAAGAGUAUUCCAGCCCAACUCUCUCUCUCUCUCUCUCUAUAUAUGUUUAUAUUAUAUGAAUGUGUGUAUGUGUAUAGAGUUCACCUAGUAUAAUAUUGAUAGUAUAUGAAUAGUGUUUGUUAUCAACUUUUUCACCUUUGGAUUAUUACUAUUCCACCAACCCCCACUAAAACCUAGGCAUCCAAUGGUCAAAAAAUUGAUAGUAAACACUAUUAUCAUACUAUCAAUAGUAUUCUUGCUCCACGUGUGUGUGUGUGAAGGAUAUAUUUAAAAAUGAGAUAUUGUUGGAUAGUCCGCGUACACUUCUACCAGUUUUUCAAUUUAGUAUUGCAUGGUGGUGGCAUGUCCUAAUUCAUGUGUACUGAUGACUUUUCAGGGGUACAGUUAGUUUUACAAGAAGAAGUUGCCAAACAGUUCUAGCAGCACAUCUUCUCUCGAUCGUCAGAGUUAUCGCUCCCAUUUUGCCACACAUGGCGGAGGAUGUAUGGCAAAAUCUCCCUUUUGAAUAUGUCAUGGAAGAUGGUUUGGUCCCUAAGUUUGUUUUUGAGCUAAAAUGGCCAAGCUUGAAAGGAGAUUGGCUUGCAAUGGAAGCUGAUGAUGUCGAUUUUUGGAAUACAAUACUUGAGGUAUGUAAACCUUUUACGUACGAUUCGCUAAUGCAUUGCAGGACAAAAAUGUGAAAAAGGAAAUUAAUAAUGAGAUGUUGGGAGUUUUGAUCUGGAAAAGGACGAGAGAUACCCUACAUAGAACAUGGAAUGAAAAAGAGAUAUAGAUAUCGAAGAGAUUGCUCUGUUUGUUGGUCAUCAGAAAUUUAUGAUAUAUCUUAUCAUUUUGUGUAAUAGUGUAUCAACUAUAUUACUGUCAAGUAUUUUGUUAAUGCAUCACUUGUUUUGCCAACUUGCUGUAUUGCUAUGGUAUUUGAUUUUGGGUCAAUUAUCAAACAGUUGAGAUCAGAGGUGAAUAAAGUUUUGGAGAAUGCUCGAAUUGGGAAGCUAAUAGGAUCCAGCUUAGAAGCGAAGGUCAUUCUCCAUGCUGCGGAUGGGGCCACAUUAACCAAGUUACGUGAAAUGUGCUCCGCCACCAACGAUGCAGAUGCUUUACAUCGCAUAUUUAUUACAUCUCAGGUUGGAUUACCUUCAUAUUCUUUUUUUUUUCUUUUUUCUUUUUUUUUUUUUUUGACUACUUAGUCAGAGAACCCCUGUACAAAAAUCUAUAAUUCGACAUAUAGCACGUGUGGAACAUGAACGGAAGCGAAAUGAUGAAAAUAUUAGUUCAAAGUGGGUGGUCAUGGUUCAAUAUGAAAGUUGUGACAUUAUUGGUGUUUUCCUGCAUUUUGUCCUGUUAUUUAUUUAUUUAUUUAUUUUUUCACUUCUGAAUUUUCUUCUUUUUGUAUGGGCUCUUCAGGUUGAGACCGUGAAUUCGCUGAGCGACGAAUUUCUAUCGACUGUACCAUACACUGGUAAAUACACAAGCCAGAGAACAAGCGAAGUCUGGGUCGGCGUGACUCAUGCCGACGGUGCGAAAUGCGAAAGGUGUUGGAAUUAUUCGCCCCAGGUCGGAUCAUUCGUCGACCACCCUACGCUCUGCGCUCGCUGUUAUGGUGUUGUUGAUGUUCAACCACUUCCAGCCGCAGCAGGUGUGUGCUAAACAUUUAUAAGAGUCUGAGAGGAGCUUAUUUAUCGGCAUUGAUUUAAGGGGAGUCAUUAAUAUUUAUCAGCACAUCCAAGGGAUCAGGAAAAUGCAGCUAUUUAUACAUAUAUAUAUACAUAUAUUCAUUUGAUUCACAAGGAUAUGCUUUAAAACAUAUGCUAAAGAGGGGGAAAAAAAGAAGGAAGUGCAGUUUGUUUGUGACUAGAGUUUCCUUAUUUUUUGAUUUUUAGAUACAGGGAAGGUUAAAGAUUGCGUCGGUUCGACGGACCCGUAAUACAUGCAAAACAUUUUUGUUUUGUUGCUACACUAAUCUAUUUUAUAUGAUGAAUUGUGUCUUCGUUGUGAAUGUACUACUUUUUUCUCGGACAUGGAUUUCAUUGGUUGUUCUAUAUUAUAUUCUCUUCUUGUGUGAGUUUAUAGCGAUUGUAAUUUUUAUUUUGCACAGAGCUAUUUGCCUCGUACGAGAUUUUCUUUUAUAGUUUCGUUUAGAUGCUUAAAAUGUACCUUUUUUUUUCAAUUCGAUGAGGUAUUUGGGUUGACCACCCACUUAUUCUCAAGAUAAUUCUUUUUGUUUUAAACUUUUAAUGAACUGCACAAAGAAUCAUUCUGUAAAAUUUUACGGUUUGAAAAAUUACACAAAUGGGAUGUCGCGGAUGCCCAUAAUUUCAUCUUAACCCGAAUCUGAACGUGGAUGAAUAUAGUUUCGAAUACGAGUAUAAAAAACGCAAAUCUGAUGGAUUUGCAUUCGGGUACGGAUUGAGGUUGCGCCAGAUCUAAACACAAAGCACGAUCUGAAUCUAAAUUGUUGAAUAUCGAUAAAGAGAAAUAAUUAUUUCGGAUUCAGAUUUCGGAUUUAAUAGUCGAGUACGGAUUCGAUCUUUAAAAAUUCGUCCCGAAUCUGACCUGCUGGUAUGAUUGGCACCCCUUCUAGUGGUUGGGAGGUUUAGCCACUACUGAAACCUAACCCUAAUCCUUAUCUCACCAUCUAUGCCUACAGGAAGAGAGAGAGAGAGAGAGAGAGAGAGAGAGAGAGAUGAUGUGGCUUGUAUAUGGAAUGCCACAUGUAUGGUAUGAGACAUUGCAUGAAUCUCCAUCCUUUAAAAUGUAGAGAGACAAAGACCCUCUCCAUGAUGAGAUUGAGAAUGAAAGGAGGAGGGAGUGAGAGACCACCACAUGGUUCUGUAACAAGAGAUGCUACAAAUAAGAAUGGGACCUCUCUGUUGUUAGAAAUUUUGGAUGUGGGGUUAUUAGUGCCUCAACCUAGCCUACUACUCCUCAACCACAUUCACUCUGAUGUUGAUUAUUACCUUAUAUUCAUCGAAUUUGAUCAGUAUCCAUUUAAUACGACCAGAUUCCAUGUAUUUUAUAUGUCUUUUUUUAAAAGUAAAUACUGUUAAUACUGCUUAAAAAGACAGAGUACUAACGUACUGUAUUGAUAACGUAAGGGUUUCAGUGUAUAAAUAACAUAGUAAAAUGGCUCGAAAGUUUUUGUUUUAUAAUAUACAGUGUAUACAUAUAUUUCAUGCAUUUUUGCAUAAUGUUUAAUGAUUAUUGUCUCAAGAUUUAAAAUCUAAUCUAAUAAACAUCAUUUUAUGGCAUCUAAAGAGUCUGUAUCAAGAUCCUCAAAUAAUUUUAAAAAAUCAACAUUUUUUUUAAAAAUUAUUAUUAUUAUUAUUUAAUUUAUAAGACAUUUUAAAUGUAAUUGAAUAUAUUAUUAUUCUAUACAUUAUUAUACAUAUAUAUAAUGAGUUAAACAUAAAUUGUAAUAAUUUCUCCCGCAUAGAAACACGUCUAUGCGCGUUUUGUGAACGCUAGUUUGGGAGGGAAUAUUCGAUCUCUCGAGAAGAGUCGUCGCGAUCGAUCAAAAGGACAAUCGCAUGACGGCGAUCGAGACGUCCACGUGGCCCUCAAAAAUCCCACAGCCGUUCGUUUGUACACGUGGCGGCCGGUUGGUAGCGCUCGUACACGCGACCUUAUCCUGUGGUUUCAAAGAAUGGGACACGGACCUUUCCCACGUCCGCAAUUUUUUUAUUGUAAAUAUUUAUUUUCGUGCUUAAAUUUUAUUUAUUUUUGCACUUUUUCAUUUUAGUACUAUGUGAUUUAAACAAUAUCAAUUUAGUACUCUAUUAUUUUAUUUUCCCUUCCUGUCAGCUUCUUCGUUAACAUUUCGUUAAAUUAUAUAUAAAAAUUUUCAAAAACUUCAUCUAGGUUUAUAGAAUAUUUAUUUUAAUACGUUUUUUUGUUUUAACUUUGUCAUUGAUUUAACAAAAAAAAAAAAUAAUGGACGAAAUAAUAAAAAGAGAAAUAAUAUCACGGGAUAUUAAAUUGAUACAUUUUAAACCAUAUGAUACUAAAAUAAAAAAAAGCCAAACGCGGGUGGUAUUUGAAGUUUUCAUUUAUUUUAAUGAAAGUGAAAAAAUUAAAUUAAUUUUUGAUCCUAAAUAUUUGUUUUAUAUAUUUCUAUAAAUUAAAUUUUGAUGAUAGAUUUGUUUUUCUUAGACCAUCAUAAUUGACUUUACUCUUACCGUUGCAAAGCAAAUAAUGGGAGGAAAAAAAAAGAGGCAUUUUUAUGUAAAAAAUCUAUUGAUUUUUAACUUUUGAAAAUCUAGUUCAUCUUUUAUAAUUUUGCAGAUUCGAUCUGAAUUUUUUAAAAAAUGAUAAAACUAUUUCUCUUUUAAAAUAUAUAAAAAAAUAUAUACAUUAAAUAUUUUAAAAAAUACAUCUGAUAAGUCAUUAUUACAACUACCUUUUCUUAAGAAACAAAAUUUUCAUCGAUAAAAAAAACUACAAAUAAUAAGAAAAAGAAAAAGAUCACAAUAUUCUUUUAGAUAGUGAAAUAUAUUUUCAAAUUGUGCAACAUUUGCACAAUUUAUAUAAAGUUGUAUAGUUUUUAUAUUAAAUUAUGAAUAAAUAUAAUAUAUUACGUAUAAAUAGUAUAAUAUAUUAUAAUAUAUUAUAAAAAUUAUGUAAUGUGUAUUAUUACUAUAAUAUUACUAAUAUAGUAAUAAUAAUUAUGUAAUAUCAAGGAUUAAUUUUAUACUUGUCCCUUCAAACAUAGUAAAUUAUAAAUAUAUUCGUACAAAGUUCAACUUUUAUAUAUUAUUUCUAUAAAAGUCAUAAUAUUUUCAAAUAUAUCUCUUUGAUUUGUUAUCGUUAAAAUACUGUUUAUUUUAUAAGUAAAAUAACCUUUUUGGCAUUACAAGUAUGUCUCUAAAAAAAAAUUCGCCUAUUAAUUAAAAAGCGGUAAAAGGGUCAAUUCACCUUAUUAACUAAUUAGGGUUAAAUAUUUUAUCUAUGGUUAAUUAAUUUUUUCUAACAUGUUAUAAAGGCAGGGGCGUAUUUGAAAACAUCAAUUUUUAAAUUAGUAGUUAAUUAAAAUUUUAAAAUUUUUUAAUGUAACAAACUAAAUUUUAAAAAUUAAAAUUAAACUCGCAUAAUAUUAAUUUUCUACUUUUCUAGAACCAUUGCUUUAUUUAUGGGAUAACUUCAAAAACCCCUAUGUGGUUUCCAACUUUCUCACUUUAGUACCCUGUGGUUUAAAGUGUAUCAAUUUGCCCCCCUGUGGUUUUAUUUUUCUCUUUUUUUUAUCAAUUUUAUUAUUAUUUUUUCUUAAAUCAGUAACAAAAUUAAAAUUAAAGGGUACUAAAGUAAAUAUUCGAUAAAUCUAGAUGGAUAUCUGAUAUUUUUUUGCAUAUAAUUUAACAAAAUAUUAAGAAAAAAACUAUAGAAAAAAUAAAAACAAAACCACAUGGGAGCAAAUUGAUACACUUUAAACCACAGGGUACUAAAGUGAGAAAGUUCAAAACCAUAUGGGGGUUUUUGAAGUUUUUCCUUUAUUUAUUAAGUCAUUUUUAAAAGAAUAUAAUUAUUAAAAAAAAGUGGAUGAUGAGUCGACAAUAGUGAAAAGACGAUAAUGCCCUCGUGCUUGCCCCUACCUGGCAAUCUAAUCCAAUCUCUUUGUCUUAAAUUUUCCAUUUAGGAUAUUAAUAAUUAAUAAUAACUAAUUAAACGAGAUUGGCUAUUUUAUAUAGAGGUCCAUCCAUUUCACGAUAUCUCAAGCAGGUCCUUAUCUUUUUAUUUUUAUAUAUAAAUCUAUCAAUUCUAAAAAUACUUUUGAGUAGUAAAUUAGUAUCCUAAUUCUAAGUUCAAAUCCUAUCUACUGAUUAAUAAAGUUUGCGUUCCUGGACUACAAAUAUUUUGAAAUAACUUUUUGAUUUUUUUUUAAAAGUGUGUCACGUAUAUAUUUAUUUUAUUAUAAUUCUUUAUAAUUUUUUGUCUGGAAAUUUAUUGUGAUAAAACCUUAAGAGUUACGCGAAGUGGAAAAUUAAAAAUUAUAGUUAAAAGAAAACGAAAACACUAACGAAAUAAUACUCUUUUAAAUUCUAUUAAAAGGAAAGCUUCAAAUUAAAGAACUUACUUUUAAAAAAAAAACAUGAAAAGUAAAGGACGCUUUACAAUUUAUCUUAAAAUCCAGGGACCACUAUAUAAAUUCUCCAACGAGACAAUAUUACGUAUUUAAUUUCUAAAUUGGGCUAUUUAAUUACCGUGUCUUUAUUAGAGCUCUCUCUCUCUCUCUCUCUUAUCCUGUACAUCUCCUCUCUCUCUCUCUCUCUCUCUCUCUCUCUCUCUCUCUCUUCGUGGGCGUGGGGGGCGAUCGUACGGAUGUCGAUCGCGCUAGAGAGGAGGGCGCGGAUCGGAGGGUCGGGGUUCGCCCAGGGGCUCGCGCGCUUCCCGAUCUACGACGCGGCGGCGGCGGCGGCGGGGGCGCCGGCGCCUCCGCCGAGGCGGAGCUCGCCGGAGGAGGAGGCGGCGGCGGCGGAGUGGAGCUCGUCGUCGAUCGGGAGGAACAGUGAUAUCUCGGCGGCGGCGGAGGAGGGGGAGGCGGAGGGGGAGGAGGCGGAGGUGCAGAGCUCGUACAAGGGCCCCCUCGAUGCGUUGGACGCGUUGGAGGAGUCGCUCCCGAUUAGGUAUACGAUCGCCUCUAGCUUAUUUCUCUUUUCUAGUUGUUGUUGAUUUCGAUCAUAUGCGUUGGAGAUGUAGUUGAUAUGAAUAAUAAUAAUAAAGAAAACAGAAACACGAAUUUUGAAGAAUUUUUUGGGAUUUUAUUUAGGUAAAAAUAUGCGGCAUUAGCUAUUACAAGUUAAAAUUAAACGCGUACAUUUUUUAAUUAAGAUGAGGAGUAUUUAAGGUAUUUGGAUUUUUUUUUUUUUGUUAUGAGAUUGAAGUUGUUUUGUGAAAUAAACAGUAGAUUUAAAUAAUAAUUAUAAACUUUAUAUGGCUAAUUUGAACUUUUAAAAACUGGGGGGCGAUUUGCUAAAAUGUUGAUGAGGGGAUUUGAAAUAAUUUUUUUUUCCUUUAUUUUCUGGAAUUGUGUUUAUUUAACUGGUUCUUUCUUUGUGGUAGAGAAUUCAAAUUAGUAGUUUUGAAGUAAAAAAGGCAAAUUUUUAUUUUGACAUUAAUUUUCAUACUCAAUUUAUGUUGGUUAAAGACAAUAUAUAGGUAAUAUAGUUAGGAUGCGUAUACACAUAUAAUUGAUCACCCUUUCUUUCGAUAUGGACAGCUUAUCUUGGAUCUGUUAUUUGCUGCUAGGUUUUAUAUCCCCAUGUUUCUUGCAAAUUGGUUACAAGAAUAUUCUAACACGUUUAUUUAGGUGUUUAAUCCAUUGGUUAUUUGUCCAUGACGCCAUUUGUUACCCGAAAGAUCGAAUAUUGGUACCAAAAGGUCGAUGUAGUAGAAAAUGCCCUAAUAAUAGUUGUCUUAAUACCAUUGGGUACGUGCGCACGUGCAUGGUGGAGAUCAGGUGUAGUACGACACGUGGACUAACGGGAGAGGUAAUUGAGCUGAUAUAGGCCGGGAAUCUAACUUGUUAAAUGAUUGAUGUAGGGAAUUGAACCAUGGCCGCUCGGUGUUGAGAGUGCUCUGUGGUAUCAUGUUAUCCGAAAGAUUGAUAGAAAUCAUCUUAAAAUUAGUCAUAACGACCGUUAUUUUUCGUUAGGUAUGGAAGUUGGUUUAGAUAAACCAACCCUUCAAUUAGGUUAUAAAUGCGCAUUCUUUCAAUGCCAAUGAUGACGCAUAUAUAAGAAGGGGAUUGGGCGUGGUGUCCUUUAUUACGUAUCUAUGUAUUCUUUUUCGCUUUUCAAGCCGAGUUCUUUUAAUAGGGCUCAGAUGCAGAGAUGCUAUCUAUUUGAGACAUCGGUCAUUUUUUUUUUUUCGUUGAGCCCAGAGUCCAGAUGGUUGUGUGCAGAACAACUGAUUUAUGUAAUAGCUUGAAGUUGUUAGGAUGGCUGUUUAUUAUUUACACUUGCAAUUCUCCGUAAUUUCAGGUCUCAAGAAACGUACUUUAAAUUACACGACAAAGUUGGUUGUUCUCAUUAGUUAUAUAUAGUAUAUGCCCUGGUGGGAUUCAAACAAAGAUAUCCUGCUUUGAUAUAAUAAAAGCUUAAGCUACUAACUGUGUUUUUGUAACCAAAUUUCCGUAUUUUUGGUGGUUUAGGGGUCACAUACUUUGCGGAAGAUGAUGCAUCAUAAUAUCACGUGAUGACCUCAUCAGUUACUAUUAAAUGCAAUAAUGCAUGGACAAAAUCUUAAAUUUUUUGGCUGGAUCAAGUGCUUCCAGACAAAACGGUUGAGCUGGCUUGUGAGACGUGUUUUUUAGUAAAAAAUAUGUUUUGAUCUUAUCAUUUCACUCAUUUUUUAGUAUCUUUUUAUAGCGGAUUAUAAUCAUUUCAAUUCAAUUCAACUCAACUCAGCCUUCAUGGAAUCUUGGGUUUGGUAGGUGUUUUUUGUUUUCUCUUUGGAAUAUAGUGUGGUAGAUCAUACCUAAUCCAUGAAAAGAAGCCAAACAUCCGUCAUAUGAAUCUUCUUUUAACAAUUUUAUAUUGAGCUAUAUCUUCUUUAACAAAGUGCACUAUAAUCUUUCCUAAUUACCUCUAACCAUAUCAUUUGGGGCCCCCGCGAUCUCUUUUCAUCUCACCUACUUGGGUGGGUUAUCUCACUUCAAAGGACUAUUGACGAAUUUGUGAACUUUUUGUGCAUGUCGAGGUGAAAUAUCAUUUUUGUUUAGGUUGCUACUAACUUGUACAACAUUUUUCAGGUUUCUAAAUUUAUUGAUACUUGUAAUUGGUUACCUUCGGCAGGCGCGGCAUCUCCAAGUUCUACUGCGGCAAAUCGAAAUCGUUUACGGUGCUCACGGAUGCUCCAUCCUCAUCUACCUCCGCAGAGGGCCUGGCCAAGCCAGAAAACGCCUACACAAGGAAGCGAAAGAACCUCCUCGCCUUCAGUAUUAUGUGCAACAAACCACAGUACGAAGAAUCAAUGACCACAGAAGGUAGUGUCGCAAAACGAGCCGCGAGUUCCAGCAGAAGCCCUUUCUCCCCUCUCGCUAGAAGCUCUUCCGGCAUGAGCAGCAGCUACAGCAACGAAGAGGAGCACGAACAAAACCUGCAGCAACUCCCGCCCCUUCACCCGAACGGAAGAGCCUCUGCUACUACUACAACUUUUGCUUCUCCGAUCGCUUCCUCGCCAUCCGAAACACCGUCCUUUCCCUUGAGGUCAUUCUCGCUGAACGAUCUUCGCGGUGUGGUUAGUUCGAGUUCGUCGAUUCACCCGAGGGUUAAGCACAAGAGUGAUUAGCAUCUCGAAGCCUCUGUUCUUUUCUUCUUUUUUUUCUUUUUUUUUUUCCCCUCUUUUCGGUAUCCUGUUAGCUAUGUCCAUUUUUUGGUUCUACUAUGUUAGAAAUCGGUGAGUCGAUGGAGGAAAAUGGUGUUUGUAAAGAUAUGAGUCAGUUGAAAUAUAUCUACAUACUCAAAAAAGGAAAAGGAAAAAAAAAGAAGAACAAAAAGGGAAAUUGUAAUAUAUAUGUAGAUUUAGUUACUUGGCAUGAAUUGUCUAACACUUUGCUGGUGAUUUAUGAGAUUGUUUUGAAUUCUUUUAUUCUACCAAAUGAAACAGAUCAUGGGAUUCAAAUGAACUCCGAUAAUUUUAUCCAAGCAAAGAAUUUUAUCUUUAAAUGAAUUCAGCUGAAUUCUUUUUAUGUGGAUUUCACUGAAUUUUAUUUAGGUUUGGUGCUGAAAAGAGGGGAAGUUGGAGGAUUCAAAUGUAAAACAAUGUUGUUGUUAAAUGUUGUUAAUUAUGAUUUUUUUUAAUUUUCCGAGAGAGAGAGAGUAUCACCAAAUCUGUUUCGUUCAUUUUUUUGUUGGAAAAACUUUAAAAAACCCUCAUGUGGUUUCGUAGUUUCUCACUUUGUCUCCCUGUGGUUUAAAAUGUAUCAAUUGCCCCCUGUGGUUUCUUUUUUCUCUUUUUCUCAUUAAUUUUAUUAUUUUUUUUUCUUAAAUCAGUGAUAAAGUUAAUUUAAAGGGUACUAAAGUGAAUAUUUAAUAAAUCUAGAUGGGUAUCUGAAGUUUUUGUAUAUAAUUUAAUGAAAUAUUAACGAAAAAGCUACAGAAAAGAUAAAAAUGAAACCACAUAGGGGGCAAUUUGAUACAUUUUAAACCACGGGGGGUAAAGUGAGAAACUACGAAACCACAGGAGGUUUUUUGAAGUUUUUUCUUUUUCUUUAAUAAAAUUAGCUGAAAAUAUAAAAAUAAUUAGGCUUUGAAUUUAGGCUCUCGGAUAUUAAAGUUCCAUUGCUCCCUAUGCUAGUAAUGAUCUGGACAUCAAGGAUUUUUCAUAGCAAAAUGAUUUUGGGUACAUAAAUUGCAAAAUGUGGGAAAAUUUAUAGUCUUAAAUUGUAAUGGGUUUGAUCUUAACUAGUAACAACAACAACAAGAAUACAAAUUAGUUCUUACUAAAACUAAAACAUUGGUAACUAGACUAGUCACAAGACCAACACAUCAAAAGAUAAAGAGAAAUAGCUCCAAUGAUGAGUCUUCAAAUGCUUAAUUAGUCCCACUUUUUCCCAUAGAAACAAAUUUACAAUUACACUCAAGAACAUGUACACCAUGCAUGCAUAAUUGAUCCUAAACGAUCCCAAUUUGCAUCAAAUUCUUCGUUAUUUAAGGCUAAACCGAAAAUAAAAAAGUUCCACAAUAAUUGCAUUCAAAAGGAUUGGUAUUGAUAGGUGCAAUCAUUAUUGCUAGAGAUAUUUGUUAUCUAAGAAUACUUAAAAAGGUUUAUUUUGGUUGCGGCAUGCGAAACGCAAUAUAUUCAGAGAGAUAAACUGCAUUUUAGCCUUCUGAUCAUAAACCCGAGCUACCGGAAAAAUCAUCCGGAGCCGCCGAGCACGGCCUUGAGCUUCUUGACCUCGUCAUCGUCGAGGAAAGUGACCUUCUCGACGAGCGGCGACGGCAGGCUGUUGGCAAACAGCGCGAAGGCGGUGAUCUGCAGGCCCGGGGCGGGGCUGCUGAAGCUGGCGAUGGCCACCGCGGCGGUGUCGCCGCUGUUUAUCUGGAAGUGCAGCAGGCCCUGGGGGAAGAGCAUGGCGUCGCCGGGGCCGAGCGACUGGGUGUAGACGUCGUUCGCCGUCGAGAUGAACCCGGCGUAGAUGCAGCCCUCCAACACCACGAGGAGCUCCGAGCCACCCGGGUGCGUGUGCAGGGGGACGACGCCGUCCGGCGCGAUGUCGAUCCGCGCGGCGGAGAUGCCUGCCGUGAAAUAUUCACCAGUUCAGACUUCAUAGACUAAAGUUUUCAAAUGAAAAGUUUAUGUAUGUAAUCAUGUAAAAUUUGAGAGUAAUAACAUCUAAUCAAACACCGUCAACAUAUCGCAGUAUACGUAAACAUCCACGUGCUUACUACUUGAAUGUCAGAAUAAGUUACUCAAUAACCCCUUAUUUGGAAUGAAAAUUUUUUAGUAUGAUUAUUUAUAAAAAGAAGAAUUUAAAUAUUUGUUCUUUAAAAAAGAAUAGCAUAUUUUAUUUCCAAAAAGUGAUUUUGAAGGCUAAAUAUAAUAUUUAAUUCUCGCAUUCUUUAUCUACUAAAUAUAUAAAUUUAUUUAGUAAAUCAAAAAGAUAUGCCAAAUAAUUAACUAGGAAACUAACGUUUUAUGCUAUUAUUAGACCUUAAAAAACAAAUUUUUUUUUCCCUUCCUAAAUGCUUUCUAUUUGAAAAACUUUGUCCAACUGAAAACUGACUCACCAUGAGUUAAAACUUCCUUUUCUUUUUAGUUAGUUGCAACGAUCUAACCCGCCAGCAAUAAUAUUCGUUGGGCUCAAACCAUCGGCCCAAAAUGCGUAAGUCCAAUUAUUAUUUCUAGCGUGUAGGUUUCAUAUAAACUAAUCGAAAUUAGUAUCCCAUCAGUAUUCCAUCCGAUGUGGGACUAUUGGGGUAAGCGAUGUGAGAUUUUAGAGGUAGCUCCUACGGGUUCAAGAGGUGGUUCCUAACAAAUCCGUUGGCGUAGCACUUUGUCCCGCAUAGCACUUAGCUCUCACACUUCUGGCUGGUAUUCGGCUCUGAUACCAAAUGCUACGACCUGACCCGCCAGCAAUAAUAACUCAUUGACUCCAAACCAUCAGACCAAAAUGCUUAAGCUAAGUUAUUAUUUCUAGCGCAUAGACCUUAUAUAAACUGAUCGAAAUCAGUAACCCAUUCGAUAUGGGACUAUUGAGGCAUUACAUUAGUUGCAAUUAGUUAUUAGUUGCAUUUUUUAUGUAUUAGGAGCUACAAUUUUAGAGACCACAUAUAAAGGCCUAUUUGUAAGGUAUAUGUACAAAUGUAGAAGCUACAUGGCCUCAACAUGCAUGUACAUGACACCAUUCAUUUCAAUGUUUAGAGGAUUUUCAAAAUUGGAAAAUUUUCUUCAAUACCCUCCCCAGUAGCUCUAAUUUCAUGAAUACCCUUCAAAAUUUUAAAUUUUCAUGUUUGCCCUCCAAAAGUAUGGAAAAGUUUCAAAAAUACUCUCAUUGGAGGCAAUCUGUUACAUUAGUUUCAAAAUACCAAUUUUACUCUCUAUUUUAAUUUAAUCACCACCCUCACAAUUUUUUUUGAAUAUAUGGAGACCCCCUCAAUUACAACCCAUUGUGAAAUAGCCUCCUAAAUUUAACUUUUUAAUUAAAGUCUUCUUAAAUUUUAUUUUAUUGAAUUUAAUGAUUUUUUAUUAUUAAAUUAGAGAUUUUAUCUAAUCCAUUAAUGAUUCAAGCAAAUUUAAUAAUUUUAAUAACUUCAUAGUAUAUAAAAUUAAAUAAGUUUUUGUCCAAAAAAAAUAUUAAUAAAAACUUCAAGAAUUUACUUAAAUGGCCCAUAGUUGAUAGUUUAGUAUCAAUAUUAAAAAAUAAGUCAAAAAAGUUUGAUUUUUAAACAAAUAGUGAACAAAUUUUAAGGGUAAAAUGGUAAUUUCAUACUUUGAAGUAAAAUAAAAAAAAAAUGCUACAUUGACGGGAGUCAGUAAAAAAUAAUGAUAAGGAUAUUUAUGAAAGAAAUAUUGUAUUUAGAAGGGUGUUUAUAAAAUUUUAAAAAUUCGAAGAAUAUUUAUGAUAUUUGAAAUUAAUCCUUAUAAAUUUGUGUCAUUCACACGAUGAACUAUGAAUUAAAUAGUCUACGCUGAGAACCGUGCCACCAAAUUUUUGUUCUCUAUAUAUAUAUACCGAGCCCAUUGACGCCGGGAAACGUGCUGACGAAGGCGGGGGUGACGGCGGCCUUGAUGAGGUUCGACGUGUUCCCGGGCACGCCGAGGCCAGAGAACACAAAGUCGUCGACGGUGACGGCAGACACCUUCUUGCAGGGGUAUCCGGAGGGGGUGUCAGGGGCCGUCAGGUCCCCGACGCAGAAGUCCUGCGUCGCGGUGUUCGGAGUUGGGAGGAGAAAGAGAAGGAAGCAUAGAAAGAUCGGAGCCAUGACAUAUAUAUGUAUAUAUGUAUAAGAACUUAGAAUAUAUAUAGGUAGGUUUUUCUUGGGAAUUAAUUGUAUUUGAUUGUUGGGGGUUUAUAUAGAAGUAGAAGAAGAGAAGAUGUUACUGUUCAAUUAUAAGUUGGUGAGAUAUAUAGAGGGGGUUUAUAUAGAAGAAGAAGAGGAGAUGUUACUGUUCAAUUAUAAUGUAGUAGGAUAAAAUGAUGUGCAUAUAUGGUGUAGGAUUCUGAAUAGCAAAGCGACGUGUUGUUGAGCUGGAUGGGCAUGCACGUGAAGCUUCUUUUAGAGAGAGAGAGAGAGAGAGAGAGAGUGUGCAGUGAAAGGACAAAGGACACUUUUACUGAGAGAUGGGUGUAGAGUAACCCUUUUGCCCAUCUCCAUUGUUAAAGUUGUAACGCCCCCAAUAGUCCCAUAUUGAAUGGGAUACUGAUUCCGAUCAAUUUAUAUGAGACCUACACCCUAAUAAUAAUAACUGGACUUAAGCAUUUUGGGCCGGUGGUUUGGACCCGACGUGUUAUUAUUGCUGGCGGGUUGGAUUGUUGCAAAUGAUAUCAGAAACGAAUACCAGCCGGAAGUGUGAGAAUAAAGUGCUACACCAAUAGGUUUGAUGGGAGCCACCUCUUGAACCCGUAGGAGCCACCUUUAGAAUCUCACAUCGUCUGGUAAUAGUCCUGGUCUGUCUGUGAUCUGGUUUGGACCCGACGAGGACGUCAGGAUCUAAACAGAGGAGUUUGUAAUGCCCCCAAUAGUCCCAUAUCGGAUGGACUACAUCCUAGUAAUAAUAACUGGGCUUAAGUAUUUUGGGCCGAUGAUUUGGACCCAACGAGUUAUUAUUACUGGCGGGUUGGGUCGUUGCAAAAGUAUAGAAUAGAAAACAACUGUUAUUUUUCACAGGCUUAAGCUAAUAAAAAAUAAUAUAGAUCUAUAUAAUUUUAUUAGUUUUGUGUGUGUGUGUGAGAGAGAGAGAGAGAGAGAGAGAGAGAGAGAGAGAACGCUUAACUAGAAUAUUAUUGGUAUACAAUUUGGUUUACUAUCGAUCUAUAUUCGAUGCAGGGCUUCCAAAUCGACGAUCAACACCGUUGAAUAUAAUCUAAGUCAUUUAAAUUAUCUGAAAAUCAUAUCAAAUUUUAUUCUUUUCUGAUAUUAUUCUCUUAUCCAUUAUGUGGAUAUAAAUGAAGGGCUGAAAAUGAAUAUCUUUUUAAAAAAUAAUGAUAUUAUGUUCAAAGAUGUCAAUUGUCAAUUUAUAAGCUCAAUCAUCAAAAAUAAAUUGGUAGUAAAUCAAACCGUUUAUUACCGAUAGUAAUCUACCACUUAUACAUGGAGGCAUUCAUGUUAUCAAAUUGUUUUCAAUGAUACGGCUUCCGAAUCAACGAUCGACUCCACUAGACUUGAUCUAUUAAAAAUAUUUGAAAACCAAAUUUCAUAAUUUUUCAACAUCAUUUACUUAUCAAACGAAUAGUUUAAAAAUAAACAGCUAAAAAUAAAAAUCUUAUAAACAAUAAUGAUAAAAGACUUGAAUUUAAAAUCAAAGUUACUGAUCUUACUCAAAAUAGUGAAAAUAAAUUAUAAAAAUUUCAUCAGAUUUAGAUUGUUUUACACCGUUAAAUUCAUAAAUGCAACACAUUGGCUAUUAAAAUUGUCAAUUUCAAGACAUUUUUAUCACUAGUCAAAAAAUAUCGAAAUAUAUGAAAUUUGAUCUCUAAAUAUUUCAGUAGCGUAGAUCAUGUUUAACGGAGCCGAUCGUCAAUUCGAAAGCCAUAUCAUCGAAAACAACUUGAUAGUAAAGAGACCACUAUGCCGCUGCUGAUAGUAUAAUAGCCGAACUCUAACUCUCUCUCUCUCUCUCUCUCUCUCUCUCUCUCUCUCUCUACAU